rnacentral:lncRNA from 1 species
UUAUGAUAAUGUAACCACACCCAGAGUAAUGAUUCAGUCCACCAACAGUUCUGUGCUGAAGGAGUUCAAGGAAAAGAAGAAGAAUUAUGAGCUUGUGUACAGAGUUGAUGAAAAUAUCCGUGAUGCCUCUGAUGCAACCAUUGAGGACAUCAAGAAAUUUGCCACUUCUGUGGUUAUCAGCAAAGAUUCCAUCUAUCCUGAGAACAAGGCAUUCAUCACUGGUGCUACGGAUAUUGUAUCAAGGCUCAAGAAGAAUAAUCUCCCCGUUUAUGUACAACGCUUUGAUAAUGAGUUUAUAUCUCAGGCAUGGGACUUCUUCUCAGAUGCAACCGUAGAAAUCAACUCAUUUGUCACGGGAGCUGGAAUUGAUGGUGUAAUCACAAGCUUCCCUCAAACAGCUGCUUCAUAUAGAAGUAAGAUUCCACCUUUCUAUUUAAAACUUAUUUUCAAAUUAUGCAAGACUAUUUGCUAUGGUUUUCAGAUUACCUGGCUUGAUUCCCGAGCAUCAUACAUCAUCAUUUUAUUUGGGUUAUGUUUACCUGUCACAAAUAUCUUAUUGUCGUUAUUUUAAAAAUCCUGCUUAAAUUCACGGUUCAUCCUUCAGUUAUGUACUAGGUGGGGUAUUACAUUAAAAUACUUGUUACUGUUCUAAGAAAUACAAAUGUGCUGUUUGCAAAACCAUGUUGCUCCAUAAUGAUAAUAGCAGUUGUAAUCUUUUGUUUAUUCAGUCAUUAAACCCUUUUAUUUUAAUUGUUUUGGUGUGGGUGAGGGAUUUAAAAUAAGUUCAGCUAUUCUAUACAGCUAUUCAUCUGUCCAAGACAUCCAACCUUGAAAUAAUACACAAAAUUUACUGUCUUUGGUUAUGCAGAGAACCGAUGCUUAAAGUACAAGAAUGCACCGUCAUACAUGAGUCCUGUUCAGCCUGGCAGUCUCAUGCAAGUCAUCACUAGCGACGACAUGCCACCUGCUCUGGCUCCAUACCCGGUGCUGACAGAGUCUGAUGUGGCUGAACCUCCACUACAAGAAGUCGCACCAGCUACCCCGACUUCCAGCACAAACGCUGGAACUACAGCACCUGCUCCCACCUCACCAAACGGGCAACCUAGAAUUGCCACAUGCAUUGUCCUGUCCAAUCUUGCUGUGCUCCUUGUGGCCGUUCUGCUGCUAUGAAAAGGUUACAAGAUCACAUGCAGUCAUUUUAGAUCACCAGUAUGUCCAUCCUCCACUGCCUGGAUCUUUUGCUGCCUCGUCACAGAGCUAAUUCAGAUUUUUCCCCUAAACCGCAAUGAUCAUCUUCUGGUCAUCAAUAUAUAUUGUAGGUAUGUUCAUUCUUCCUCAUGUAUUCUGAGUACUUAUUUUCUGAGAGACGUAUCCACGAAUGGAUUCUUUGUAGUCAGCAUUGUUUUCUGUUUCAUUAUUGUAAGAUUUGUCCAUGAUUGUUCUUUGGGUAUGUAUGAUGCAUGUAUGAUUUUAAAGUUAAAACCUCGACAGGAUCUCCCUACUGACUGAACAUGUGCAGUUGUUUAACCUCGUUGGAGAAUCUGCACGGAAAAAGCCAUUGGUUUUGAUUAAUCUUGAGCUUGCCCUGCAAAACUGGAUACUUUUUUUCUGCAUUUAAUCUCGAGCAUUGGUUAUGAAUUACGAUGUGUUUUCGGGAUUUCGUUACGCAAAUUUCAGGCGAGAAGCUUCUGGAAUUAGCACAAAAAACAUUGUGGAAAUGGAGUUAAUUUCGGAUACAUGUCAAUAAAAAGGUUACACGCCCAAUGCUCUCUCAUUGAAUUUCUGAUUUGAUGACAACAAUCUAUAUACGCUAUAGGCUUAAACAAAAUUUCACAAGACAAGGUUGUGAUCAGUGAAUAUGGAAAAAUUGAUGCCUUUUUCCUUCUUUUUUUUUUUUUUAUUAAAAGAAAACUGGUUUUUGGAAAUAAUUUCCAAAUUGAUUCGAUAUUUCUCUGUUUCAGAACACUCUUAUAUUAGUUUAUUAUUCAAAGAAUAUGGUUGAUUUGGACCACACACAUAUCCAAAGUUCUCCUUUAUUUUUGGUAGCAAAAUCGGUUACUGAAAAAUCACAAAAAAUAUAUAAAAAUAUAUGUAUUAUAGAUGCAUUCAUAAAUAAUGCAAAGUGCAUCAUCAAUGACUAUCACUUUCUCCCCCUUCUCGUCUUUUUCCGGUUUAAACUUCUUUUAUGAACGAACAGGUACUAAUGAAUAAGAAUAAAGAGGGUUGAUAGUGAACAAUAGAACUCCGAUUGACAUAUCGACUGCUCAUCCUAACUUGCUAUGGGACAAUGAAUCUGUGAAAUGUUAUACAUAAGAUUUAGCCAAAGCAUAGAUGGAAAUCGUAGACAUGAAAUUUUGUUAUACAAGAGGUCUAGAAAGCAGAAAGGAAGUCAACUUAUAAUGAAUGUGCAGAUAUUAUAUCAUGAGAUGGGAUAAGAAAGAGACUAUUAUAUUAUAUCUCAUGUUUGGUUGGUGAUACGAUGAGAAAAAUUCUCCCAUCACUUAUCCUAUCCUAUAUUCAACGGGAUAUUAUAACUUUUAUUUUAUUUUAUUUAUUUAUUUAUUUAUUUUUUAUCCCCUCUACAUAAGAUAUGUUAAUCCCGUUAGGAUAUGAAAUAUUCAUAUCUCAUAUAUCAUAUAUCAUAUAUAUAUUUUUUUUACAAAGCAUGAAUAUUGUUAAAUAUAAGAGAAAUUUCAAUUUUUUAAAUAGAAAAUAUUAAAAUGCGAUAUAAAUUUUAUUUUAAACAAUGAAAAUAAUAUAUAUAUCUUUUAUAUUAUUUUAUUUAUUCAUUUAACAAAUUAAAUAUAAACAUAAUAUAACAUAACAUAUCUAUUUGGAUAUGAUAAUUUAGAAUAUCAUGUUCAUAUGAUAUGAUUUCUUUUAAAUGGGAUAUGAUAUUUUUGGAUAUAUAUAUAUAUCAUCUCAUAUCUUGUCAACUAAACGUAGUAUAUAAGGAUUUGAAUAGAAAUAUAAUUAAAAUAGUUUUAUUUUUUAUUUUUUAUUUUUUAUUUUAUUGCAUUUAUAAAGCAUGAAUAUUCCGAAGGUAAUUAUGAGGAUCACUAUAAUUCAAGUUCCUAAGAUACUUCCAAUAGUUUUUCUCUUGAAAAUUCUUAAAGUAAAUGCAUUGAUGUUUAGAUCUCAUUCAUGUAAAUUAGAUUGUGCACAUCACGUAUAUCUUUCCAUCUUCCACACAUAUGCAAUCCACCAUGCUCUAAUCAAUAUGUUUGUCUUGUACUUGAUGUUGAAGUAUCCAUGAUUUAAUUAGUUGAAAAUUGAUUACAUCCAUAAACUAUUCUUCUUGCAAUUGAACUUUUAAUGAGCAUUUGUUAAACUCUUCAACUUUGGUAAUGUAAUGAGGGAUAAAAGUAGGUUGUAAGCAAAUUUAAUGUGAUUGAAACAACUAGUGGCAAAAAUAAAACAUUAUGAAAAAAGUUGUUUUUAUUUACCAAGCUUUUUACCAUGAAAAAAAAAAAUUAAUAUACAAUCUUUUGUCAAGUUUUUAAUAAUGAUGCAUGUAAUAUUUUAUCACAAAAAUUUUGGUACAUAAGUUAUGUAGUGACCAAUUUAGGACUUUGUACCUAGAAGUAUAUUUUACUAACAAGUUUAAUAUUUUGUCUCCAAAGUAUUGUCAACCGCCCUCCCUCUUUUUGUUUCUACUUCUUCUAAGGAAAUAUGGUAUAAAUUUUUUAUGUCAAAUUCGAUUUUUGAAAUAUCUUUUGAAAUUCUUCUUCUUCUUCCUUCAUUUCUUCCUUUGCCUCUUCUACGUCUUCUUCUUUUUUCUCCCUUCUUCCUUCGCAUUUUUUUUUAUCCCCAUCCUUACAAAAUGGUCAUCUACUCUUUAUUUUUUCUAUCACAUAUAAAAUAAAAAAAAAUUGAAGAUACAUAACAAAGAAAAAGAAAGAAGAGAACCUAAUCUUUUCUUACACCAACCUCAUUUUUCUUUUUUGUUGUCCACUAGUCCCCAACCCUUGUUAAACUAAUCAAUUUUCCUAAAAGUUUUAAACUUGUAGGGUUACUUGAAGGAUUUGAGUUUAAUAUUCAUAUCAUGCUCCUUAACACUCUCUCUCAUGUAUGGGUUUUCACGUGGAGAGAUAGAUAGAAUUUCGACUUAUAUCCAACAAAUUGCAAAUUUAGAUUUAUAUCCAACAAAACAAAUGAGGGAAAUGCAAAUUAUAGAGAGACAAUUCAAAUGCAAGACCUUCUACCAAGCCAAGCUCUAAUACCAUUUUGAAUAACUAAUUUUCCUAAAAGUUUAAACUUAUAGGAUUUGAGUUCAGUAUGCAUUUUGUGUUCCUUAACAACCUUAAUCAUACUUUCCUUUACUUCCUCCUCCACUAGCCUCAUUGUUUUUUUUUUCUUCAUGGUCAUAUACUUCUCCAAGAUCAUCAUCAUCAUCUUCAUGGUUUUUUUUUAUUCAUCAUCAUCUUCUUCUUAAAAAACAAAAUGCUCUUCUUCUUCUUCUUCUAAAAAAAUAAAAUAAAAUAAAAUAAAAUGAUCAUAUACUCUAUUUAAUUUUUUUUCUACUUUUUCUUCAUGGUCUUUUUAUUUUUCUUCUUCUCUAAACUUCUUCCUACAUGGAUGUCGUCUUCUACUUCAUGGUUUUCUUCUUUUAAUAAAAACAAAAUGGUUAUCUACUCCCUUUAUUUUUUUCUAUUUCUUUUUCUUCUUUAUUGUCUUUCAUUUUUUUUUUAAAAGAAAAAGAAAUGGUCAUCUUUAUUUAUUUACUUUUUCAUCAUCAUCCUCAUCAUCCUCAUCUUGUUGUUGUUCUUCUCAUUCUUCUCUUCUUCUUCUUUGUUUUCUUCUUCUCCUUCUCCUCUUCCUCCCUCUCCUCUAAACUUCUUCCUCCUCUUCUUUUUUGUAAUUGUCUCAUUCUUUUUCAUAGAAUUUUUUUCUCUCUUCUUCUUCAUGAUCAUGAUCUUCUUCUUCUUCUUCAUGAUCAUCUUCUUUUUAUUCAUGGUCUUUUUCUUCUUCUUCAUGAUCUUCAUCAUCAUCUUUUUUUUUUCAUAGUCUUCUUCUCCUCCUCCUUAUGAUCUUCUUCUUCAUCAUUUUCUGCUUGUUCAUGAUCAUGAGCAUCAUCAUCUUCUUCUUUAUGGUUGUCUUCUUCCUCUUCCUUGUUUUUCAUUGCUCCUAGGAGUUCUAAGGAGAUUCUUGGAUUUUUUUUUGAAGUUGCUUUAGAACCAUGGUUAUCUUAGGAAAUGAAGCAACUUUCACUUUGCUUUGAGUCAUUGGACCAAAACUUGCUUUAAUUCCAACCACUUUGAUUGGAUCCGAAUAGGUAGAGUUGAUUCCUUGAUGAUCACAUUUGUCUUCUUUUUAAGACUCCAUAUGGUGUAGUGUAGAUUUCUUAUAAGAAAGAGAUGAGAGACAGAGUUGUCUCACUAGGUGUGCUAGAAAUUUAUACACAUAAAUUUUCUCAAAUGAAAAAAUUGUGGACAAAAUUAUAAAUUUGAUAACAAGAGAAGACAAUCUCCAAUAUCCUUUUUGAUUCUUCUCACAAAGACAAAAACACAUUUUUAAGUGAUUUAGUACUGAUUUUGGAUCAAAAGAUAAUAAAUUAUGAAGUUUUCCUAUAAAAAGAAAUUUUCUAGUCUUCUUUUCUUCAAAAUAAAACUUUUGAAUCUUCUUGAAAAAAGAAAUCUUGAGUCUUCAAGGAAUUUCUUUAAAUUUUUUUCAAAUUUUCUUCGAUAUUUUGAAGUGUCAUUUGGAAUGAGAAGUAUUAACUAAAAUAAAUAAAUAAGAUAAUUAUCUUUAAAAAAAAUCAAAAAAUAAUAUCAAAAUAAAAUUCUCAUCCUGAAGUUCCUCUCAUACAUUAUUAUCUUUAAAAAAAUCAAAAGAUAAUAUCAAAAUAAAAUUUCCAACCUAAAGUUUCUCUAAAGUUUCUCUCAUUUGGAGGUGAAUGAGAAAGGUUGAAGAAAGUUUAGAAAGUUAAUUAAGAAAUUCUUUGAAGACUCAAGAUUUCUUAAAGAUUUCAAGAAAAUUCAUAAAUUUCUUAAAGAAAAGAAGACGGGAAGGUUUCUUUUUAUCAAAAGAUUUGAUAAUUUAUUGUUUGUUAAUGAAAUCCUUUUUCAUCCAUAAUUAACCACUAGAUUACUUAAAAUGAUGUUUUUAUCUUUGUAAGAAAUAUCAGAUGAUAUAUUUAUUUUUAUUGGAGAAAAUUUGUGUAUAUAAUAUUAUAUUCAAAAUAUUCAAAAAAAAAAAAAAAAAAAAAACAAGUCUCCAUCAUGAAAGAAUUGUAGCCAGCAUCAAAUAAUUGAGGAGGGUGUUGGCUGUUGCAACGGUAACUCCACAAUAUUAUAAUAUCCAAUUGAAAGUUGAACCAAAUUCUAUACUAUAAUAAUUCAAAAGGGUGGCUCAACAAACCAAAUUCAGGUUCCACCCUGGCUUUGUGCUUCGAACGUCAAGUGCAUCUCGAGUGUUCAUGAUCCUACUCACCUAUGAAAAUAUGGAGCACGGAAUUUUCUUGAGAAUUUUUUUAAAAAAAGAAAAUAAUAGAAGACAGAAAGAGAGAGUGUUACCGUAUCAAUCAAAGCCAUCCGAAAGUCAAUUUCUCGUCAUUCUAAAAGAGCAAAAAUAUGAUGGGGAACGUAUGAGAAGUAUGAGGUCUAUUUAUAGGCUCAGUAUUUUUCAAAUGACAUUGCCACUUAGGAUUUUUAAUUUUAAUUUUCACUCAAUAAAAUAAAAUUUGAUACUUCAAAUCCUUUUAGGAUUAAGAUUUCUAAUUAUCAAUUAAAAUUUUUUAAAAAUAAAAUAAAAUCAACAUAAAUAAAUAAAACAAAAUUUAAAAAGAAAUUUAAUUGGCUUAAAUUUUUGGUCUAUAAAAUUUCAUACUUCAAAUUCUUUUAGCACUAGGAUUUCUAAUUGUGAAUUAAAUGGGAGCAUUUGAAGAGACACGAAAUUUUAUAUACUGAUUACCACAUGUUAAUAAGUGACAUGUCUUAGUGGGUUCCACAUAAACCAAUUUGAUAAAGAAAAUGAUAAACCAAUUAAUUGUCAUAAUGCAAAAUAAAUUAAGCCUAUAAAUAUAUUAUUCCUCUCAUUUCAAAGGAUACUUGAAAGAUUGAAAAAAAAGAAGAAGAAAUUUUUGAAGAUUUCUUGUAGAAAUUAAAGAUUCAAAGUAUUUUUGUUUUCAUUUUAUGAAAAUUGAAAGAAUUCACUAGAAAAUUGGGUGUUCAUUUAUGAAAUCCAUUUUCAACGAAAUUAAGUAUUAAAUUGCUUAAAAUGACAUUUCUAAGAAGAGUUUAGAGGACAAAUUAGAAAUUGUCCUCUCAAAUGAAAAACAAAUCAAAUUUACAAUUUUGUCCAUAGUUUUUUUGUUGAAGAAAAUUUUGUGUAGCCAGGUUGAAAUGGGUAAUAAAAAUUUGGAUCAUUAUGAAAUGGGUAAGAAGUGUUAUGAGUGAUUAUUGAAUGGGUAAUGGGUAGUUGGUUGAAUUUUGAAUGAAUGGAUAUUGGUCCCAUUAAGUUUAUAUGAAAUUUAUAGAAAUAAAUGAGAUGCCUAUGUGGGUAUAAAUUGGAAAUGGAUAUGAAUGUUUUCUUAAUUUACUUACCUUCAUGUAUGUUGAUUCAAAUAAAAAUAAAAUUGAUAAGUCUUUAUUUAUUAUAAAUAUUUAUGGUAGUUUAUGGAUGAUAAUACUAUUACCAUGUUUGUGCUGUUACUUGAUAUUAUUCUUUAGCAUAUAAAUAAGGGUUUAUGAAUUAAUAAAGAGAGUCUUAACAAUUAAGCUAUUCUCUCUUUUUAUUUAUUUUUCUUCUAUUUUAAUUUUCACAUUUAUUUUACAUUAUUAUUAUUAUUAUUAUUAUUAUUCACCGUAAGAAAUAGGAUUUUAGGUGACGGUUGCCAACCGUCAACAAAUCUUAUUAAUCCGUGACUAAAACCUAUUGUCACGGUCUUAUGCAUCUGUGACUGAGCAUCACAAUAGGAGGCACAUGUAAAGGUAUUGGUCACGGUUUCCUAAGUGAUCGUGACCAUAUGAUUUUUUUUUUGAAAACCUAUAGUCAUGGUCAAGUAAUAAACCGUGACUAAAUGUACACUUAUAGUCACGGGUUAGUUAGCAACCGCGACUAUAUGUAAGCUUAUGGUUUUGAUCAAGUAAGUUACCAUGACUAAAUGUCAGCUUGAUGGAUUAAAUGUAAACUUAUGGUCAUGGGUACAUGAGUGACCAAAACUAUAUGAAAUCUUAGGGUCACGAUUAAUUAAGUGAUUGUAACCAAAGAUGAAAAUUUCUGUUUUUUUUGACGAAAUUUCGACAAAAUUUCGUUUUUUGGUCGGCGAUGAAAUGAAAGAGGAGGGUGAAAUGUCGACGGUAGAAAUAUCCAUAAAUUUCGCCAAAAAUUGGAGAAAUUUCGGUAAAAAGAGAAAUUUCGACGAUUUUGUGAAAAAAUCGCCUCCAGUUGGAAAAUUUCGGAGAAAAAUCGUUUUGUUUCGUUUUAUUUCAGAGAUUUUUCGUAGAUUUUGUGAAAAAAGAUUUGUACCUCUAACACCAGAAUAUGAACGGACGAGUUAAUGGUGGGACCAUCGGCGGUGUGGUCAAGUUACACAGCCACGACUCAUACGGUGGUGUUAGGGCUUGGAGGAGGGUUAGGGCAGGUGAAGAGUGGUUGAUUUCGUGGCAGAGAGAGAAUUGAGGCGAUGGGUCCGACGAGUAGCGACGAUGAUGUUGGAGCCGGCUUUGGCGAGGUCGAGAUAGAAGUCGCGGUCGAGGGCAGAGGAAGCGCCGGUGACCAUGACCACCUUGCCUUCUAGGCGGUGCCAUGGCUAGAGGUGGUUGGAGACUUUGUUCACCAUUGGGUCUCUGGCAUCCAUUAAAAGAAAUAAACCUUUUCAUUAUGAUAUUUUUUUUCUAUUACCUAUUUUUAGAAUAUUGUCUUUUUUUAAUAUGCCUGAAUAAAGGAAUAAAUAUUUUUUUAUUGGAUCUUUUUAUAAUUUAUUAAAAAAAAUUACUCUUCUAAUAUUUAUUAAUUUUCGAUAUUAGAAGAGCAAUUAUUUCUAAAUGUAAUAUAUUUAGAUAAAAGAAAAAAAUUACAUUUUUCUUGAAAUUUUUUUUAAUAUAUUCCAAAAUUAUUAAAAGAUUGUUAUUUUUUAUUUUUUAUUUUAUAUGUUAAUAACUUAUUAGGAAGAUUGUUAUUAUUUUCGUUUAUAGUCUAGAAUGAAGGGAUUUAAAUGAAAAAGGAAAUAAUGGAUUUGGAGUAGAGGGAAUUUUUAGAAGGAAAGAAUUUUAAAGGAUUUGAUGGGAUACUUUUGAAGUUUUUAAUUUAUGAGAUUUUAAUUUUAUUAAAGUAAACUUUCUUUUUUUCAAUGUUGACUUAUUACUCUUACCUUUUCUUUUUAAAUUUAAAUUAAUAUAUACAUUUUUGUCUUUUGCACUUACAUACUAUUUCUGGCAUUUUUUUUUUUUUGGAACUUCUGUGGAAUUUUUAAUGAUAGAAUCUUCUUGAAUAAAUUAUUUUAAAUAUGUAUGAGGUUUAUUUUCUUUCUUUUUUCAAUAUAAUAGAUGCCCAAAUAGAGUAGAAGGAAAAAAGAAUUUGCUACAAUAAUUAAUGUAUUUUUUUAGUAUUUUUAUUAGAAUAAAUAAUUGUCCAACUUGAGUGAAUUUCCAAUUUUAAUCUCACUUAUAUCAUUGUAGUUGUUAUCUAUUUUUAUAUCAAGUCUUUCAUGAAGCUUGAUAAUGAGUGUACAAUUAUAAAAUUCACGUUUCUUCUCGACCAACAUGAUAUAAUUACAUUUAAUAUCGUAAAUUAUAUAAUACAUAUAUCAAAUUCUUCAACAAAACAACUUUAAAUUGUCUAUUAUAUUUCUAAUUACAUUGCUAUGAGGUUUUUCUUACAUUUCCAUGAGUUUUGAUCAAAUUUUGGCAUACCGAAAUUUUUUUCCAAAAUAUCUGCUGAUAUUUCUCCGAUAUAUCCAUAAAAUCAAGUUACCGAUAUAUCCGUAAUUACCGAUAUUUUCAUCCUUGAUUGUAACUAAAUGUAAUCUUAUGGUCACAAUCAAUUCCUUAGCUGUAACUAAACGUAGGUCUAUAGUCACAGUUAUUUAAGUGACCGUAACUAAAUAUAAUCUUAUGGUCACAGUCAAUUCGUUAAUCAUGAGUACAUGUAGGUCCAUGGUCAUGGUUAAUUAAGUGACCAUAACUAAAUGUUAGGUCUAUGGUCGCGAUUAAUUAAGUGACUAUGACAAAAUGUACACUUAUGGUCACAACUGGUAAAGAUCAUGACUAAAAUUAAUCAUAUGAUGUCUUCUAGAUCACUAAAUUUUGGUCAUGGUUCAUUAUGGAUUGUGACUAAAAGUAGACUUAUGGUCACAAGUUUUUAAUGGCCGUGACUAAAAUUUGUCAUAUUUAGACAUUGGUAUUUAUAAAUUCAGAUUUUCCAAAUCUGUUAUAAACAUGAACAAACUCAUUUUAGACUUGUAUAUGCAAUUAAAAAAUUAAAACAAUUUCAAAAUUUCAAUAUAGUACAAUAUAUUACAAUCAAUUAUCUUAAAAAAUUAAUAAUUUUUGAAAAUAAUUUAAAAAAAUUAAGGUAGCAAAUCAUUUUUACUAUAUCAAAUUUAAAAUUUUUUAGAACUAAUUUUUAAGAACAUAAAAUAAAUUCAUAGUUUUAUAAAAGAAUUCUUACAUUUAAUAUAUAAUUAAUUAUUGUUUGUUUAUAAUAAAAAUAGAAAAUAUAUGCAAAUUAUGAUUCGAGGUGAAUGUGUGGUGUGGACUCCUAUACAUAUCAUGAUUCCAAAUCACAUUCCAAUUAAAAAAAACAAGACAAAAAUAACAAAUCAAUUUAUGUAUUAUUUUUUCCAUAAAAAUAAUACUUAAUUAUGAAAAUUAAUACUUAUUUUUCCUCAUAUAUCAUUAUAAAAAUUCUUUGGCUGUCUUAUGUUUACUUCAAACUAAAAUUAUUUAUCUUCAAUUAUUGAAAAAAUAAAAAAAUAAAGGAAAAGGAUAUUGAGUCAAAUAUGCAUGUUUCAUAUUAUUUUUUAUUUCUUAAGUAGUUACUGAAAAGUUAUAGGAAAAUGAUAGAAUAGGUUUUCAAACAUUGUAGAUUUUCACCCAUUUUCCUAUUUUUUUCUAGGCAACCAAACAAUGGAAGAUAUAAGGUUAAAUGAGAAUAAAAUCAAAAUGGUGAAGGAGGUUAUUGUCAAAACAUUUCCAUUUGAGACAAACCCAUAAUCAUUUCCACAAACACUCACAACAUAUAUCAUUUUCAAUUUUUCUAAAAGCACCAACUAAGAAAUAAACCCAAUAACAAUGGAAUCUCAAACCUAAUAACAAACAUUUCCAAAAUACCAACUAAAAAAAAAAAAAAAAAAAUCCAAACCUCACCAAAACCUAGAAAAAAAAUUAUUUUUAAGGGAGUUUAUUGGAGGUGACUUUAGCUUUACCGACCAUAGGGGCUUCUUUGGCAUGACUUCCUCUAAGCAAUGGCGACUGUGGGUAGGUUUUGUGGGGAAGAAAUGGUGCCUUGUUUUUGUAUGGCCGUGGGUUUUGGGGAGGGAGAAAGAAUGGGUUUUGUUUUGUUUCGUUGGGUACAACUAUUAAUGAGUUAUGGAAAGAAAUCAAGUGUAAAAUAUUUUGAAAGUAUUAAUAAUAUAAAGGCUUUAUAAAUGAAAUGUAUUUUAAAUAUUCAUGGUUAAAAUGUUUUACUAAAAUGUAACUAGAACUAUUAAUUUUGAAAGUUCAAAAAUUUUAUAUUGGAAGUUAUUUUCAAAGUGUUAUUUUAAAAUUUUUAUUAAGUUUUAUCAAGUUUUUCAAGUUUUAAAAUUAUCAAGUUUUAAAUUUAAAAAUUUUAUAUUAGAAAUUUAUCAAGUUUUAUAUUUUAAAAUUUUUUAUUUUCGAAGUAUUAUUUUAAAAAUUUUAUCAAGUUUUAUCAAACCUAUCAAGUUUAAAAAUUUUAUAUUAGAAAUUUAUCAAGUUCUAUAUAUUAAGAUUUUAAUAGUUAACUAAAACAGUAUUUUUGUUACAUGGUAAAUUUAAGUUUACUAAAAAAAAAGUAACUACAUAGAGAGAUAAAUUUGAAUUGAAUUACUAUAAAUUGAUAAAUAAUAUUAAUGAUGAUAAAAUUUAAUAGAAUUUUCUCAUAAUAACUGGUCUUAUUAUCAUCAUAAUUAAAAAAAACAUAUCAAUUGAAUAUCAAAUUCUUAAUGUCUUUAUAUAAAACCUAUUAUUAAUAAUCAUACAAUAAGAAAAAUAGGUACUUUAUAUAAAACCUAUUAUUAACAAUAUAAAACCUAUUAUCAUUAACCCUAUUAUUAAUAAACCUGUUAUGAAGAUUAUUUUGAUCUUAAUUGUUAAUAGUAAAAUUUAGUUAUCACUUUUGUUGGUACUUUAAAUACAAUAAGAAUUAUUAAUCAUAUAUAAAAUUAAAAUUAUUUUUUAAUUUGCUGACUCAUUUAUAUUUAAACUUUUUAUCAGAUAAUAUCAAAUUGAACCAUCAUAUUUUUAAACUAAUAUAUUCAACUUUAUUUUACUUCUUAUUAAAACAUUAAUCAUUACAAGGAAAUUAAAUAACUUUAACUAAAGAAAAAUAGGUAACACACCAAUUUGUUUCUUAACUUAAAAAUAUAAUAAUAUAACUUUGAACUUUUUAUAAUUAAUAACAACUAUUAUUAUUACUAUUAAUGAUAAUUUCUAUGAUAUAUAUAUAUAUAUAUAUAUAUAUAUAUAUAUAUAAGAUUUUCUAAAAAAUUAUAAUAGGUAACCCAAAAAUCAUUUAAAAUAAAUAAUAUACUUUGGUCACGAUUGUGUGAACCUCGUGACCAUAGGUUUGAAAUAUUUAAAACAAACAUUUGUGCAGUUGGUCACGGUCAAAUGUGAAAUUUGUGACUAUAGAUUAUCGUAUAGUCAUGGUCAAUCAAUGGCAUGACUAAAAGUCACAAAAAACUGUGAUUAAAACAUCAUUUUGUUACACUUUUUGUCAUGAAUAAUAAAAUUAUUGUGACUAAAAUUAUUGGCCCCAAAAUUUCCCUCCAUAAAUUUACAAAUAGUUACGGUUUCAAAUAUAUUCGUGACUAAAAUACCCUAUCAUCAAUCAUUUUAGUGACGGUUGAUAAAAUCAUCGUGACUAAACAUGUUUUUUUUCCCACCCUAUAUUGAUAAACACAUAUACAUAGUCACAAUUUUUGUCCUAGCCAUGACAAAAAAAUAUCUUUGGUCACGAUAUUUUGUGGCCGUGACUAAAGAUUCGUCAUUAAAAACCUAUUCUUUUGUAGUGAUUAGUAUUUAUAGUUACUUUAUUUUGAAUAUAUUUGAUAGAAAAAAUAAAUCUAUUUUUCCAUUAAAUCACCUCCAUUAUGUUCAUUCACUUGAAGUAAAAAAUGGUUCAUUUCAUCUUAAAGAAGAUAAUGAAUAACUAAAUGGUCCAAAAGUUCCAUAUCUUAGUAUAAUUGGUAUAUUGACUUAUUUGACAAAUUGUACAAGACCAUAUAUAACUUUUUUUUGUGAAUUUACCAGCAAGAUAUAAUUUUGCACCACCUUGAAAACAUUAGAAUGAGAUCAAACAAAUAUUGUGUUAUCACAUAUAUGGGUUUACUUUAUGUAAAAUGAGUGAAAUCAAAACUAUUUGGAUACGCAGAUUCCAACUGUCAUUCAGAUCCUCACAAGGUUAGGUCUCGAACCGUAUAUAUGUUUACUUGUGGUAGUACUACAAUAUUAUGGUGAUUAAUAGAACAAACAAUGGUAGCUACUUCUUCGAAUCAUCCACAAAUACUUGCAAUCCAUGAAACAAAUCGAAAAAAUAUGUGGUUGAGAUUCGAAAUCCAAUAUAUUUGAGAAUCAUGCGGACUAUCUUAUAUUAAAGAUAACUCAACAAUACUAUAUGAAGAUAAUGUUGUAUACAUCACAUAGAUUAAAAAAAUAUGCAUUAAAGGUGAUAGAAUUAAGCAUAUAUCACCCAAGUUCUUUUACAUUCAUCAGCUCCAAAAGAAUAUUGAAAUUAUUGUUCAAUGAGUAAGAUCAAAUGACAAUUUAGCAAACUUAUUCACAAAGGCAUUGCCAACUAUAAUACUCAAGAAACUCAUAUAUAAUACUGGAAUACGUUAACUAAAAAAUCUUCAUGCUGAACUAUUAGAGAAAGUACAAUCAUGUCAAUAUGAGAAGAACUAAUUAAUAAGAAUAUCACUACAUUGUACUCUUUUUCCCUUUGUUCAAGUUUUGUCUCAUUGAGUUUUACUGUCAAAGUUUUUAACAAGGCAAUCAUAGUAGUUUAAAAUAAUAUUAUACUCUUUUUUCUUCACUAAAGUUUUUCCCAUAAGGUUUUUCUUCGUAAGGUUUUAAUGAGACAUAUUCUAAAAAUGGUUGUCAUCCAAAGGAUAGUAUUAUAAAUAUUUAUGGUAGUUUGUGAAUGACAAUACUAUUGUCAUGUUUUUACUCUUACUAUAUUGGUAUUAUCCCUUAGCCUAUAAAUAAGGAUUUAUUCUAAAAGUAGUUGUCAUCCAAAGGGUGGUGUUAUAAAUAUUUAUGGCAGUUUGUGAAUGUCAACACUAUUACCAUGUUUUUGUUUUUACUAUAUCGGUAUUAUCCCUUAGCCUAUAAAUAAGGGUUUAUGAAUUAAUAAAGAGAACCUAACAAUUAAGCUAUUAUCUCUUUUUAUUUUUUCUUCUUCUUUUUUAAUUUUCACAUUUAUUUUACAACAUUAAUAUUAAUAUUAUUAUUAUUAUUAUUUAUAGUUGCUUUAUUUUGAGUAUAUUUGAUAGAAAAAAUAAAUUUAUUUUUGUUAAAAUUUCAUUAUUCAUGGUUGCAUUUUUAGUGUUAGAAAAAUACAUUUUAAGAUUUUAACAACAUUUAUUCUCAAACAAAUGUGUCAUCAAAUAAAUUCUUUUUAUUAUUUUCAUUUUUUAUUCAUUACAUAUUAAAAUGAUUUUCAUUUAGCAAGCUGUAAUUCCAAUGUUUUAUAGACCAAUUAUAAAAAAAAAAUAAAAAAUUGUAUUUUAAUAAGAAAUUGAUAUUUGUAUUGGGCAAUUGGUUAUAACCUCAAUAAUGAAUUGUAAGUGAUUGGAUCAUGAUUAAUUCAAAAGAAAGAGAGAGAGAGAGAGAGAGGCUAAUUUAUAAAAUUAAAAUUAUAUAAGAUUUUAAUAUGAUAAUAAUUUCCAUAAAAUUAAUUUUAAACUUUUUUUUAUACAAUUACAUAAGUGAUAUGAAUGUAAUUUGGUUAUUUUUAGGGUAAAGUAAUAUUAAGAAAUUAACAAGAAUUCAUAACAAGAAUUUAAUAGUGUUGAAUAUUAAAUUGUUUUUUUUGGUAAUAUUUUAGCAUUAAAAGAUAAAGAAAAACCAAUAUAUUACUUCAUACAUUCAGAAAAAGCUAAAUAUUUUAGCUUUUGCUAUAAAAAAUUUAUAAUAAAUCAUAAAAAAAUAGAAAAACAAACAAUCUAAGUUGAAAAGCAAAUGACUUUAAGCAAAAAACUAAAAAAAUAAAAAAACAUGAAAUGAUAGAUUGCAUUAUUACAUUAAUUAUUUUUUGUCAAAAUGCAUUAAUAACUUCCUAUUAUGAGAGUUCAAAUUCAUGCAACAUCAAAUUAUUUUAUGAUGUUAUAUGUAAAUAUAGGUUAAUGGUAAUAAAUGUUUUUAUUUUAUUUUAUUUUAUUUUUUUAUGGAAAGAAACUAAAAAAUAGAGUAUCUACCCAUUCGAUUGAAGGAAAGAUCUAAAUAAUCUUCAAAACCAAAUUUUACAACGUAUCUAGGAAAAAUCUGAUAUUCAAGUGAAAGACUCUAAAUUACAUAUAUCUUGUUUAAUUAAACAAUUUGUUGUUUUAUUUAUUUCUCUAUAAAUAACAAAUAAAAACAUUAAGGUCUUGAGUUAUCUUUUAAAUAUCUAUCACUACUUUGAUAACUCAUUAUUCUUAACAGCUAACACAUCAUUUCUAAAAGUAAUACAUGAUAAUAAAUGCUUUAACUUCUAUUUUAGGAUGUCCCAAAUUGACUUCCACAUCUUAUUAUUUUAUGAUAUUAUUAUGGGAAUAUAAACAUACUAAGAAAGAAUAGAAAAUAUUCAAAAUUAAACAUUUUCCAAAAACCCUCAAACUUAACGUAGGAAAUUUUGAGAAACAAGCCCCCGGAAUUACCAACUAAAAACCAAAAAAUUGAAUACAAGUAUCUAAAACAAAUAAGAAAUCUAAACAAGGAAAAAAUGUUUUUGAAAAAAUCUGUUUCACAAUUAUUAAAGUGCUUUUAGCCCAAAAAGUGUUUUUGAAAAAUAAGGGUGUUUGGCAAAAUUUAGAUAACACUUUAAAAAAUUUGAAAAAUUACUUGUAAUAUUGAAAAAUCACUUGUAGUAUAUUUUAGAGAAAAUUUGAUAGGUGAUUAUUUUAAAACUAUUUUUAGAGAAAACAUUUUGAGUAGAAACAUUGUCAAACAUAUUCUUAUAUUUAUUUGAGCAUAUGUUGUAGAUUUUGAUAAAUGUCAAAAUGAUAAGUGUUAUCUAAGCCAAUUUAUCCACUAAUUUGAGGUUGACUUCUAUGUCAUUCAACAAUAUUUUCUAAGCAAAAUUAAUUUUCAUAACCCCAUUUAGGAAUUUAAUUAUGUCAGGCAAUUCUUCUUAAUAUCUUAAAAUCAAGUAGUCGAUUGAAUAUAUUAUAGAAAAAAAAUAUGUUGUGAAUUGAAAAUUUAAUAUUUUUUAAAGAAAAAAAAUCAUAUAAUCACAUUGCAUUUUUGCUAUUAAUACUCCAUGUAUAUGAUAGAACAUCAUUUUAUGAGCCACAAAAAAAAAAAAAAAAAAACCCAGCAAAGGAGAAGAAAUGAGUUGGAGUUCAUCAGGUCUUCAAAGGCCUUCUUUGUUUAUGUUAUUAUUGGUAUUGAUUACUGGAGUUGAAAUCCAAAGCAAACAUUUCAAUGUAGAUAGUUUUGGCGCAGUUGGAGAUGGAAAAAACAAAAAACAACCAGAUAAUUUUAUGUAAUAUUUUAUAAUACAUUAGUAAGUGUGUAUUUGAAAAUAUUUUUAUUUGAGGUGUUUUUAAUUGAAAUUUAUUUACGUGUUUUCAAACACUAUAAAAUAAUUUUUAAAUUUUACAUAUAUAUUGUGGACAUGAGUUGUAUAAUCCCUACGUUACAAGCAUAACUGAAGGGAUCAAAUUACUACUCUAUAGGGUUAACUUUCCUUAGACAUUUCUAUACAAUUUUAGAUCAUGUAUGGGUUAUAUAUUAAGCUCCUUUGUAACCAUUUUUAAUAGAGCAAUUUGUGUAUACAAAUCCCAUAUAUACAAAUUAUUCCCUUUCUCGUCAAUAUGGUAUCAGAGCAGGUUUGUUUUUGCUCUUUGGUAUCAACUCCUUGAUUCUACCCAACCUCGACAACCUAACAACGAUGACAUACAAGGAAAGUAGAGAUUUUUCGCUUGAUCAAACCUGAGCCUUCGAUGAGUUGGAAGAAAUGAUCUUGCCACCGACGAGACUGUGAUAGAAGACGACUACGCAUCUGUGUCAUCCAUGUGACGACGACCCCUGAUUUUGUGCUGUUGAAGGUUUUGAGUUGACGACAACAAAGACAAACCGUUUCCUGAUUGCCAAAAUGGACAGAGCUGCCAGAGCUUCCCCUUCGAUGACGGCUUGUGGUGGUCGGCAAUUCCCAUGGAUUCUCCAAAAGCUGACUUAGUUCAGUUAGAUAAUUCAAUCGACUACGAAGCUAUAACCCCGACACCGCUGGCCACUAGAAUUCCAUUUCCCUGCGAUCUAACAACAACCCAGAAAAAAUCAGACUCUCAGACAGGAGGGUCUCCACCAACGACAACCUCUAUUUUAUCAUAACUCACCAUGAAGAUGGAUGAGGUGCUGAACAAGGCCCCGACCCCAACUGUAGUGGCGGAUACUGCCCUGAUCGGCAUAAAUCUUGAUGGAUCGAAUUAUGUACUAUGGUCCUAAGUUGUGGAGAUGUUUGUCUCCGAGAGAGACAAAUUAGGGUACAUUAAUGGUGAUUUACCCCAAUCGUUUCGACUGAUCCAUUAUUCUGAUGAUGGAGAACCAAAAACGCCGUCGUCAAAGGCUGGCUCAUCAACACCAUGGAUUCAUCCAUUGUUAGCACGUUAGCACGUUCAUCCGGUAUCCCACUGCGAAAGAAGUUUGGGACGCCAUCGCUAUCACUUUCUUCAACUUGAGUGACACUGCUCAAGUGUAUGAGCUUUGACGAUGGGUGUGUAGGCUACGACAAAAUGGUGGAUCUCUGGAGAAAUUUUAUAACAAGCUGCAAGGCUUGUGGAGGGAAAUAGAUUUUCGUCGACCAAACCCCAUGGAGUGCCCUAAGAAUGUGCAAUGGUACAUCGCAAUUCUCCAAGAGGAGAAGGUCUAUGUGUUUCUCGAUGGCCUUAAUGAUCAACUCGACCAAGUUAGGAGCACUAUGCUACAAAUGCAACCAUUUCCGACGAUUGAGCAAGCCUACGAGUGCAUCUGAUGGGAAAUGGUGUGACAGACAAUGAUGAGGAAUGGUUUUGAUGAAGGGAUGGGAGUUGGGUUGGCUUCCAAGGGGCUGAAAAUGAGCCCCCACCCAUUUGGAAAAGACAGAGUUCUAGUACUCAAUAAAUCUAAUCCCACUGGUCCAAAUUCAAAGCAAUGGAUAGAAGGCUUAAAGUGUUCCCACUGUGGAAAUUCCAAACACACAUGAGACACUUGAUUUAAGCUCCAUGGAUACCCAGACUGGUGCCAUGAGCUCCAGGCUAAAAAGAAAUGUAAUGGCACCAAUAUUGAGCCCAGUAUUGGUAAAAUGAUGGUAGUAGUACCAGAACCCCAACUGUCUCUAAUUCCUAUUGACUCUACCAACAACACGUCAGGUAUAACAUCUCUUGGAUUUACUAGAAGUAAUAAGUGCAACUUGUGGAUCCUGGAUUCCAGAGCCACGAAUUAUAUGACAUUUGAUGCACAAGACUUUUUUCAGCAUACAGUUCAUAGGAGAACUAGCAUUACGAAUGCUAAUGGCACUAUUUCAUCGGUACAAGGGGUUGAAACUGUGAUGCUAUCACCAACCCUGUCACUCUCCAAUACAUUAUUUGUGUCAUCCAUAUCUCAUAAAUUGCUUUCUGCCAGUCAACUUACUAAGGACUUAAAUUGUACAACACUAAUGUACCAUGAUUUUUGCCUUAUCUAGGAUAUUCUCACGAAGGAAAUUAUUGGGCAUGGUACUAAGAAGGGGAGAUCUACAAAAUGGAUGACUUCAAAAUGGGACAAACACAUCAUGUGGGACAGUCGGGUGAUUCAGGAAUAGAACAGAUCUGGCUUUGGCAUCGACGACUCGACCAUCCGUCAUUUGGAUAUUUAAAGCAUUUACUAUCUAGUUUAUUUUAUGAUUUCUCUAUCUCAGAUUUUCAAUGUGAAUCCUGUAUUUUGGCAAAAAGUCACUGGGUAAUUUAUCCUUUACAUAAGAAUAAGAGUGAUGUUUUUUUUAGCUUAAUUCAUUCUGAUGUGUGGGGACCAUCCUCAAAAUCUACUCUAUCGGGUUAUCACAGGUUUGUUCUCUUUGUUAAUGAUUGCACUCGAAUGAUGUGACUCUACCUACUGAAAAACAAAGAUGAGGCUUUUACUAUCUUCUGUUCUUUUCACACAAUGAUUUAGACCCAAUUUUCUGCCAAACUUAGAGUCAUUCGCUUUGAUAAUGACGGUGAAUACAUGAAUUAACAAUUCCAAGAGUACUUCCACCAGCAUGGGUUGAUACAUCAAACCUUGUGUCCUCAUACUCUAGAGCAAAAUGGUGUAGCAGAACGUAAGAGUCGCCAUAUUCUCAAGACCACAUGUGUCUUCCUAUUAGGUGUACAUGUACCUAGUUCUUAUUGGCCUGAUGUGGUUAUAACUGCCGUGCAUCUCAUCAAUCAAAUGCCAUCCUGGAUUAUGGGUUUCAAAACACCUCUACAAGCCUUAACCGCGAGUAUAUCAGUAUUUUCGGUUAUGACGCUUCUUCCCUAAACCUUUGGAUGCGUUGUUUACAUUCAUUUUCACCGUAACCAACGCACCAAACUCAACCCUUGUGCUCAUCGUUAUCUCUUUCUAGGCUAUGCCACCAAUCAAAAAGGUCACCGGUGCUAUGAUCCAACAAACAAGCGGCUCUAUGUUACUAUGGAUGUCACCUUCCUCGAGUCUGAGAUGUUCUAUCAUCCAUCUAAUUCUUCUCUUAAGGGGAAGACACACGAUGAAGAGUUGAAUUGGUUCAAGAACAUCCUAGACAUCCCACUAGCUACAAAGCCACCAAUGUUGAUGGGUAUGGAACAGACUAUAGAGCUACCAAUGCCGACUACUGAGACACUGACUUCGAUCGCUAAGACACUCCCUCAUUCUACAAUACUUCAUGACCCCAACUUUUGAGAAUAUUCCUAAAGAGAUUCCUGAGGUAAGUUCUCAUCUUGUCACGAAACAUUUAACUGACGAUGGUUAUCAAUUACCUCUCAGGCACAAUUGUGGCAAACCACCAGAACAUUACUCUCCAGAUAUUGAGACACACAGAUCAAAGUACCCGAUUGCCAAUUACAUCUCAACAGAGAAGCUCUCAGAACCUUUAAAGAGCUUUUCUAAUGCAUUAUCGACGCAUCACAUUUCUACAAGCGUAGAGGAGGCUCUACAAGACCCUAAGUGGGUCUAAGCGAUGAAGGAAGAAAUGAAAGCAUUGUUGAAAAACAAAACGUGGAUUCUUGUUUCUUUACUAGAAGGCCACAAGAUAGUGGGGUGCAAAUGGGUAUUCUCCAUCAAAUACAAGGCGGAUGGGUCGAUUGAGAGCUACAAAGCGAGACUUGUAGUGAAAGGAUAUACGCAGACUUACGAAAUUGACUAUAUGGAGACCUUCUCACCUGUAGCCAAGCUGAACACUGUAAGAGUCCUUCUAUCCCUUACAGCGAACCUUGAUUGGUUGCUAUUCCAAUUUGAUGUAAAGAAUGUGUUCCUCCACAGUGACCUCGAUGAAGAAAUUUAUAUGGAUAUUCCUCUAUGGGUACAUUGAAACAUCUGGCAAGAUGGUGUGUAAACUGCAGUACACCUUGUAUGGCUUGAAACAGUCUCCAUGAGCUUGGUUUGGAUGCCUCGGCCUAGCAAUGAGAAAGUAUGGGUUUCAACAGAGCAAUUCUGAUCACACUCUAUUUCUAAAAUGUCAACAAGGUAAGGUAACAACACUAAUAGUGUAUGUAGAUGAUAUGAUCAUAACAGGAAAUGAUACCAAGGAAGUUGCGAAACUUCAAAAACAGUUGGCAGCAGAGUUUGGGUGGGUUGAAAUAUUUUCUAGGAAUUGAGGUGGCUCAAUCUAAACGAGGUAUCUUUCUUUCGCAACGAAAGUAUACUCUCGAUCUAUUAUCAAAAGUUGGAUUGCUAGACUAUAAACCAGCAGAUGUUCCAAUACAACAGAAUCACAAGCUUGGAGAAUACCCCAGCCAGAUCCCCAUUGAUAGAGGUAGAUAUCAGAGAUUGGUUGGAAAACUAAUUUAUCUUUCACAUACCCGACCUGAUAUUGCUUAUGUGGUCAAUGUAGUGAGUCGGUUCAUGCAUUGCCCUAAUGAAGAUCAUAUGAAUGUAGUGACUCAAAUUUUGAGAUAUCUUAAGAGAACCCUAAGGAAGGGAAUUAUGUUCCCAAAGAAUGGACACUUGGAAAUUACGGGGUAUACCGACGCUGACUGGCCAGGAAAUAUCUCCGACAGGAAAUCCAAAUCAGGCUACUUCACAUUUGUUGGAGGAAACUUGGUAACACGAAGAAGUAAAAAAUAGAAAAUAGUAGCACUAUCUAGUGCAGAGGUGGAGUUUUGAGGAAUAGCUAAGGGGUUGUGUGAGUUACUCUGGCUGAGAAGAUUGUUGACAAAAAUUGGCUUUCCUUCCAGUUGCGAGAUGAACUUGCUUUGUGAUAACAAGGCAACCAUUGAUAUUGCUCAUAACCCAGUCCAACAUGAUCGAACUCAGCAUGUGGAAGUGACCGACAUUUUAUCAAGCAGAACUUAGAAGCUAAGUGUAGACCCUCCAUUUUGUCCUCUUAGCAUAUGUCCUUUAUAGCAAUUCCCUAGUGGCCCAUUACCACUUGUGUAGUCUAUAUUUUCUAAGCCACCUCGGGGACUUUGGUUGAGGGAUUUAUUAAACCCCAUUAUGACUCUUGACAACCCUAAUUUAGACUUAGGCCCAUUAGACACCACCUUAGGCCCAUUAGGCACCACCCUAGGCCCACUUAGGCACUUUAGGUUCACUUAGAUACUCUAGGCCCAUUAGGCACCACUUAGGUCCAUUAGACACCACUCUAGGCCCAUUAGGUACUACCUUAAGCCCACUUAGGUCACAUUUUAGGCAUUUUUUUCAUAGACGCAUGGCUUGCAUGGCUCAUUUUUUAUUUUUUUUAUUUUAUAAAGUUGCAUGACUUGACUUUUUAUUUAUUUUAUUUUUGUUUAUUUAUUAUCUUGUCUAUUUCUUCCCUUAUUUUAUUUUCUUAUUAUUUCAUCACUUUUCCGUAAUACUUGUUCUUACUUAUUUAUUUUAAUUUAAUAAUUUUGUUGAAAUGUUUCUUCUUAUUAUUAUUAUUAUUAUUAUUAUUAUUUUUAUUACUACUACUCAUUUUUAUCAUUGUUAUUAUUAUUAUUAUUAUUAUUAUUAUUAUUAUUAUUAUUAUUUUAUUUAAUUUGUUAACUUUGACAUUUUGUAGGAAAGUCCACCAAAGAUUGAAGGAAAUCAUACACGGCUGCAUCUUGGUGGGAUAUUCAGACUGCAUACAUUGGGAGUGGCAACCGGAUACAGGAAGAAAUUUAAGGACGAUCACCCAUAAAGAAAGAAAAGAGAAUGCAACCAUUGUGAUUUUUUUUUAAAUGGUAAAUUAUCAAAGCUAUUGAGUAUGUGAAAAUGAGGAAUCUAGCGUGUAUGUGGACAGAAUAAGGGUUGUGUGUAAAAGAAAAAUUCUCAGCGUGCAUAGAAAAAACAUGGGGAGGCGGGUCAAAGAAGAGGACGCUUAUGGGAAGGUAGCCGACUAGUGAGGACAGAGAAGAUAAGGAAUCUUAAGAAAAAGAAGAAUUGAUUACGAGAGGAAAAAUGUGACUUGGAAGGAAAGACACAGGCUGGUGGUUUGAAAAAGAGAGAAGACAAACAUCAUUUGAAAAAAAAUAAAAAUAAAAUAAAAUUGGACAACCGACUAUGUGGAUGGGGAGAGAAAAAGAUAAUUCAGCCAAAGAAAAAAAAAAAACAAACAUCUUGGAAGGGAGGAUUUUGGGGGACAUCACGUCGAGCUUACUGUCAUCUGAAAGACUUCAUGGAGUAACCUGGGAGCUCUUGAAGGGACCAGCCGCACCAUUUGGAGACUGUUAGGACGCAUCAAAAGAGGGUUUUGACAGCAUGAGAGAUGAUUUUUUGGAAGAGAUCGAUAGAGGGGAUUUGUUUUGGAAAAGAGGAGGGGAACAUUUUUUGAGGAGAUUAGAGGUUGUUGUUUGGGGAGGAGAUCAGUAGGCGUUUCGAAGGGAUCAAAGGUUGCUAUUCCGACAAAGAUCAGUCUACGUUUUCAGAGCGUGAGAAGUUGCUGUUUGAGACGAUCCAAAAAAAAAAGUUCAGAGCAGGAAAUGGGUUGUUUGAAGGGAUCGAAAGAGAGAGCUUUGAGAGCGUGAAAGGGAGCUGGCAUUUUGGAUCAGUGCGAGGAGUUUUUCAGAGGGAAAGACUGCCAUUUUUUUAUCACCGGGCUGUUGAUUUCUUUUCAUCACCGGGCUGCUGAUUUCUUUUCAUCAUCGAGUUGCCAUUUUUUAAAUCACGGGGCUACCAUUUUUUCAAUCAUCGGGCUACCAUUUUUUUUUAUUACCGGGCUGCUGAUUUCUUUUCAUCACCGGGCUGCUGAUUUCUUUUCGUCACCGGGCUGCCAUUUUUUCGUCACCGGGCUGCUCAUCCAUCAUAACAUCAACUCCACAUCACAACUGGUGCUAUUCUACUCAUCCUUCAGCGCACCAGCUGCACACCACCUUCUCUGGUAUCUUCACGGCUGUUAGGUAAGUUAGUUGUCUUUAUAUAUAUAUGCAUGGGUUUUCAGCAACAGUGAAGGUUUGGAUCAUUUUUCCAAGUGAAAUUAUUAUUAUACUAGGUAAGUGGUUUGACUUUAUUUACUAGCUCCAACAUACAUUUUUUUUGUUUUAAUAUGGCAGAAUGGGAAUUGUGUUUAGGUUUAGUUUUGGUAUAUUAUAUUAAAUUCAUAAAAUAGAAAUUCAUGUAAUUUUACUUUUGAAAAAUAAAAAAUAAUAUAGUUUGAUCUUUAUUUAGUUUAGUUGUGAUUCAUUUAAUUAUUAGUUAUUUAUUUAUUUAUUUGCUACUAAUCUAAUGCUUUGUAACUUAUUUAUUUAUUAAUGAGAUUGAACCUGUGGGUUAAAAAUUUAGUUUAAAAUAAAAAAGAAAAAAAUAUGUUGAAGGUGGUUUGAAUUGGCUUUAGGUUCAGUUAAAAUUAUAGUUUAUUGAAAUGAUUGAUUUUUAUGUGUUAAGUAUUAAAUUUUAAACUUGCCUUAAUUAGUGUUAAAAAUGUUUGCUAAGCUCAAAUUUUAUUUUAGUAACGUAAGUUUUUUUUUUUAAAAAAUUAUUUAAUUCCAUGAGUUCGUAUUUCGUUUCAUUUAUAUUUUGUUUCAUUCAUAUUUAUUUGUCUAUGUGUUAUAAACUUAUCCGUUUAAUUAUGAGUUUAAUUUUAUAGGUUAGAAAUUUAGUUUUAAAAUUUGUCUUAGGUAAUUUUAUAAUUUAAUUUUUGGGUAAGAUAAAAUUUUAGUUUGUUAAAAUAAUAUGUGUGUUGAGGAUUUAAGUUUAGAUUGGUAUUAAUUAGUGUUUAAUUCAUUUUAAGCUUAGAUUCCAUUUUUAUAAUGUAAGUUUAUUUAGAAGAUUGACUCCAUUAAUUCACAUUUUGUUUUUUUUUUUUAAAUUAUAUUAUUUAUUUAUGUGUUAUCUAUUUAUCCAUAUUUCAAUAAGAUUAAUCUAUAGGUUAGAGAUCUCGUUUUCAAAUAUAUUCUGGUUAAUUUUUUAUUUAACUUUAGGUUUAGGUGCUCUUGUAAAAUUUUUGUUUGUUAAAAUAAUUAAUCUUACAUAUUAAAUAUUUGAUUUUAGACUUGCCUUAAUUAGUGUUAAAAAUAUUUUUUUAAGCCUAGAUUUCAUUUUAAUAAUGUAGGUUUAUUUAGAGAGUAGAUUCCCUGAAUUCAUGUUUUGUUUUUUUAGUUUGCCUUCAUUUUAAUUAUUUUAGGUGUUUUUAUAAUUUUAAGUUAUUAAUAAAAUCAAUUCUAUAUUCAAAGGUGCCUAUCCUUAGUUUAUUCUGAUUUAGCUUCACUCAUCUAUUCGGUUUGGGUAUUUUCUAUAAUAUUAGUUCACUAAAAAAAAAAAAAAUUAAUUUUAUGAUUGAAAAUUAUUGUUUGCCUUGAUUUGAUUUGGUCUAUUUUAAUUGGUCUAGAUGUGUUUGUAUGUUUAAUCGAUCUUGUGCUAAUUCUCGAUUGUUACUCUUAAUUGAUAUGUUUUUUCAAUAUUAGUCAUUAAUUCUUGGUGGGUAUCUCGUUAGCUUAUUUGAUAUGAGUUUGGAUAGUUUAUUGUUUAGGUAGUCUCUGGUAAAAUUUACUUUUCGGAGGCCAUCAAAAAAUAGUGAAGAUUGGUCUCUAUUCUCACCACUUCAAAAUUUUUUUUUGGGUAAUCGAAAAUUCUACUUGGUGAUUUUGUUUUCUUUUGUUUUGCCUGAUAUUUUGUCUCAAACAUUUUGUUGUUUUUUCAAAAUAAUUUCUUUUAUUUUAGAAUAAGAUACUUUUCUCAAAAUGUUCCUCAUAAAAAUCUAUUUUAAAAAUUCAUUUAGAGUCCUUAGAAUUAAAAUCUCAUUUUCUUUAAAUAACAUGCAAUCAUUUUUUUGAUCGGUUUGCAUCCUUAUCAGUUUUCAAUGAAAAUUUUGGUUUUGAACAAAACACGAAUCAAAGCUUGUGGUCCCAAAUAAAUGGGAUGAUUCUAGGUUAGAUUUGUGUAUAUCAAUUGGGGAAUUGGUGAAACCCCUACAUAAGAAAAUUUUUCAAAAUUCUUCCUUACGACCAGUUUUCACUCAACCACUGACCCUUUAAAUUGAAAAUUCGUUUUAGCAGCUUUAUAAUGUUUUUAAAAAAUUUACAAAACUUUUAUGACUUUCCUCAUUUCUCGAACUUGAAUUUAAAGUUUCAUUUGAGUUAGAAAGUCAUUCUGGAAUAGAAGAUAUAAACAAGUCUUUAGGAGGGCCCGUUUUCACCCAAUUCUGGACACCUGAGAUAUUUUUGCAAAAAUAAAAUACUAGAUGACUUUUUAAAUUUUUUUAAAUAUUUUUCCUCAAUCCUAGACUUCUUGAAAUUGAUAUUAGACACAUAAAAUAUUAAAAAAUAUUCCUUUUUGAGAGAGAUGUGAUUUUUCAAAGUCGUACCUAUUGUGCAUGUUGAAUUCUAGACAUCUGAUUAGCUGUAGUGUCUUAAAAAUGUUUUUGAGUACUAUCCGACCCCGAAUUCAUUUUUUUUUUAUGUGAUAUAGACAUUUUGAAAUUUUUUUGUGAUAUUUUGUAUGAUUUUAUGUGAUCAUUUAUUAUUUUUAAAAUUUUUUUUUUAUUCAUGUCACUUUUUUUCUUAUCUAAUCUGGACUUUGUGGAACUUUUGGGCAUCUUUGCUGCAAUUUGGCAUUUGAAUGAGUGUUUGGAUUUUGGUAUCUUGUUCUAGAUGUGUAGGAGUUGUUUCCAGCAAUUUUUUGUGAUUAAAUUCCACUCCACGUCAUUUUUUUUAGAAAUUAUUUUUGUGAUGCUCCCUUUAUUAUAUGCAUGUCGAUGACUCAGUACUUGCUUGAAUUGGUAUUAUUUUUGGAGUCAUUUGAUUUAUCUUAGCUUGAUUUUGGCUUUGGCACAGUAUGUUAGACACAAUAAAGGUGUUAUAUGAUAUAUACUUGUCUUAACUACUCUAGCCUUUUUUGAGGAAUCUUAUAAAUUAUGCAUGCUAUCCAGGUAUGUUCUCUAUCACUUACUUUUCAAAAUUUUAUGAACAUGCAUGUUAUUGUGAAUUUCAUUUAUGCUUGAUGUGAUCUUUAGGUGCUUAGAUGUAUGCUUGAUUCGCUAUGAUUAAAUACAUGUUGUGUGCUAUAUUUCUAUACUAACUUUGAAGUUUUAUGAUAACGCUUGAGAAGCAGUUCGGGUAUGCAUCUUAACUAUUCUUUAUUGUGAUUUGAUCUUGUUUGGCAUGCUAUUUUUCUGAAAUCACCUUAGUCUACCUAGGUAUCCUCAACUAAUCAAUUAAUUGCCACAUUUUCCUUAACUUAGUCAAUAGAGACCUUUGUAGGGCUUAGAGGGGUGCUACCUUUUUAGAGGUACAUUCCCAAUAAGUAAUUCGAUUCCCAGACUUAGACUUGGGUUUUCCAAAGACACGUUUUCCAAAAACUAUGGAGUCAUUUUUUAGGGUUUUAUUUCUUAUUUUAUUUUCCCUUUAAAAUAAAAUAAAAUAAGUGGCGACUCCAACUUUUCCAAAACUAAAUUUUUCACCAAUAAAAACGAGUCUCGCCGAUCGAGUGGGGGCGCACAUAAGAAAUGCGGGUCCACACUAAGAUAAUCUGAUUCCCAUUUGUCAAAUCAAAAGACCAAUUAGCAGACAUCCUCACUAAGGCGGUAUGCAGUAAGGUCUUUCACAACUUACUUGACAAGUUGGGCAUCGACGACAUCUAUGCACCAACUUGAGGGGGAGUGUGGACAUGAGUUGUAUAAUCCCUAUGUUAGAGGCAUAACAGAAGGGAUCAAAUUACUACUCUACAAGGUCAACUUUCCUUAGACAUUUCUAUACAAUUUUAGAUCAUGUAUGGGCUAUAUAUUGAGCUCCUUUGUAACCAUUUUUAAUGCAAUUUGAGCAUACAGAUCUCAUAUAUACAAAUUAUUCACUUUCUCGUCAACAUAUAUAUUUUAACAAAUUUCAAACUUUUGUUUUUUUUUCUUAAAAUGUUUUUUAUGCUAAAAACUAUCAAAUGGAGUUUAAUUAAAAAAAAAAAAACAUUAUGAUAAAUUUGAUGACAAAAUCUACUCAUGUGAAAUAGUAUGAAGAGUUUAGUCUAUUAUACGCUUUAGUUUUUAAUUUUACAUAAAUGGUAAAAGUGUAAAAUGUUAUUAAGAAAAUCAUUUAUAAUACAUAGCAUCAUAAUUGAUUUUUUGAAAAUACUUAUAAAAUUUUUUAAAACUCUUAAUUUAUUUUCGAAAAUACUUUUUAUGCUAGACAGACAAGAGAGUUGAAAAAUAAAAAUAAAAACAAUUAUUUUGUGUCCAUAUGUUGAUUUCAUUUUUACUUUUUAUUUUUUGGUGAGGUUUGCACGGAUUUUUGAAGGCAUAGAAGGCAGCAUGUGGGUGGAAAAGAUGGGCAACAGUGGUUGUUCCAAGAGGAAAAUACUUUGUGAGAGGAGUGAUAUUUUUAGGCCACUGCAAAGGACCCAUUGGCUUUAAAUUGAUGGGGGAUCUUCUGGCCCCAAAAUAUGAAUCAUCCAUUAAUUCUAAGCCUUUUGAUUUUUGGUUGAAGUUCAACUAUGUGGAAAACUUGUCAAUCUAUGGAGGUGGGAAGCUAUAUGAUGAAGGAUCCUCAAUUUGGUCUUACAAGGGCAAGUGUGUACAAGAAGGUUGCUUUAUUCCUUUUUCCCAUGUAAGUGCCCAUAUAAUUGCUUUCCCAAAAAUAAAAUAAAAGACAAAUAAACAUAUUAAUAAUAAUAAUAAUAAUAAUGCCUACAUUUAAAUCUUCUUGAAGGAGUCCUCGAUCACUCUGACGCUCAAGCCCUAAUCUAAUCGUUCGACAAAAAAAAAAUGUUGGAAUAUAUGCUAAAGCAAUUUUUUUUCUUUUUUGUGAACUUUUUAACUUUUAAGCAAGGUGAGCAAUAAAUGUAAGUUUCCAUUAUCUACUUAGAUAACAAAAAUGGUAUGUUCUCAUUUAUUCAUUAUUUUUUUUAGCAAUAUUCCUUUCCAUACUUGAUAAAGGUAAUUUUAAUAUUUUAUUGAAGUUACUAUUUGAAUGCAUAUAGGAGGAAUUAAUUUUUCCAUCAUUCACCUCUAUAACAAAAGUGAUAUAUGGAAACUCAUUCUUUCAAUAUCGUCCCAUUACAUAAUUGAUAGUUAUCUCAAAUUUAAUUUUCAUCACUAAUAUUUUGUCAGGCUCCUAUGAUUCUCUUUUUAAUUUAAUGCCUUCAAUUUGUUCAAUCCUUCACUAGUCACGAGAUAGCCUUCAAAGAUAACUUAUUUGAGGAAGUCUUAAUUAUGUGUCAGAAUUCCUUAAUGAUAUAAGUCAAUUGUAUAUUCCAUUAAGACAAAGACUUAAGAAAAACUUUGUUCCAUGGAAUGAGAAACACACUAAGAUUUUCUAAUACAAAAAGUAAUUUUUGGAUACCUAUCAAAAUGGCACUUUGAUGCCAUGUAUAUUUGUUAUCUUAUUGUUUGUACUUAGUUUCAUUUGUUUAUACCCAUAUAUAAGGGAAACAUGCGUGGAUUCUACUCAAAUCAAAACAGAGCAUGUUUAGUCUAAAAUCAUGACAAAUAUUCGGUCAUCAAUUCUAUAUUUGGAGCUGAUUCUAAUUUUGCAUUAUUUAGUUGUCUGUUGUAACAUUAACACAUUUCUAGCAUUACCGUAUAUGUGUUUCCUAAAUUAGCUUCUCUUCCACUUUGUAUAUAACACAAAAUUUCUAUCAAUAAAGAGUGGGCAAUUAUUCAUUGAAAUCACAACAGUACUUAUUUUCUAUAUGGUAUCAGAGAAGCCACUCUCCACCGAGCCACCAAUCCAAGUCAUUACAAUGUCUUCCUCCUCCGAUCAAACUCCCCACUUUACCCUCAACACCCAACCCCCUUCCUCAUCAGGAAAACCCUUUAUUGCUCUCAAUAUCACUGCCCAAAUCAAUGAAAAAUUAACUCCCUCCAUCUUUCCUCAAUGGCGUGCUCAAUUUGAAGCACUUCUUAUUGGUUAUGACUUACUCGACUAUGUCGAAGGCACCUUUUGGUGUCCUUCUUCAGAUGGUACCGUUGCUGAAGAGCUGCCCAAGACCCAUUGGGUCCGACAGGAUAAACUUAUCCUGAGUGCGAUUUUAGCCUCUACAUCUCCUUCAAUCACACCCUCAUUGCUAUGGCUAAAUCCUCCCAUGAAGCUUGGAAAAAGCUCACUCAUCUAUAUGAUAGCCGAUCCAGAACUCGUGCAAUGCAGUUAAAGGAGGAACUCACCUUAAUCCAGCGUGGAAAUCGGACCAUCAUAGAAUAUCUCCAUGUUGUGAAGACUUUGGCUGAUGAAAUAGCCAUCAUAGAUCAUUCAAUUUCGGAUGAUGACCUAACCCUUUAUGUGUUGAAUGGUUUAGGUCCAGAUUUUCGGGAGAUUGCAACACCUAUUCGAGCCCGAGAAUCAUCAAUGACUUUUGAGGAGUUGCACGACCUAUUGGUUGGACAUGAGGCUUAUCUGAGGCACCUGGAAGCCGCAACGCAGAACAUAGUUGCUUCCGCUAACUUUACAAAGAUGAAGCCGUCUGCAAAUGGGGGGACUCACCAGCGGUUCUUUAAGCAACAUGAUCAUUCUCGUGGGCCUUAAGGCUUCAGUCUAGGCCUACACUUCAAUGGAACCCAAUGUGAUGGACGACGUCCCAACACAAACUCUGGUUAGCUCAAUAAUUCCACUCGGCGCUAUCAGCCCAAGUGCCAGCUUUGUGACCAGUUGGGCCACAUUGCCAAGUCCUGUCUUCAAUUUCAUUCCCAGAAUGUCUCUAUCAAUUGUGCUACCACUUCUACGGGAAAUGAUAAAAAUUGGCUACUUGAUUCGGUCGCUUCUCAUAAUAUCACGGGUGAUCUUUCCAAUUUAUCUAUUCAUUCCGAAUAUGAUGGAACUGACGAAGUAAUUCUCGGUGAUGGUUUAGGUUUGGCUGUCUCACACAUUGGUUCUUUGGCUUUACACUCUCUGCACAGAACUUUUACAUUACAUGAUGCUCUUUGUGUUCCAAAUCUUUGCAAAAAUUUAAUUUCUGUGCAUCAUCUCACCAAACAAAAUGAUGUCUUUGUUGAAUUUCAUCCUUUUUAUUUUCUUGUGAAGGACAAGAUCACGAGGGCGAUCCUACUAAAAGGAGCAUGUAACAAUGGCAUCUACACCUUCUCGGAAUCACUGGUGGCGUCCAAAAAGGUUGCUAAUGUGCAUGAACGGACCUCCAUUGAUGGAUGACACAAGCAUCUUGGGCAUCCUUCUCUUAAAAUUGUCCAUCAUCUUGUUAAGAAUUUUUCUCUUCAUAUUUCCUCGCACAAAAAUUUGUCUUCAUUAUGUCAUUCAUGGUCUAUUAAUAAAGUACAUCAACAACCUUUUUGUGUCACAAGUCUCCAAAGUCAUGAGCCCUUUGAACUUAUUUACAUGGAUGUGUGGGGACCUACUAGUUAUACUGGGAUUGAUGGAUCACGAUAUUACCUUAUUUUUGUUGAUCAUUAUACAAAAUAUAUAUGGUUUUAUCCAAUGGCCACUAAAUCCGGCGUUUCUACAAAUUUUCCGCAUUUCAAAAAAUUUGUUGAAACCCGCUUUCAAAAAUCAAUCAAAACACUAUAUUCUGACAUUGGAGGUGAGUUUAUUGCUUUAAAAUCAUAUCUCUUACUUCAUGGCAUAACUCACCUUAGUACUACUCCCCACACCCCACAACAAAAUGGUGUCUCUGAACGACGUCACGGUCAUCUAGUUGAAACGGGCCUUACACUCCUCCAUGAUGCAAAUCUUGACUUCUCGUAUUGGCCCCACGCUUUUCAAACAACCUCUUAUCUCAUAAACCGACAACCCACGCCUCUCCUAAAAAACAAAUCACCUUUUGAAGCUCUUUUUGGUCAAUCACCCAAUUAUUUAAAAUUUAAAAGUUUUGGGUGUAUUUGUUAUCCUCUCACAAGGGCCUAUAACUCAAAUAAAAUGCAGCCCAAAUCAAAAGCCUGUAUUUUUCUCGGCUAUUCACCCAUUCAAAAGGCCUACAAGUUUUUUGAGCCACAAACAAAAAAAUUCUUCUUCUCUCGCCACGUGUUAUUUGAUGAAAAUCACCUUCACUCCAACCCAUCCUCACCCGUGACUUUCAUGCCUACCCAGUACCUUCGAGAACCUCACCAUUUGCUUCCACUUCACUUCGGUGCCCAACCGACUGCAAUGUCCUCAUCAAUGGUCUUUGACGCACCAGCAACCUCGUUGCCUCCGAAAGGCUCACCUGCCAUCGUUGCGUCCUCCCCAGGUAAUUUUGAACCCUCUGCUUUUUUACUUCAUGAUUGCUUGCAAGCCGUAGACCACAACCCCACCCAUCCGAAUACUCCUCUAGAUGAUAAUUGGCCUGGGUCUUCCUUAAAUUUGCAAACACAAUCUAACCAUUUUUCCCUGAUACACAUCUCAAUGCAGAUCAUCCUCUCCCAAAUCCAAAUUUCACAAACUCUAACCAAACAAAUCCUCAUCCUUAACGCACUCAUACCAUGACCACAAGAUCAAUUAACCAAAUUUUCAAACCCAAACAAAUCUAUAUUGUGUCAAAACAUCCUCUUCCUCAAACCAUUGAACCAAUGAGUGUGAGCCAAGCCAUAUCUCAACCUCACUGGAGUGAGGCCAUGUCCAAUGAGCCCACUGCUCUAAUGAAACAUGGGACUUGGGACCUCGUUUUACCACCUUCAGAUUGCAAUCCUGUGGUGUGUAAGUGGAUAUUUCAGGUAAAACAGAAAGCUGAUGGGUCUAUGGAUAGAUUCAAAGCCCGUCUCGUUGCCAAGGGCUACAAUCAACGUCCUGGUGUUAAUUACACAGAGACCUUUAGCCCUAUAGUUAAACCAGCAACUAUUAGAGUUGUAUUAUCUAUUGCAAUCAUGAAUGGAUGAUGUGAAACCAAGGUUUGGUUAAUCUUGAUUUUGAUGAUAACAAAACAAGGUUUAGAACUAAUGAUUAUAUCUCAAGUGUGAUUAGGCAAGACGAUUUCCAAAGUGGCAAUCACAAAGACAAAUCAAGCCAAGGAGAAAUUAUGAAGAAGAAGACCACCUCAAAGAGAAGAGUUUUUCAAGACCCAAGCUUCAUAAGAUCUCUUUGUAAGGUUGUUGGUGCACUAGGACUUUCAUGCAUUUCAUUCUUUAUUUAUGCACCAAAAUCAUCCAAGAGUAAUAAUGUUUUAAAUAUCUUUAAAAUUGGAUGAUUUCAUGUUUUCAACUAAAACCUUGUGUUAAAUAAUUUUCAAACUUGUGUUAAAAGGUUUUAAGUUGAAAAACGUUGGGUGUUGAGCCAAAAAAUGGCUCAACCGGUUCAAUCGGUCGACUGGUUGUGCUCGUCUGGUCGAGUACCGGUCAAUGAGGCUAAAAAGUUUCUCUCUCUCUCAGUGACCUUCUCUUCCCGGUCGAGGUCUGGCUGAGGCCCAACGAUCACCUGUCAAGCAUUUAAUGCUAACGGCUAGUCAACCGGUCGACCCCUAGCUCGACCAGACGAAUCCCCAAACGGCUAGUUUGACUUUUCUCUUCUAUAAAAAGGCUCCAAUCUUCAUUGUUUAAAGAGUUUAACAUUUCCAAAAUCCUUCUUGAAUAUAUUUGAGCCUUGGAAGAGUAUUUUUUAGUGCACCAUUAUUUCAAAACUUGCAUAUCUUUAGUGCACCAUUCAAUCCUAGUUUUUUCUUGUAUCAUUUGAGCUUAAAGCUUAUACUAGGAUUUUGUGAGAUCAAUUAUUUGUAAACCUUGAGAGGAAGUUUCAAGAGUGGGAUAUCUCUUGAGAAUUGUAAAGGGUGCUUGGAGUCAAAAGUCCAAGAGGGUGAAUUGGAACCAUAAUCCAAUUGUAAGAAGAUUGGAAGCUUGGUUGAAGCUUCAAGUUAGUGGAACCCUCACUCGGUUAGGAGGUUGAGGAGAGUGGAUGUAAGUCGGGUUGCGCCGAACCACUAUAAACUCUUGUGUUUGCAUUAUCUCUUCCCUACUCUUUUAAUUUAUAUGCAAUUGUCUUUAUUUUGCUUAUCAUAUACUUGCAUAUAAAUUGUCUCUUACUUUUGCUUAGUUUAAAUUUGAAAAAGAGACCAUCACCCUAUUCACCCCUCCUCUAGGGUGAUUAUCAUAGGUUGGAUUAGCCCUAAUUUCCUAACAUAUGAGAUUUGAGGAAACUGGACGUUAAUAAUGCCUUUCUCCAUGGUGAAUUAACUGAAACUGUUUUUAUGGCACAAUCUCCGGGGUUCAAAGAUCUGUCCAAACCUCACCAUGUUUGCAGACUAAAGAAGACUAUCUAUGGGCUUAAACAAGCCCCACAGGCUUGGUACCCUGCCUUCAAAACUACCAUUCUUCAAUUGGGUUUUCAGAACUCCCAGGCAGACUCUUCUCUCUUCAUUUAUAGUCACGGCUCCACUCUUUGUUAUUUCCUGGUGUAUGUUGAUGAUCUUGUCAUCACAGGAAAUAAUCCAACUCUAGUGGCCUCCAUUAUUAAAUAGCUGGGUGACAUGUUUUCUCUCAAGGAUAUAGGUUCUCUUCAUUUUUUCUUGGGGAUUGAAGUCAUUCCUACAAAGGCAGGAUUAUUUCUCUCACAGCAUAAAUACAUUUGUGAACUUUUAGACAACACAGGUAUGAGUGGUGCAAAAGAUGUCUCAACCCCUUUAUCUACAACCCAAUCACUUCAAUUGGUUGAUGGCAUGGUUGUUAUGGACAGCUCUGAGUUUCGUCGAAUAAUUGGCAGCCUUCAAUAUAUUUCCUUGACACGUCCAAAUAUCUCAUUUGCAGUUAACAAACUCUCUCAAUUUAUGCACAAGCCAACUGCAAAUCACUGGACAACAACCAAACGGCUCCUCCGUUACUUAAAACAAACCAUUUUUUAAUGGUAUUCAAAUCCACAAAGCUGGAACUCCUGUACUCAGGACAUACUUCGAUGCCGAUUGGGCUAGAAAUAUGGAUGAUCGUACGUCAACUUCUGCAUACAUCAGUUUCUUAGGUCCUAAUCUAAUCUCUUGGAGCUCCAAGAAACAACGUGCAGUUGCAAGAUCCACAACCGAGGCUGAAUAUUGGGCACUAGAUAAUGCGGCUUCCGAGAUAAUGUGGUUGUCUACCAUUUUCAAAGAACUCGCACUUCCACUCAAAGAAUCUCCCCAUCUGUUAUGUGACAAUCUUGUAGCCACACAUCUAAGUUUCAACCCAGUCAAUCAUUCGCGUAUGAAACACAUUCAAAUCGAUCUUCACUUUGUGCGUGACUUAGUCCAAAAAGGAAGCCUUCAAGUAAGACAUGUACACACUCAAGACCAAUUAGUUGAUCUGCUAACCAAGCCACUGUCAAAGUAGCGCACAAAAUUGCUACGUACUAAGAUUGGUCUUGCCGAUGGAAGCCUAAUCUUGCAGGGGCAUAUAAAGGAAACAUGUGUGGAUUCUACUCAAAUCAAAACAUAGCAUGUUUAGCCUAAAAUCAUGACAAAUAUUCAAUCAUCAAUUCUAUAUUUGGAGCUGAUUCUAAUUUUGUAUUAUUUAGCUGUCUGUUGUAACAUUAGCAUAAUUCUAGCAUUACAGUAUAUGUGUUUCCUAAAUUAGCUUAUCUUCCACUUUGUAUAUAACACAGAAUUUCUAUCAAUAAAGAGUAGGCAAUUAUUCAUUGAAAUCACAACAAUACUUAUUUUCUAUACCAUAUACCUAAAUCGUAUUAGUUUGUAUCUUAUUAUAUUGUUUAAAUCUAACCAUACAUAUAUUGUUCUCAUAUCUUAUUUGGUAGGUACCGCUCCCGUACAUUGGCAUUUUCAUAUACAUGUAGUUAGAUGAAAUUCAUGACUAACAUCUUGUGCUUAUGAACAGUCCCUGAGAUUGGAAUUCAUCAAGUUUGGGAGUGUUUUAGACAUAAAAUCAAUUGAUAGCAAAGGCAAAUAGAUAAGUAUUUUUGGAUGUAACAAUGUGCAUAUGAGAGGUGUUAAUGUAUAUGUCCCCUGGGAACUGUCCCAACAAGGACGGGAUCCAUAUCUCACGCUCACGCAACAUUCAAAUUGAGCACAGCAUAAUCAAAACUGGAGAUGAUUGUAUCGCCAUUAUUUCUGCGACCAUGGAAUCAACAUUGGGAGCAUAGGUGGUGGCCCAAACCAAGACCCUAUAACUAGAAUACACAUAAAGAACUGCACUUUUACCAAUAGUGUGAACGGGCUUCAGAUCAAAUCAUGGGCUAAUAAUCCCAACUAUUCGGCCCUUGCUGCAGAUACCAGUUUCCAGGAUGUUGUUAUGCAUAAUACAGGCAACCCCAUUUUCCUUAACCAACAUUAUUGCCCUGGCCAAGGCUGUGAUCCAAAGGUAUGUAGGCGUCUCUAUAAUAAAAUUUGUUAAAUGGGACAAGUGAUAUCCCACAUUGCAUUUGAAAAAGUUGCUAGCAUUUUAUAUGCAUUGGCUUCUUUUAAUUAUAAAUAUGCGUUUUAAACUCGUGAGAGCUUAUCAGGUUUAGAACAUACAAUAUCUACAUAGUUGAGAAGAUGUAUUCUAUAAGGAAUGUAUUCUAUGGGAUACAACAUCCCAGUAUGAGAAUUUGUUUGGAGUGUUUCAUGUGGGACAUAAAUUCACAAGUCUCUCCUCAAUAUGGGAGUUAUUUGGCUCUGCAAAGGGUGUAUGAUCACGUGGGAAACAACGUAAUGAGGUUCUUGGUAUGAGAGUUUGAAUGACCCUGUAAGGGGUGUACCUUAAGAGGGGGUGAUUGUGAUAUCUUAUAUAAGAAAAAGUUCGGGACUCCUCUUAACCAUGUACAUGUGAACAAUAUUUAUAUGAUUGGAAGCAUUCAUGACAUGACACUGACUCAAACAUAUCCAAGGAAGGCUUGAGAUCAUGUGGCAUUGAAUGAUAUACUUUGAUCUAAAUGGGCUAAUGACUUAACAAGGAUUUGUUGUUGAUUUGAUUAUCGAUUUAUCUAUUUGGUGACUGUUGUGUGUAGGUUGUCUCGCGAGUUCAGAUCAGAGAUGUUAAGUUCAUCAACAUUUAGGGUAGUUCCAGCACCAAAGUUGCAGUUAAUCUCCAGUGUAGCAACAUCAAACCAUCUCAGAAUAUUGCGCUUGAAGAAAUCAAUUUAAAAUACAGAAAUCCCAAAACAAGCCGGUUAGAAUCUGUAGUUUCUUCAUGUUCAAAUGUCAAAGGCUUCUCUCGUGGCAUACAUCGGCAUUCCUCUUGCAUAUAGGCCUCUUUUUUUCAUGCAACUCCAUAUAUAACAUUAAGUCGCUGAAAUUCUUUGGCAUCCAUCAUUUUCCAUUUUUCUUUUUAUGGGUUUGCAAUGGAGACGUAGACGUCAAAAUUUUUAAUAAAAUAAAUUAUCACUAAAUUAUUAUUAUUUUUUAAAUGUGAUUUCCCAAUUCAAAUAAAUUUGGAAUCGACUAGUAAUAGGUUCUACACACAUUUGACAUGUAUUAAAAAGGGAACAUGUGACCAAAUUUGAAAUAUUAAAAAAUUUAUUCUUAUAAAUAAAAUCAAAUAUUUUAAUUGAGAUGAGAAUUAAAAAUAAAUAAAUAUUUUCUUAUUGAUAAAUUUUCUUGAUGAAAAAAGACAAAUUGCCAAAAUCAAGCAAAAAUUCUUUGAAUUAAUCAAUUAAAUCUUGGGGAAUUCCAAAAUUUAAUUAUCUAAUUUUACAUAUUAAAAGGGGUGACUUCCUUCUAUGAAAGGACUUCUUGGAUCUAUAAAAAUGGUUUAGCCCAAGAAAAAAGGUUCUACAAAAUUUUCUUACAAAAUCCAAGAAACAACAAAUGUAAUACACACCAACAAUCUUCACUUUUCUACAUGAAGAAGCCACUUGUGACCCUCAAAUGAUCUCUAAAAUCAAGAAAACAUUUUCAUCAUCUCCAAAAUUAUGAUCAAGGUGGAAAAAAAAAUAUAGUUCACCAAAAUAAAAGUCUUCUGUAUUGGUUUUAACUUAUUAAAAAGUUUCUUAUUGUUUUAGGAAAAUUUUGAAAGUACCAAAAUAACUUUAUCCACUUUAUUAGCUUCAUUUAAAAAAAAAAUUAAAAUGAUAAAAAAAAAUAUCAUCAAAACAUAUUUUUCAUACUUGAUUUUUGUUUUCUUUGAAAAUAAAAGCAAAAAAUGAAUCAAACAAACAAACCUGUCAUUACAAAGGUUUGAAAAGUGAUCGUGAAGAUUUUAAUUUGAUAGAAUAAUUUAAAUUAAAUUUAAAAGUUAUAUAUAUAAAAUAGUUUGUUUAAAAAUUAUUUCAAGUAUAUAAUUUUAAUAUAUUUUAAAUUUUAAAUUUGAUUCAAAAGUAUAUAAUAUAUAAAUAUAUAAAAUGACACAACACAAGUAUUUUCACUAUACCAUAAAUAAUGGAAAAUGCUUAAAAAAAUAUGAAUAGUUUUUAGAUUCUUAAAACAUUUUAAAAACAAAUUCUUAAAAGACAUUUAAAAAAAAAUCCUAAAAGAUUUUUUUUGUAAAAAAAAAUGCUUCAACGAUAUUUUUUCUUGUUGUUAAUAAUUUUUUAUUUCUAUAAAAAUAAAAAUAAUUACUAAUAAAUAUUUACAAAUUCCAUAGUUAUGAAAUAGUGCAAAAUUUGAAAUUUAAUACAAUCCUUAAAAUCAAUGGAAUAUAAUCUUUAAUCCUUAAAAUUGCAAUCCGAUCAAAAUGAAAUCCAAACAUAAAGGAGGCAAGCGAUUAGAAGGAAGACAUGAAAAACUCCGAUCCAACAUGGGCCAUGGAGCAAAAUUGGUAGUAACCUUAGACAAAUGGAGCAAAAAUGAUAGUAACAUUUAGGGAAAAAUCAUGCAAAAAUAGUAGUAGCAUAAGAGAAAAAGUCAUAACUACGAAGAAUAGCAAGCACCAAUAGCAUUACCAAUCCAUUUGAAUAAGAAAACUCUUGAACUUACAAAAUUGAAAAUAGAUAGAAAAAUGAAUACAUUAAGAGAACCUUAAAAAAAAAAAAAAGAAUAUAUAUAUAUAUAUAUAUAUAACAAAUCAAAUUGGAGAAAAUAGAAAAAUGAAAACAUAUUAUCAAAAUGAGGGAAAGUGAAAAGGAAAAUAAAGAGACCCUGCAUUAAAUCGAGUCUAAGUCUGGGGUCAGGUUACCUAUCAGGAAGGUACGGUGAUAAGCCGUAGUGCCACUCUAAGUCCCUAAAAAAUGGGUCUCUACUAAUCAAUUAAAGCAAAAAUGACAAUUAAUCGGGAAAUCAUGGAUACCAAACAAUGAUCAAAUAAUAUAACAAAUCAUGCAUGAUAACGGAUAAAUAAAUAAACAUGAUUGAGUACGAAGUGUAUCUUAGUCGUAAGUUGAGUGCUAUCAUGAAAAAACAAGAUUAAUGCACAAAUACAGAAUAAUCACAUACAUGUCAGAGUAGGACAAAGUCAAUCAAGCGAUCAAUCACAGAUGUCGGGCCCCACCAAUGCCCGAUUUAUUUUGUAUGAAUUAAUUAUCUAGAAUUUCAUUAUGUUUGGAAGUAUAGAAUUUUAUUCGUAUUUGUUAAAAUAAAAAAAAAAUUAAAAAUCAAGGAAAAAGUGAAAAGUGAUUGCCGAUGAAAAUAUGGAAGCAAAUUUAUUAAAAUAGAUUUUAAUGACCUAAGAUAAUUGCCAAGGAGGAAUAAAGAGUUAAGAAACUAAAAUUAUUUGAAAACCAAUUUUUGAAAGCAAUGAGGAAGAAUAAGGAAUGAGACGCAUGUGCUUUGAGGUGGCCAUGCAUGGCCUAUGCAGAAAGGCACGUGGGAAUUGGAUAGACAAGUAAUGGAAGUGAGUACUGGAUAUGGUCUUCAAAUCCUCUAAAUUUUGCUCAACUUAUGAUGGUUCAUUAAGUGUAUGACCAUUGCAUCCAAUAAAUUUUUCGAGCACAUAAAUCUAGCAUCUCUAUCCUUGUUCCCCUUGUUCAGAACAACCAAGCUUGGGAGAAUUUUGUCCAUUUCAUUUAUUUCUCAUGGUUUCCUACUCUGAUUCAAAGCUUUCGUAAGCGCAAUCUCGAUUUUUUUCCUAUGUUUCUAGAUCUCCGAGGUAUUUCUCUGGCCUCGUAUAUAGCUUUAACUCUUAAUUAAAUGAACCCUAGAUAUAUUGUAGGCUUAGUUGAUGAAAUCCAAGACACCCAUGACUUCAUCCUUUAGCACGAUCUCAAUGUAUUCAAAAGACCUCACUGACUUCAAUGGAAUCUUGGUUGGGAGCGAAGAAACAGUGCAUUCAAACUGUCCAUAUUAUGCACUUAGUAACAAGAGAUUGAAGGCAAUUCGUGGAGCUUCUGCCACCAAAUGUAUCAUGAUGGAAAAAAAACCACUUUCCAUCUUUGAAUUCUUUAUAAAAGUUGGAUCCUUUUGAGACCACAUAGGAAACUAGAAUUGUAGGAAUCAAAAGGUUGGAUUCUUUCCGUACAUGUCGAAUUGUCAUCUUUUCAUUCACUUUGACCCAUUUAGAAGACCAUUUGCCCGCAUAAAUGCCAUCGUAGGAGCACUCCAUCACAUCCUUCUUUUCAUCACCAACACUGCCCACAUGAGAAUCAACAAUUCCCUUAUUUCCCUUUAGGUGUAGAUAGAGAUCGAUCUGGUGCUCCAAAUGUGAAAUCAAGGUGUCCUAGAUGGUGGCAAGAAUAGAGAGCAGGAUAUUUGGAUGUUCUAGUGAGGUAGGUCCCAAGGAGAAUGGAACAUCUCCAUUAUGACUUCAGGUGAGGUUCCAUUACCAUAACCAGCUUUGCUUAAGGCAUCAAGGAUUGCAACUGUGACGUUUAAUCCCACUUCACAAGGAAGACUGCAUACUCAAUGCUGAUCAAGAUCCCGGAAAGAGAAUUUGUUUCUUUUGCAAUGCCCAAAAGGUCUGACAAUGACACCAAUUUCCUAGCAUUUUUGGCUGAUGGAAUUCGAAACAAUCUGCAGUUUGAAUAUGGAUAUUGCAAGGGUCAAGGUUUGAAUAUUCUCGCAUGUGAGGUUGAAGGUAAAUAUUCCAUUGCCCUCUUUGAAUCUCAUGUGUUAUGACCAAAGGUGUUCUUCAGUCGAACGUCUGCUAAGAAUUGGUUCUAUUUGUAGUUGAGCAUAGAAGAAAUAGGUGAAUGAGUGGAGGAAUGAGUCAUGCGUGCUUUAACAUAGCACACACUAGGGUGGCCAUGCAUACAAAUUUUCAUGAACGCGGGGGGUGAGUGGUGAAGCAACUAGGAAGUGGGUGUAAUUAGCAUCGAGACUAAGAAAUAGGUCAUUCUGAUUCGGUGCUCUAGGCGAACUCAUUCCAACUUGUCAUAUCAUCUUUUCUAAAAUAUCCGUUGUCCUAAUAAAAUUGAAAUUCCUGCUUCUUGAACCAUUCAUCUGGCUUUCUGUUGGAUACGUGGAGAGAAGAACUGGACCAAAGAGUGCAUCAGGUUUGGAAUGAUCUUCCAGCCCACUCACGUUCAACCCCAUGGCACUUUAUUUCAUUCUUCUUCUAGCUUCAUUGCUCGUAGCACUAAUAGCAGAGCUGGAACUUCCUUGAGCAUUUCUCACAGUUAUGUCAGUUCUCUUCAUCUCAGUAAUCACCUUCAGCUGCAACACUUCCAAUUAAAUCUGUCACACCAUGAUGGUUCUUUGGAACACAUUUAUCUUUUAGCUCAUGAUUAUCACCAUUUUUUUUUUUUUUGCAGGUGGAUGAAACCCACUCUUUAUUAUCAUUUGAUUGCAUGGCAUGGGAAUAAUGGAGGAAAUAAACAUAGAAAUUACCCAAAAUCAUCCAAAAUUUCUAAGUCUUCCACUGAAUAGAUUCUAACAACCCAAACCUUGCUAAGAUUUUACCCAUUAAAAAGAAUAUACAUGAAAAGGUCAUCUUCUGGAUCUUAAGGUUACUAUAGCAUUCAGAAGAUUCUCUAAACAAAGCAAUAAUUUCAAAGGAGCCUUGGAACCUAUUUCCCUCGUAGAUUCAGCAAUGUCGUCUAUCUCAAUAACAGUUUUUUGUCGUCGAGGAUGCAAGUUCCAAGUAGGACCCCUUCUUAUGAGCAAAAGAAUGAUAAGCACAAUGAUUAUCUUGCAUGUGACAUUGAGAUUUUAGGAGCACAAUGACCCACAUUACUGAAACCUUGAGAGCUCUUUGGAAAAUGACCAAGAGAACAUUGCUCGGAUGACUGAAACCUAUUCAACCUUUCUAGAAUCAACUUAAUAUGACCCAACUCUCUCAAAAGGAUGUCAGAAGUAGACAAAUCCAAAGGAAGUGAAAUAAAAACGCAACAAGAACGAAUAAAGCAAAAUACCCAUUAAAUAAUAGCUCUAUUUCAUGGGUUGUCAAUGAGCUUUUAAAAGCGGAUGAGAAAGUUUCAGUGAUCUUAACACAUGAAUAGUGGCAUAACUAUCAUGCAACACACACAGGUGAAAUAAACAAAAUGAGAAACAUACUUAACACAUUCAAGCAUCAAAACAAAAAUCCAAAUAUAAGUAAGAAGCAUAGUAUGACAUUGUAAAAAAAAAAAAAACCAUAGUGUGAAAUGGUCAUACCUGAGCAAUUCCCCUCGAGCAAAUGUUGCUUGGCUUCCAGCAAAUUGCAAUCCCUCUCCACUGUUCCUCGUUUCCCCCUCCCUAACUCUCUGUUUUGCUCUAAAUCUUCCAAAAGCUCAACCCCCCAAAGAAUCAGAAUCUCUCCCUUCUCAAAUGCUUCUUUCAUAGCUUGCUCACUCUCUAUAUUUCACAGCUUUUCCUCAUCUCCUUUUGUUCCUCCCAGCUCGUUGCCCCCUCUCCAAGCCUCCUAACAGUCUCUAAAUUUCCCCUCCACGUGUCACCUGCUAGUUCCCCAUAGAAAAGGUCCUUGCCAGCCCAUUAUGUCUCAUACACCUCAACCAAAACCCUCUAAAAGGUGGUAAAAAUGUGCUCUAAAAAUAUCCCCUACCUUUAGACCAAAAUGAGGGUCUACACAUACCAUCAAAAUGAGGGAAAGAGAAAAUGAAAAUAGAGAAUACUAAAAGGAAAAUGGAAAAUGUAUGACAUAACCAAGAAAAAAGAGAUAACUAAGCAAAAAUAGAGAAAAAGAAAAUAAAAGACUUUGCGUUAAAGUCGAUGAUGUUCCCAAAAGACAAUGCAAUAGGAGGGAUUUGACCAUAUGGGUAGAUGUCAAUUGAAAAAUCAUCACCAAUUUAUAGUAGGUAUAAAUUGAAAAGUUUUUUUUUGGACUUAUAAGAUAAUAAAAAAAGUUUAAGGGGCAUAUCAAAACUUCUACAAAUAAUUAUUAUUAUUAUUAUUAUUAUUAUUAUUAUUAUUAUUAUUAUUAUUAUAUUUUCUAAACCUUAAUAUUAUAUUACAUUUAUUUAUUAUUUUUAAUUUUAAAAUACUAAAACAAAAUUUUCUAAUAUAUUUAUAAUUAAUCAAGUAAAGUGUCUUAAUAUGAAAAUAUAUUCAUUUAUAAAGAUAGAAUCCAAUAAAUAAACAAACUAUUUAUUUUCAAGCAUAUCUGAGAUAAUAUUUUAUUUAUAUUAAUAUUUUUUAUACCAAUAAUAUAUAUUGGUUUCAACUUUUUAGUUUUUUUUAAAAAAAUUUGAAAAUAUCGAAAUGAUGUUUUUACUUUUUCCACUUUUUAGCUUAAUUUUCUACAAAAUUAAAAUAAAAAAUAUCAUCCAAACAUAUUUUCAAACUUGGUUUUUGUUUUCUUUGAGAAUAAAAACAAAAAAUAGUCUAAACAAAUAAACUUUAAUCUUCAAUAAUCAAUAAUAACUGGUUGAAGAUGCAUUUUAAAAGUAGAUGUGAUUACAAAGGUUUCAAAAGUGAUUAUGAAGAUUUUAAUUUGAUAGAAUAAUUUACAUUAAAUUUGGAAUAUAUAUAAAUAAUUGAAAAUUCUUAAAUGAUAUUUUUUUUUCUAGUUGUUAGUAAUUUUUAUAUUUUUAUUAAAAUAAAGAUAAUUACUAAUAAAUAUUUAAAAAUAAAUUUAAAAAUUUUUUAUUUAUCAAUUUUUUAUUUAUUAAAUACUACAAAUUUUAAAAUGUAAUACCAUAAUAGAAUAUAAUCUUUAAUCCUUAAAAUUGAAAUUGGAUCAAAACGAAAUCUAAUAUAGUCAACAUCAAUCCAAUGAAAACUUAAUGCAUUUUGUGUUUCAAGAGAGCUAAAAGAUAUCAUAAAAGGCAAACGGUUAGAAGGAUGGCACGAAAAACUCCAAUCCAAUGUGGGUGAUAGAGCAAAAAUGGAAGUAACCUCAAAAAAAAUGGAGCAAAGAUGAUAGUAACAGUAGGAAGAAAUCAAGCGAAGAUGGUGGUAAUAGCAAUAAAGAAAAAUCACAACUACAAAGAAUAGUGAGUAACAAAAGAUUUAGAGAAGAAAAGAAGAGUAAGUACCAAUCCUUAGAAUAAAAAAUAAAAAAAAUCAUUACACUUAAAAAUUUAAAAAUAUAUAGAAAAUGUAUAACAUAUGGAACGAGGAUAAAAAGGGAAACCUUAAAAAAUGAGGAAAAUAAUAUAACAAAAGGAAAACAUAUAGAAUGGAAAAAAAAAAAAAAAGCAUAUCAUUGGAGAGAAUGUAAAAGGAAAAAAAGAAAAUACAUCAUAUAACUAAGAAAAAAAAUUAAUAAAUAAAUAAAAGACUUUGAUUUAAUUUGGGAUUUCAAUAAAAGACAAUGCAAUAUGGGAUGAACUAUUGUCAACCAAAUUAAUGGUGGGAACUCAAAAGUGCAACAUGAUAAUUGAAGGGUUUUUGCUAAAGGAGUGUUAUUGGUACAUGUCAAUUGAAAAGGUGUUUUUUUUUUUUUUUUUUUGGGACUUAUAAGGUAAUAAAAUAAUUUUAAGGGAUUUUUUGGAGUAAAUUUUUUUUACAAGUUAUUGUAGUUUUAAUAUAGUAUAAAUAUAAAUAAAUAUAGAUAUAGAUAUAGAAUUUUUAUUUGGUUUUACUCUAGAAAUAUUUGACUUCUUGACCGUAAGGCUGGCAGACAUUUCAACAUUUUGCCCCCAAGAUGAUAGCAAAAAAAGUAAAAGCAUAUUAAUUAUCUUAUAUGAUUAAUGGACAGAUCAUAAAGUGACAUAUAUCCGGUAGUGACCAAAUCAAAAUUGUGUUGUAAAAACGUAUAGUCAUGAAGAUAUAUGUGACAAAAUAAAAGUAGCCUCAUGCAUGCAAUGAUUCUUAUAAAUAAAAUUGAGAUAAGAAUAACAUUUCAAAUGAUUGAUGAAUAUCCAUUUAUGUUUUUCCAAUUCUCUCCAAAUAGGGUUUAUCUCAAGUCUUCAAGUGGCAUAUACUUCGUAACAUUUGAAGGUUCUUCAAGUUUAAAGAUCUAAAAUUUCCUAAGAACAAUUUUGAAAAUUUGAAACUAUUUAAAGACAUAGUCGAGUCUCAAAGUGUCUUCAGUAUGAGAUCAAGCAUUUAAACAUUUGAGUUGACAUUUUUUUCUUUCGUAAAGAAGAAUUAGAGGAUAGAACGAGGAUGGUAUCUACUUUGUCAAUUCAAUAAAAUUUACAAUUUGAUCAUAUUUUUCUAUAAGCAAAAUUUAUGUAUAUAAAUUUCUAACGUGUUCAAUAGAAUAAGUGUUCAGUAGAAUAAUAUUUAUCUCUCAUCUUUUCUUCACAAAAAAUUUUCUAAUGGAGCUUAAGAAAAACAGUAACUCCACAACUCAAAGUAAGACAAAAGCAUCUUCCCAACACUAAGCUAAAUUAUUCUUCUCCUACACUAACUACAAUUCUUAAAGUUCUUUCUCCUAAGAAUCUAACCAUUUUAUUAGUAUUUUUUGAGCAAAAAACAAUAAUAUGGUUGAAUAAGUAAUAUAUGACACCUAAUCACAUCUUAAAAGUACUCUCAAACCCGAAGAAUCUUGUCAACAAUAAUCCAAAUUGCUUCUUCUCUUAAAUCAACUACAACUCUUGUUGUGACUUGAUUUUCAUUCAAUUUUGAAGAGAUUUUAAGUGAUAAUUGCACUCUUUCAACCUAAACAUAUGCUAACUUAAUUAGAGUACUAAUUAAGAUAUCUAUAAUUUAGUGAAGAAUACAAUAAGAAGAGGAUAAAAUCCACAUAUCAUGCAAGUUAAUAUGGUGAUAAGAAGAUUCAAGAUUGAUGAAAGCAAGUUGAAAAGGUUGAUGAUGCAUUUGAAAGACUUUGAUGUGCCAAAAGAUGUGAAAAAGAUGAGGAAGUAAGCAAUCAUUGAAUUUCCAAAGGCAUUUUGGUAUCAACUAAAGCAAACCGAAAUGAAAAUGUUGAAAGGAGUUCAAGAGGAUUUCAAUAAAGCAAAGCCAGUGUUGAAUCCAUUUCGACACUAAUUUCGAUACUAGACAACAAUUCAAUGAUGGAAUGCUUUAUCACAACAACAUGUCCAAAUGACACUUUAAUAGUGAAAUGAAAAGUCAUAUCAAAAUUAUGGGAACCAAAGCAAUACCAACAAGGCAAUAUCAAAAUUAUGACAAAGUCAUAAAACAUGUAUAUGUUGAAAUAGAAAGUUAAAAAUAUUAUAUGACAUAACAAUAAAUGGAAUUUAUUAAUAUUUAUUGACAAUUAAAUGAAGAAGGUACUAAAAUUAAAGUUGAGUAGUCAUUAUAUGUAUAUAUAUAUAUACAAAUUAAGGUUGUUUAGAGUUGUCUGAAAUUUUAAAAAAUAAGUUUAGUUUAAUUUUGUGUGAAAAAUUGGAUUUUAGUUUUAUAACAAAGCAAAUGGUUACAAAGAGAAAGGAGAAAAAAUGAAUUAUUUUUUCGUAAAAUAAAGCAAAACAAAAAAAUAUUUCAAAUAUUUUUCUAGACAAAAUUAGCUUAAAAAUGAUAAGUUAAAAAAACUCUAAAAAUGCCUUUUAAAUCUUAAUAAUUGCUUAAAUAAUUAAGCAUAAAUAAUAAUAAUAAUAAAUAAAACCAUUCCCUAACCGUAACAAUUUUAUUAGCGAAAUUUCAACUUGACAUUAGACAAGUUCUUACCAUCCUAAGGGGAUAAAAACAAUUAUGUUAUAUUUUAUUUUAAGAAAGUAUUAAGAAAAAAAAAACACAUAAAAGGAAGAUGAUUUUCUCAUAUUUUGUUUUAUCAUAAAAAAUAUAAAAGAAAAAAUAUAAUCAAAAUUAAUUAGAAACUUAUAUAUUUUUAAAUUAUUUAAUUUUUUUUAUAUAAAAUGGUUAAAAUAAAUUAAAUAAAUUUCUGAUAAUAUAUAAAAAUAAUUUAUUAAUUUUAAAUCUAUUUUUUAUUUUUCUUAUUUUUUAACUUUUGUUUUCUUUAACUCGCAUUUUCUCCAAGAACGAGCAAGGAAACAAUAUCUAUUGUACUUAUCAAUAUUGUCUUUUUAAACGAUUAGGAAAUGUUACAAAAAUGGCAUUCAUGUUUUUUCCUCCUCUAUUAUAUGGACAAUUAAAUAAGAGAUAAAAAUAAUGUACAAUUUUUUCCUACCUUAUUUUGCCCCUCUCCUUCUCUAUACCUUCUUGGCUCCAAAAUUUCCAAAAACCCAAAUUACAUAGCCACUCCUUACCAUAAUUUAGUCCUUAAGAUUCAAAUUUUGUGAGAUUCCCACCUUGAUCACCGUAAUCUUCUGGUUAAGGCAGUUUCUAAAAAGAGACAUUAGCACCCAUUUAUUAUUUCCUAUAAUAUAUAACUUAUCAUAGGUCAACCUUUUUUAUUGUUCCCCUUACUAAAAUAUUUAAAUUAGAAUAAUUGGAAUAAUAAGAUAAAAAACAAAGAGUAUGUUUGACCUUUAUGAUUUAAAAACAGUUUUCUAUUUUUAAAAUCAGAAAACUGCUUUUAAAAAUUUCUAAUACAAUUUAAUCAUUAUUCUUUGGAAACAAUUUUUAAAAACAAAGUAAAAUGGAAAAUACUUUUUAAAGAACAAAUUAAUAGGAAUUGUUUUUAUCAAUUUUUAAAAACAAAAUGAGAACAUGACCGGACAGACCAAAGCUUCCUUAAAAAUGUUAAACCUCAAAAUUUAUCUAUAACAGUAUCAUACCAUUAAAGGGCAUUAUUUUUUUACCAAAGGGCUUUUUUUUUUUUUUUCCAAAUUUGAUGGAUGACAAAAUCAAAAUUUCAUAAAGUCAUUACAUAUAAAAUAUAAAAUAUGGUAACUUCGUAAUUGAAAAUCAAAUAUCCUCCUUAUCUAAGAUACUAACGUCUAAACUUACCUACAAUGGAUUAUGAAAAUUCAUUGAUUGUUACCAUGCAUUUAUCUCCCUACUCCUAUUUUGUAAAGGAAUGGAUUUCCACAAUCCAUUUAUCCAUCUAAUAAUAAGCAAUUAAUUAACACCAAUAGAUCUAUGGGUAUAUAUAGAGGAGACAAAAAUUAAAUUCCUCACAUCAUUGGAACAAUUAGCAGUAGGACGCCGAGGAGAUGAUGGCAUGGAGAUCAGAUUUUCUAGUAUUCUGCAUGCUGAUGUUCUUCUUGGUGUCGACCAGUAGUGUUGUUCUAGGAAAACCGGCGGUUUUGAAUGUGAAAGAUUAUGGUGCAGUUGCAGAUGGGAAGACUGACAACAGUCGGGUAAUUUACUUGGUUGAUCUGUAAAAUCAUAAGGUAUAUACUGCUGAAUCUCUUGCAGUAAUGUUCUUGCAUUUUUUAUUUUUUAUUUCUUUGGUAAGGCUUUUCUGGAGGCAUGGGAAGCAGCAUGUGAACAGCAAGGAACGAGUGUUAUCACUGUUCCAAGAGGAGGAAAAUACUACGUGCGCCAAGUCGCAUUCACAGGACCCUGCAAAGGCUCCAUAACGUUCCUAAUUCAGGCCGAUCUUUAUGCCCCUACUGAUAAAAGUUCUCACACUCUUACGUACUGGAUCAAGUUCGGGUAUGUGGACUAUUUGACUAUCGCCGGACUUGCCAAUCUGUAUGGCGGAGGACCCUCUGCUUGGCCUUACAAGGGCUGCGGACAAGGUCAGGAGUGCUUACAAGUUGUUCCCCAUGUAAGUCUUCCCGGCUUUAAAACAAAUCUAUGAAGUUAAAGGAGAAGUUCUUACAUUGUCAAAAUUUACUUUUUCUCUUAUUCUGUGUGUGAUUAUGAACAGUCACUGAGAUUGGAGUUCGUCAAUCAUGCAUGGGUUCAUCAUAUAGGAUCAAUCGAUGCUAAAGAUAAGCACAUCAGCAUAUUCCAAUGUCAGGACGUGACGCUUAGUGAUAUUAGGACAACGGCCCCCCACGACAGCCCUAAUACAGAUGGAGUACACAUAGCAGUAUCGGAGAGAGUUAAGAUUUUGGAUUCGACAUUUAACACCGGAGAUGAUUGCGUAGCCAUCUUUUCUGGAAGCAAGGAUGUGAAUAUCAGCCAGAGUAUUUGUGGCCCGGGGCAUGGGUUUAGCAUUGGGAGCAUGGGCAAAUUCCCAGAUGAAGACCCCAUAACCAAAAUAAAUAUACGCAACUGCACAAUUAGCCAUACUGACAACGGUUUUAGGAUUAAAACAUGGGCCGUCUCCUCCUACCCGACCUUUGCUUCCGAUAUCACUGUUCAAGAUGUUAUGAUGGAUAACGUCCGCAAUCCCAUCAUCAUUGAUCAACAUUAUUGCCCUCGGGGAGGUUGUGAUCCGACGGUAUGUAUUUAUAGUGAGUUUAAUCUACCAUUUUUCAUUGCUGAAGAUAAUAAUAUAUGAUCAAUUGUGUAUGUGUAGGUUGAGUCACAAGUUCAGAUCAAAAACCUUCAGAUAAAGCGAAUAUGGGGGACUUCAACCACGGAAACUGCAGUGAAUCUCCAGUGCAGCAGCCAAAAACCAUGUCAGGGUGUUGAGCUUGAAGACAUCCUUUUACUUUUCAGAAAUCCCGAAGGUGGCAAACUACAACCUGCAGUUUCCUCAUGUGCCUAUGUGGUGGGCUCCUCCCGUGGCAAACAGGUCCCUAAGCCUUGCAUAUAGGCCUCGUCCAAGCAUGAAUGAAGCACCAUUACAUUGAGUUGAUAUAUAUGCUUGCUUUGGGCUCCCUAUGUUCUGUUUGCUGGCUGUGGAGAAAGAAAAAUACUAUGGUUUUGUAUCUCUGUCAAUUGUAAUAACAUAUGAUGCGAUUUUAAGUAAUUUGUAUCAUUUUUGUUAGAAAGUGGGGUAAUUUUGAUCUGUAUCAGUUAUAUCAAAUGGGGUAAAUCACAAUCAAGGGCUGGUUUAGGAGAUGGAAUUACCAACCUUUAUCUACGCAUCAUUUGCCCACCACAAAUUUUCAACCAUUAUGAUAAUUAUCUGCAUCACAAAUCAUAGUAUUUGCCAUACAAAUUUAAUUAUAAAUCAUUCUUAGGAUUUAUUUCAUUAAAACCUUACUAAAAAACCAUAUGACAAAAAUCUAGCAAAUUAAAAAGAGUCCAAUAUUCUUUUAAUGCUUUUGGGACUACUAUAACGUACCGCUCCAUGGGACAAAAAAAAUGUAGAGUGUUAUGUAAUAACAUUCUUAUCAGUCUACUCUUUCUCAUAUAGCCAUGAUUAUACUUUCUUCAAUAGCUCAAUAUGAAAUAUUUGAGUUUACGUAUUUUGAUGUUAUAUAUGAAAGUGUUGCAACUAACAAAUGUUUUUGUGAAUAUCCAUCAUAUUUUCAUUUAAUCUUAUUUAUUGAAUCUUUAUUUCACCAUUCUUUUGGAGCUGAGUGUAAAAGAAAUUUGAUGAGAUAUGUUUAGUUCCAUCACCCUUAAUAUAUCCUUCUUUUAACAUAUGCAAUAUAUACAACAUUAUCUUUAUAUAAUAUUAUCUAAUUGUCCUUGAUGAAAGAUUGUUUGUUGGAUUACAAUAAAUUUCAACCACACACAUUCUUGACUAGCUUAAUGAAUUACAAUAAUUUUUAAAAAAUCAAAAGGUAGCUAACAUUGUCUCCUUACUAAAAUAUUCCUGGAAAUAAACAGAUAUGUAUGGAAUUUCGAAAAAUAACCAACAUAUAUAUUCAAGUUACCAUAGUUUUGAUCAUCUUGAAUAAAAUAAUUAAUUAUAAAUCAGUUGUUCCACAAUGCAUAUUUGAUCUAGAUCCAAACAUUUUGUGUAAGUGCAAAAUCAUAUCUUGCUAGAAAAUUGAUAGAGAUUGUUAUGACUAACCAUAUACAAUUUAUAAAAUACAUUAAUUUAUUAAUUGCACUAACAUAUGAUUCUUCUAGACUAAGCACUAUGUCAUUUUCUUUUUUGGGAUGAAAUAUAUUUUUAUUCACUUCAAGUAAAUGAAUAACACAUGAAUGGAGUGUGAUUGUUCAUAUGAAAGUAAUACUUCAAGACUUUGCCUAUACAAGUUAACUAAUGGGCUAAGACUCCACUUGGUUUUGUAACGUCUUUUAUUUCAAAUUCUUUUAUUAGAUAAUUAAUUAGUCUUAUUAGCUCUUAAGAAGUGACAACAAGAUUAUAAUAAUUAUAAAAUCCUCACUUUAAUCGAUAUAAGGAUGCCAUUUGAUAAAGUAUAUCAUCAUUAUACUUUAUCUAGAAUGUGAUAUUGAGAUUUUUAAUCAUUGUAACAAAUAUUUUUAAUCAUUUAGGUCAAAUUUGGUAGACCGGGACAUGGGAUAGGAUAAGGGAAAUGAUAUUUUAUCAUAUCUCAUGUUUGGUUGAUGAUGAGAUAGGGCAAGUUAUUCUAUUACUUAUUUUAUCAUAUAUUCAAUCAAAUAUGAAAUAAGAUAAGUAGUUAAAUAUAUUAUUCAUUUUUUUUUUAUCCCUUUUACAUGAUGUUAUCAUAUCCCAUUAAAAAUCAUAUCCUAAGAUAUGCAUUUCUUAUUCAAUAAGAUAUAAUAUUUUAGGAUAUGCAUAUACUAUCAUAUCUUAUCCCUUCAACCAAACGUAAUCUUAGGGAUUUUUUAAUCUUUUAGGGAUAUUGUUUACUUUAAGAACUAUUAACCAUGCCAUUAAAGCAUUACUAGAGUUAAUACAAGGUCUUUAUAGGAAACUGUUAGCCCAAGGGUUCUCCUAAUCAGGUUUUGAUGAUAACAAAUCAUGGUUAAGUGACUAAUUGGUUUGAAUGGUAAAAAAUCUCAGGUAUAAAUUCGGAAAUUCAUCAAAUGACCAAAUUGAUACAAGAUCAAGAAUUUUGAUCAUAGGAAACUAAUAUAAGAUUAAUGCAUGGGUGCACUUAGGUUUUUCAUACCUUUCCACGCAUCUUUGAAAACUCAGUUUAUUCUUUAAAAUUUCAAUUUCAUUAAAACUCGAGUUUUAUCAAAUGUACCUGAGGCAAAACGUUUCAGAAUUGGUAUAUUAAUUUUCCUAAAGACCUUGCCUAAGUGUUAGAAAAGAAAGGAAUUGAAAAAGAUAAGUUGUCAGGGCCAAAAGGUUGAACCGGUCAAGGCUCUGGCCAACCGGCUCAACCGGUUGGGGAACCGAUCGACCGGUUGCCCUUGUCCGGUCGAGGAGCGCCAAAAACAGUCUCUCUCAUCCAAUAGCUUCCUUUUCCCGGUUGAGGUUUCCUCCUUCUUGGUCGACCCCCAGCUCGACCGAUCGAGGCUGCCUUUUGCUUUUCUUGGCUUCCUAACUUAGAAACCUAUAAAUUGAGAGCUCCACUUCAUUUAUGACAUAGAGAAAACUUGUAAUCAAUUGUCUACCCACCUGUUAUUGGCUUAAAAGCUCUCAUUUUUUCUUAGUGCAUUAAAUCAUCACUUGCAUAUCUUUUAAUGCACCCUUUUGAGUCAUCCUAGCUUUGUUUUGUAUUUGAGCUAGAUUGAGGGAUUCUUUCUCAUAAAACUUGAGUGUUAAAGCCUUUAAGAGGUUUGAAUCUUGAAAAGAUUAUGUAAGAGCCCAUUGGAGCCAGAAUCCAAGUGUAAAGGAUUUGAAGCUUGGUUGAAGCUUCAAGCUAGUGGAACCCUCACUCGGUUAGGAGAUUGAGGAGAGUGGACGUAGGCAAGGAAGUGUCGAACCACUAUAAAAUCCGAGUUUGAAUUCUCUAAUUUUAUCUCUUUACUUUUUUAUUAUAUUGUGCUUGAAUUUGUUGUGUUGAAAAGUUUUUGAAAAACUCAAUUCACCCUCAUCUUGGGUGUUUUUUCUCAUUUAAGCAUAGAUUUUAUUUUUUCAAUUAGUAUCAAAGUUAGGCCUCUUGUUUAAGACUUAAUCGUCUAAAAGAAAAUGACUAUUCCACCAAGCUCAUCUCAAACUGAAAAUUUUACAAAACAUAGAGCUCCAUUUUUUACAGGAACCGACUAUCCUUAUUAGAAAACUAUAAUGACUUGGUAUUUACAAUCAAUCGAUUUAGACGUAUGGGACAUCAUUGAAGGUGACCCAACUUUUCCUACAAAACUAGUUGACGGAGUCUUGGUUCCAAAACUCAAGUAAGAAUGGAAUGAGCUUGAUAGAAGAAAUUUUUAAUUAAAUGCUAAAGUCAUUUUUACUUUGCAAUGUGUUAUGGAUAGAAAUGAAUAUAAUAGAAUAUGUCAAUGUAAAUCGGUUAAAGAAAUUUGGAGAUUGAUUGAAAUAACUCAUGAAGGAACAAAUCAAGUGAAAAAGUCAAAAAUAAAUAUACUUGUUCAUAACUAUGAAUUGUUUGUAAUGAAAGAAAAUGAGACCAUUGUUGAGAUUAUUACUAGGUUCACCAACAUUGUCAAUGGUCUUGAAGCAUUGGGAAAGACCUAUAAAGAAUCCGAAAAGGUGAUGAAGAUAUUGAGGUCACUUCCAUCAAAGUAACAUACAAAGGUCACCGUAAUUCAAGAAGCAAAAUACUUGACCAAGUUACCUAUGGAGGAGCUCAUAGGGUCAUUAAUGACAUAUGAGAUCAAUUUGACAAAGAAGCUACAAGAGGGUGAAGACAAAAAGAAGAGCAUAGCUCUCAAAGCUACAACUAAGGAAGAAGAAAAUGUUGAAGAAGAAAAACCAAGUGAAGAAGAUGGUGAUUUAGCCCUCAUCAUAAGAAAGCUCAACAAAUACAUGAGGGGUGAAAAGUUUAGAGAAAAAAAGUUCACCUCUAGAAGAGACCUUUCUAAAAAUGAAUCUUCAUCUCAUGGUGAUAAGGACAAAUGGUAAGAGAAAAGAGAUUUGGUGUGUUUCAAAUGCAAAAAAAUCGGGACACAUUAAAUAUGAUUGUCCUUUCUACAAAAGUGAAGUCAAGAGAAGAAUGAAGAAGGCAAUGAUGGCCACUUGAAGUGAAAGUGAAGAAUCCUCUGAAGAAAAAAAUGAGAAAGAAGUGGCAAACAUGUGCUUCAUGGCAAUAGAUGAACUUGAUGAGGUAAACUCUAACUUUAGUGAUGAAGAUAUGCAUGAUGUUUUUAAAGAAUUAUAUGAGGAUUUUGAAAAACUUAGUUUGAAAAAUAAUUCUCUUAAAAAGAAAAUUCAAGAACUUGAAAAAGAAUUUGAAGAAGUGAAAGAAAAAUUUUCAAUUGUUGAAAUUUCUAAAACUCAUAUUGAAAAAGAAAAUGAGAUUUUGAGAAAUGAAAAAGAGAUUUUGAAAAAGAAAAAUGAAUGGUUGACCUCCUUUCUUUAAAUUUUUUUCUUGUGGACAAAAAUCUUUUAAAAUAAUUUUAGUUAGCCAAAAAUGUGUUUUUGACAAACAAAAGCUAGGAUUCAAAUCUUCAAAAAAUCAAAAGUAUUUUAAAAACUACUUUGUAAAAGAAUCCUCACGUGCAAGUCCUUCUACCACUUGCAACUUUUGUGGAAGGGGAGGGCAUAUUAGGUUACAUGUCCCUUAAGAAAUGGUUCUCAAAGGAAUUCAAAUGCAAAAACUAAAAAGGUUUGGAUUGAAAAAUCUAAGGUCACUAACCCUCAAGGACCCAAAAAGAUAUGGGUACCUAAAUCAACUUGAAUUUUAUUUUGUAGGGUUCAAAGAAGGAUAAGUGGUUAUUGGAUAGUGGAUGCUCGAGACACAUGAUCGGGGAUGAAUCCAGGUUUGCUUUCCUUACAAAGAGAAAUAGAGGAUAUGUUACCUUUGGAGACAAUGCAAAAUGAAGAAUCAUUGGUUAAGGCAACAUUGGUUAAGGCAAAAUGAAAAAGGUUUUACAAUUGUUUGUAUAAGAAGUGAUCAUGGAAGAUAAUUUGAAAAUAUUGAUUUUGAAGAAUAUUGCAAUGAGCAUGGUAUUAACCCUAAUUUUUCGACUCCCAGAACUCCUCAAAAAAAUUGGGUAGUUGAAAGGAAAAAUAGAACUCUUCAAAAAAUGGCUAGAACCAUGCUAAAUGAAAACAAUUUACCAAAAUAUUUUUGGGCCAAAGUGGUUAACACCUCUUGUUACGUUUUAAAUAGAAUAUUAUUGAAGCUCAUUCUUAAGAAAACUCCCUAUGAGCUUUGGAAAAACAAGUUUCCCAACAUUAGCUAUUUCAAAGUCUAUGGGUGCAAAUGUUUUAUAUUAAACACCAAAGUCAAUCUUGAAAAAUUUGAUGCAAAAUCGGAUGUUGGAGUUUUUCUUGGUUACUCAACUUCAAGUAAAGCCUUUAGAGUUUUCAACAAAAGAACCAUGGUGUUAAAGGAGUCCAUCCAUGUUAUUUUUUAUGAAUCCAACAAUUCUCUCCAAGAAAGAGAGAGUUUUGAUGAUGAUUUAGGCUUGGAGACCUCCAUGGGAAAAUUGCAAAUUGAAUAUAGAAGGCAACAAGAAGAAAUUGGAGAGGAUCCCAAGAAAGAAGAAUCACCUUUGGCACUACCCCCUUCCUCAACAAGUGCAAGGUGAAUCAAGUCAUGACCUUCUUAAAGAUUGAAAGUUUGUCAUCAACCACCCACAAGAUCAAAUUAUAGGUAAUCCAUCUAAUGGGGUAAGAACUAGAUCAUCUAUUAGAAAUAUCUACAAUAAUCUUGCUUUUAUCUCUCAAAUUGAGCCUAAAAAUAUAAAUUAUGCUAUAGUUGAUGAAAAUUGGACGAUUGCUAUGCAAGAAGAGUUAAAUUAAUUUGAAAGAAGUAAAGUAUGGGAUUUAGUGCCAAAACCUUCAAAUCAAAGUGUUAUUGGAACUAGAUGGAUUUUUAGAAAUAAAAUGGAUGAAAAUUGCAUAAUUAUUAGAAAUAAAGCAAGAUUGGUAGCCCAAGGUUAUAAUCAAGAAGAAGGGAUAGAUUAUGAAGAAACCUUUGCUCCCGUAACUAGAUUGGAAGUCAUUAGGAUGCUACUUGUCUUUGCAUGUUUUAAUAACUUUAUUUUAUAUCAAAUGAAUGUGAAAAGUGCUUUCUUAAAUGGCUUUAUAAAUGAAGAAGUAUAUGUUGAACAACCACCCGGUUUUCAAAGCUUUUACUUUCCUAACCAUGUUUUUAAACUUAAAAAGACACUUUAUGGUUUGAAACAAGCACCUAGAGCAUGAUAUGAAAGAUGGAGUAAAUUUCUUUUGAAAAGAGGUUUUAAAAUGGGAAAAAUUGAUACAACUAUUUUCAUAAGGACCAAAGAAAAUGACAUGCUCUUAGUUCAAAUAUAUGUUAAUGAUAUUAUUUUUAGAGCUACUAAUGUCUCUCUUUGUGAAGAAUUUUCUAAGUGCAUGCAUAGUGAGUUUGAAAUGAGCAUGAUAGGAGAACUCAACUUCUUUCUUGGAUUUCAAAUCAAGCAACUAAAUGAAGGAACUUUCAUCAAUCAAGCAAAAUAUAUAAGAGAUCUUCUCAAAAGGUUCAACAUGGAAGAAGCCAAAAUAAUGAAGACUCCAAUGAGCUCAUCCAUCAAGCUUGAUAAGGAUGAGAAAGGUAAAUCCAUUUACUCAACUAUAUACAGGCAUGAUAGGUUCUUUGCUAUAUUUGACCGUAGUAGACCCGAUAUCAUGUAUAGUGUAUGCUUGUGUGCUAGAUUUCAAUCUUAACCUAAAGAAUCUCACCUAAGUGCCUUAAAAUGAAUUCUUAGAUAUUUGAAAGGGACAAUGGACAUAGGCUUAUGGUAUCCUAAGAGUGAUAACUUUGAAUUAAUUGGAUUCUCGGAUGCCAAUUAUGUCGGUUGUAAGGUUGAAAGAAAAAGCACCAGUGGCACUUGUCAUUUCUUAAGACAUUUACUUGUUUCAUGGCAUAGUAAGAAGCAAAAUUCGAUAGUUUUGUCAACGGCAGAAGCCGAAUACAUAGCAAUCGGUUUAUGUUGUGCACAAAUUCUUUGGAUGAAACAAACACUUAUGUAGUGUUUGUUUUUUUUACUUUUUUGCUGAAAGCAAUUUGUUUUCAGAAUUUAAGUUGUUUUUUUUUUCUACUUUUUCAUAACUUAUUAUAAACUUUUUACUAAAUAGAAAAAGCCAAAAUAUUUAGUUUUUUUUAAAUAGAAAAAAUAACAUAUUGGUUUUUCUUUACUUUUUAAUACUUAAUAGAAAUAAAAUACUACAAAAACAAACAACCUAAUAUGUAACACUAUUAAGCAUUAAGGUUCUAUUUAGAAUUAAGUAAAAAAACAAACACCACCUUAGUGAUUUUAAUUUGUCUUUUGAACAUGUUCCUAUUAAAUGUGAUAAAGUGCCAUAAAUAUUUCAAAAAAUCCCGUGCAACACUCUAGGACUAAGCAUAUAGAGAUUAGACACCAUUUUCUUUGAGACCAUGCACAAAAGGGUGACAUUACACUUGAUUUUGUAAGCAGAAAAGAUCUACUUGUCGAUAUAUUAACAAAACCUCUAAGUGAAGAACAAUUUGUUAAUAUUAGAAGACAACUAGGGGUGAUUUCUUCAUGAUUGCUUAAUGAAUUCUUGAUGAAUAUACCUCUGAUUGCAUGAAUUUCAUGUGAUAUGCAUCAUAUAGACAUACGCUUAGUUAAAUGGUCAAUUUUGACCAAAAAUAAAAAUUCCCUUAGCAUUGGGCAUAAAAAAAUUGGGGAUUUCAACUGAAAAUGGCAGGGAAAGGAUCAUGAGACGAGAAAACGCACAAAAUGAGAAAAGUUAAACCGCGUUGACUGUUGACCAAGCGGUCGACCGAAUUAGGACCGGUUGACGAGUUCGUCGGGCUGUUGUUUUAAAUACCCCUCCCGCACCUCAUUUUCUCUCCCGUUUCCUCUAGUUCUUCAAGUGUUCUGCCGAUUCGACUGCCUAGAAGAGAUUUUUGACACCAUUGCAGCAAUUUGAGGGGUUCGGAUUGAUUUUUGGGACCUAGGGCUUCAAUUUUGGACAGUUUCCCCUCCUAGGGUUCUCCUAAUCAAGUUUUUCAUCAAAGAACUAAAUGCAAGAUCGAGACUUUUGAUCAUAGGAAAUGAAUGUAAGAUGAGUGCACUUAGGUUUUUCAUACAUUUUCAUGCAUCUUUGAAAACUCGAUUUAUUGUUUAAAAUUUUGAUUUCAUUAAAACCCGAGAUUUAUCAAAUGUACCUUAGGUAAAAUGUUUCAAAAUUGGCAUAUUAAUUUACCUUAAGACCUUGCCUAAGUGUUAAAAAAGAAAGGAAUUGAAAAAGAUAGGUUUUUGGGGCCAAAAUGUUGAAUCGGUUGAGGCUUUGGCCAACCGGCUCAACCGGUUGGGAAACUGGUCGACCGAUUGCCCUUGUUCCGUCGAAAAGUGCCAAAAACACACUCUCUCUCAUCCAGUAGUUUCCUUUUCCCGAUUGAGGCUUGGUCGAGGCAACGGUAACUUGUCAAACGGUUAGUGAACCGAUCGACCCCUAGCUCGACCAAUCGAGGCUGCCUUUUGCUUUUCUUGGCUCCCGAGCUUAGAAACCUAUAAAUUGAGAGCUCCACUUCAUUUAUGAGAUAGAGAACACUUGCAAUCAAUUGUCUACCUACCUGUUCUUGGCUUAAAAGCUCUCAUUUUUUUCUUAGUGCAUUAAAUCAUCACUUGCAUAACUUUUAGUGCACCCUUGUGAGUCAUCCUAGCUUUGUUUUGUAUUUGAGCUAUCUUUGAGUUAGGUUGAGGGAUUCUUUCUUGUAAAACUUGAGUGAUAAAACCUUUAAGAGGUUUGAAUCUUAAAGAGAUUGUGUAAGAGCCCAUUGGAGUCGGAAUCCAAGUAUAAAGAAGUGAAAGCUUGGUUAAAGCUUCAAGCUAGUGGAACUCUCACUUGAUUAGGAGAUUAAGGAGAGUGGACGUAGGCAAGGAAGUGUCAAACCACUAUAAAAUCCGAGUUUGAAUUCUCUAACUCUAUCUAUUUAUUUUUUAUUAUAUUGUGUUUGAAUUUGUUGUGUUGAAAAGGUUUUUGAAAACCCAAUUCACCCCCCUCUUGGGUGUUUUUCUCAUUUAAGCAUAGCUUUUAUUUUCUCAGAAACCUUAUGCUAUAAUUUUUACUUUAUCUCAUAUUACACUUCUAUAUAAUAAAAUAGAAUGAAAUAUUAUUUUUCAUAUAUACUUUGAAAUAAGAAUAUUUGAAGAAAAUAAGAUUUCAUACAUUUCUAAAUAUGAUUAAAUAUUUUUGGUAAACAACAACUCUUAUGAAUGAAUUUUUAUUUUCUUUUACUAAUCAGUGUUAUGCUAAUAACUUGUUAUAAAAUAAAUAUAAAAAAUAAGAUAAAAUAAUGAAAAGAAAAUAAAUAAUUAUUUGAUCACUUCUUACUACCCAAAAAUCUUUGUUUACAAGUUAAGGGUAACACAAAUAUGGCAAUUAUACCAACAACAUAAUUGCGUUGUCAUCUAUAAAUUGUGAUACAAAUUUAUAAUAAUAAUGUAUUUUUUAUUGUUUUUAAUUUUUGCUAUUUUUAUUUUAAAAUUAUGUAAUAAAAUAUUCUAAUAUGCCUAUAAUUAAUCAACUAAAAUGAAUUAAUUCCUAAUAUAAAAAUAUAUACUUAUAAUAGUUUAUAUUCUAAUAAAUAAACAAAAUACUUAUUAAUAUGAGAUCAUAUUUGAUUUAUAUUAAUAUUUAUUUUACAUUUAUAAUAUUUAUAUUUCUUUCACAUGGUGGUGUAAUUUCUAAUUUACAAGUGAUUCUCUUUUGAUUUUGUCUUCUUUUUGAGGUCCCAACCUUAUGUUACUUUUAUUUUAUUCUAAUUAUGCUAUGAAAAAUAUUGUAAAUUUAUUUAUAUUAAUACACAGAAUUAUAUUUAUAUAUAAUUCUGUGUUAUUUUGGCAAUGAAUAUAUUGUGAUUAAAAAUCCAUCAAAUCUAUGAGAUUAUUUUCUUUUAUUGCAAAAAAUAAAAUUAGAAUUCAAAAUGUUUAUCAAAAAGAUAAAUAAUUGGAAAACCCAUUGCAUUGGGAUUUAUUAAUAAAAAUAUAUAUACCACUUUGUCUUCUCUAAAACAAAUUUUGCUUUCAUAAAUAUUAAAAUAAAACUUUAAUAAAUAAAUAAAUAAAUUUUAAUUAUUUUAUUUUCAAAUUGGAAAUAUAAAGACCAUUGUGAUAAGUAAUUACUUUUAAAUAAAAAAAUAGUCAUACUUAUAAUCUCGUUUUUUUUUCUAUCUUUAAAAACAUAAAAAAAAUAGUCAUACUUAUAAUCUCGUUUUUUUUUUCUAUCUUUAAAAACAUCAUUACAGAAUUAAAUAUGUUUGAAAUAUUACAUAUUAUUAUCUAAUGUCAUAAAUUUUGUUAAUAAAUAUAUUAUUUUUCUAGAAAAUAUAAUUUUAAUAUAUACAUUAUUUUUAUUUUAUUAUUAUUUAGAAUUUUUUGCGAAAUUUUUGUAAGUUAUGAUAACUUCUACCCAUCGAAAGUUUUUAAAAAUAAAAAUUGUUCGAUAUUCUUCAAAUGUACACAAAUUUUAAUCAUCGAGGUUAGUCUUGUUAGAUUAAUUUUUGUAAUUAAUCUAUAAUUUGGGCCACACAUGUAAAUAAUUAAAAUGUGUGUGCUAUCAUUUAAUUAAGCCUAAAUAUAGUGAUCUAAUUAAUAAUUGAUUAAUUGGCUUAAGGGUAUAAUUGUCAUGAGAUUAUUGUGUAGAUACCAUUAGACAAUUAUUAUUUCUAUGAGGGGCAAAAAUAUAAUUGUGAUAAAAUUAAAACUGCCCUAGCGGUUUAUAAAUAGGGUUAUGGUCCCCAUUCUACGACUACGCAUUCCAAUUUCUGAAAAUCCUCUCAGAGAGAAAUUGACACAGAAUCUAGUGGCUAGAAUUGGAAGACCAUCUCAAAGGGUUUUCUUCCUAUAAAGUUUUCUUCUUCAAUGGAUUCAGGUAUGCUUCCGCUAUUAUUUUUCUACUCAUUGUUUUUAAUCAGGAGAUUCCAGUAUAUAUGAAAUUAGGGUAUUCACCUUGUUAAAUAUUCUAGUAUAUAUGAAAUUAGGGUAUUUACCUUGUUAACUAUUCCAGUAUAUAUGAAAUUAGGGUAUUCAUCUUGGUUGAUUUUAACAAGACUAUUCCAGUAUAUAUGAAAUUAGGGUAUUCAUCUUGGUUGAAUUUUAACAAGUGGUAUCAGAGCCUACUCCUUGAUUAAUUCUUUGAGUUAUUAUUUUAAUAUUUGUCAAUGGAUUAAGAUUUAUGAAAUAUUGAGUUGAUAAAUUUUUAUUAUUAUUAUUAUUAUUAUUAUUAUUAUUUAAUAGCAUUUUAUGAUAUUAAUAUUUAAGUUAUUGAUCUAGCAUUUUAAAUAGGCCAAUUAAAGCGGAAAAUCACCAAAGUGACAUCUUCCGUGUAGAUUAGUCUGUUCGGGGUGUUAGAUAUUUGUGUGUAUGUGAUUCAUGCGGGUAUUGACUGGCCCAAAGGAAAGUUAAUAUUUGGUCAAAUUGCAUACAUACUUGUGGUGAUAAAUAUGUGAUGAUUAUAAAGGUAACUUAAUGUGAAUAAUAAAUCAAUCCAAAGAUAGAUUUAUUAUUUGACAUAACUUAUCAUCAAUGUUUGAUCACUACAACAAGAGUACCACUUACAAUUAAUAUUACUGUCCAAAGACUUGAUAUUAAUGUUGUGCUAGGUAUCUUGAAAUGUCAUAAUUUGCUUUUAAAUUUAAAGAUUAUGUGUUUAAUUGCUUAUUUUAUGUGAGCAUGAUGGUUUAUUUGAUUCAUUUUAUUUUGUUCUGGAUUCAGCUUUUAUAUCAACUACUUCUAUAUCUGCCAACAUCAAUAAUGUCCCUAUGUUAAAUGGGACUAAUUUUAAGGACUAGAAAGAGAAUAUGAUGAUUCUUUUAGGCUGCAUGGAUAUAGACUUGGCCUUGAGAAUGCCCAAACCCGAUGAACUCAAUGAGCAAAGUACUCAAGAGGAUGAGGUUUAUUGAGGUAAGUGGGAACGUUCAAAUAGGCUAAGUCUUAUGAUCAUGAAGCGCGGCAUUCCAGAAGCUUUCAGGGGUGCGGUAACCGAUGAGGUUACUAAUGCCAGUGACUUCCUUACGGAAAUUCAGAAACGUUUUGCCAAAAACGAUAAGGCUGAAACGAGCACUCUUUUAGCAAGCUUGAUUUCAAUGAAGUAUAAAGGCAAGGGUAAUGUUCGGGAGUACAUCAUGGAGAUGUCUCAUCUUGCUUCAAAACUUAAGGCUUUGAAACUCGAGUUAUCUGAUGAUUUACUCGUGCAUUUGGUUCUCAUCUCUCUUCCUGCACAAUUUAAUCAAUUCAAGGUCAGUUAUAACUGUCAAAAGGAUAAAUGGACUCUUAAUGAGCUCAUUUCAUUCUGUGUACAAGGGGAAGAGAGAUUGAAGUAAGACAAGACCGAAAGUGCUCAUCUGGAUAGCACUUCGAAGGAUAAGGGCAAACGAAAGAAUAAGGAUAAUAAGGUUGCUGCUUCUAAUGGUCCAGAACAAAAGAAACAGAAAGUUGAGGUAACAUGUUUCUUCUGUAAUAAGCCUAGACAUACUAAGAAGGAAUGUACCAAGUAUGCUGCUUGGCGUGUUAAGAAAGGUAUGUUUCUUACUUUGGUCUGUUCUGAAGUUAAUUUAGCUUCAGUAUCUAGAACACAUGGUGGUUAGAUUCUGGUGCUACUACUCACAUCUGUGUUUCUAUGCAGGGUUGCCUGAGUUACCGAAAACCAAGUGAUGCUGAAAGAUGCAUCUAUGUCGGAGACGGUCAGUCGGUAGAAGUAGAGGCAAUAGGGCACUUUAGAUUAUUAUUGAAAUCUGGUUAUUUUUUGGAUUUAAUAGAUACUUUUAUUGUACCGUCUUUCAGACGGAAUUUAAUUUCAGUUUCUGUUUUGGACAAAUCAGGUUAUUGUUGUUCAUUUGGAAACAAUAAAUUUACAUUAUCUAUUAAUUCAAAUGCUGUAGGAACCGGUUUACAUAAUGUUUAUGAUAAUCUAUAUUUGUUGGAAACUGUUCCGUCCUAUAAUGAAACCUUGCAUGUGGAAUCACGAGGUACAAAACGUAAAUUGAAUAAAGAUAAUUCGGCCUCAUUGUGGCACAAACGCUUAGUGUCAUAUCUCUAAAUCUAGAGUUGAGCGACUUGUGUCCGAUGGGAUUUUGGAUUCACUUGACUUUUCAAAUUUUGAUAUUUGUGUUGAGUGUAUUAAAAGAAAACAGACCAAAACAAAGAAAUUAGGUGCCAAUAGAGCUACAGACGUCUUAGAAUUAAUUCAUACAGAUAUCUGUGGACCAUACCCUACGACAUCUUGGAAUGGUCAACAGUACUUUAUAACAUUCAUAGACGACUACUCAAGAUAUGGCUACCUAUUUCUUAUACAUGAGAAAUCACAAUCAUUGGACGUGUUCAAAACAUUUAAAACAGAAGUUGAGUUACAACUCAACAAAAGAAUAAAGAGCGUCAGAUCUGACCGUGGUGGUGAAUACUAUGGUAGAUAUGACGGAUCAGGUGAACAACAUCCAGGACCAUUUGCUAAAUACCUAGAGGAAUGUGGGAUCGUCCCUCAAUACACCAUGCCAGGAUCACCUAGCAUGAAUGGUGUAGCAGAAAGACGAAACCGAACCCUUAAGGACAUGGUAAGGAGUAUGAUUAGUCAUUCUACUUUACCCGAAAAACUCUGGGGUGAAGCACUCAAAACGGCAGCUUAUAUCCUAAAUCGGGUGCCAACUAAAGCGGCUGCUAAAACGCCUUAUGAGCUUUGGACGGGUCGAAAGCCCAGUUUAAAGCAUUUUCAUAUUUGGGGAUGUCCAGCUGAAGCGAGACCUUAUAAGCCUCAUGAAAAGAAAUUGGACUCUAAAACAGUUAGCAGCUACUUUAUUGGCUAUGCAGAGCGAUCAAGGGGUUUUAAAUUUUUUGAUCCUGCUAUUAGGUCAAUUUUUGAGACGGGAACUACAACAUUUUUUUAGGAUGUUGAGUUUGGGGGGAGAAAUCAGGCUAGGAAUAUUGUCUUUGAGGAGGAAGAGGGAUCUACUAUUGCUUUUGAUAAUGUACAGGUUUCACUACCUAUCAUUGAUCAAGAAGUAAAUUUGGAUCCUCAACCAACAGACAAUAUUGUUCAACCCUUAAUUGCAAAUGAGGACAUUGCUCCUGAAGAACAAACUCAACAACCUCAAGAAAAUAUGCCAUUAAGGAGAUCCACUAGAGAGAGGAGAAAUGCAAUUUCGGACAAUUAUAUCGUAUAUCUCCAGGAAUGUGAGGUAGAUAGUGGAAUGAUGGAAGAUGAUCCAAUCAACUUCCAGCAAGCCAUGAAAAGUUCCAACUCUCAAAAAUGGAUUGAAGCCAUGAAUGAAGAGUACAAAUCUAUGCAAGACAAUAAAGUUUGGGAACUUGUCCCAUUACCAGUUGGUACGAAGCCCAUUGGUUGUAAAUGGAUAUUUAAAACCAAGCGGGAUUCAAAUGGUAAUGUAGAAAGAUAUAAAGCACGUCUUGUAGCUAAAGGCUUUACUCAAAAAGAAGGAAUUGACUUCAAAGAGACCUUCUCUCCAGUUUCUACGAAGGACUCUUUCAGGAUAAUCAUGGCACUAGUUGCACAUUAUGAUCUUGAGUUACAUCAAAUUGAUGUUAAAACAACGUUUCUCAAUGGUGACAUUGAUGAAACAAUUUAUAUGGUACAACCAGAAAAUUUUGUGUCCGAAGACUCAAAGAAUAUGGUUUGUAAAUUAACUAAAUCCAUUUAUGGGCUCAAACAAGCUUCUCGUCAGUGGUACUUCAAGUUUCAUCAAAUUAUUGUCUCAUAUGGUUUUGAGGCAAAUCUUAUGGAUGAAUGUGUGUAUCACAAAUUCAGUGGGAGUAAGUAUAUUUUCCUGGUUUUAUAUGUCGAUGACAUAUUGCUAGCCACAAAUGAUAUUAGCAUAUUGCACGACACCAAGAGAUUUUUAUCAAAACAUUUUGAGAUGAAAGAUCUUGGUGAUGCCUACUUUGUCUUAGGAAUCCAGAUACACCGAGAUCGCUCUAGGGGUAUUUUAGGAUUGUCACAAAGGACCUAUAUUGAUAAAGUCCUCCAAAGGUAUGGCAUGCAAAAUAGCAAACCAGGUGAUACCACUGUCGCUAAAGGAGACAAAUUCAGUCUUAAUCAAUGCCCUAAAAAUAGUUUAGAAAGUCAAGAAAUGCAGAAGAUUCCUUACGCUUCGGCUGUGGGGAGUCUAAUGUAUGCUCAGGUAUGUACACGUCCGGAUAUUGCGUACAUUGUUGGCAUGUUAGGCAGAUAUCUAAGUAACCCUGGAAUGGAUCAUUGGAGAGCAGCCAAGAGGGUUAUGAGAUAUUUACAGAGAACAAAAGAGUACAUGCUUACAUAUAGGAGAUUGGAUCAGUUAGAGUUGAUUGGGUAUUCCGACUCCGACUUUGCUGGGUGCCAAGACAGCAGAAGAUCCACAUCAGGCUAUAUUUAUAUGUUGGCUGGUGGAGCAAUUUCAUGGAGGUUUGCCAAACAGACACUCGUAACUUCAUCCACCAUGGAAGCAGAGUUUGUAGCAUGUUAUGAGGCAUCCAAUCAAGGAAUAUGGCUACGAAAUUUUGUCACUGGGCUGCGUGUUCUGGAUGGCAUUUAAAGACCACUGAAGAUAUUUUGUGACAAUAAAUCAGCAGUUUUAUAUUCCAAUAACAACAGGAGUUCUACAAAAUCAAAAUACAUUGAUAUCAAGUUCCUAGUUGUAAAAGAAAAAGUACAGAGUGGACAGAUAUCCAUAGAGCAUAUUGGAACAAACUCCAUGAUAGCGGAUCCGCUUACAAAGGGAUUACCACCCAAGGUCUUUCAUGAGCACACUGCUCAUAUGGGUGUUGUCUCAUUUGAGGAUAUCCAAAUUUAGUGGGAGUUUGUAUUAUUCAUUGUAUAUUGCUCUAUGUUAUGUUUAGACUUUAUCUAUACAUUUGGAUUGUGUUCUGCAGAAAUAAAGUAUUCAUUUUAUUGCACUUUGUUAAAUUGUGCUAAAGAUUUGAUCUCAAUAAAGUUAAGUUGGACCAGUUGGAAAUAGGCAUGAAUAGAUCACAUUGCAUGUAAUUUCCAUGCUAUGCACUCAUGAUUGAUCUAUGUCAUUUAGUUGUGCAGAUAUAUGUGGCCAUUGAUUGGUCUAGUAACGAUUGAUGUAACAAAGGCCACCUUGAUCCUAUGUCAGUAUAGUUAAUGGACGAGAUUGUUCGGAUAUACCCUAAGGACAUGAUAGCAAAUUUUGAGCUCAUAAGGUUAAGCACAUUUAUGUGAUUACAUAUGCAUGUGGCCCAGUGGGAGAUUGUUAGAUUAAUUUUUGUAAUUAAUCUAUAAUUUGGGCCACACAUGUAAAUAAUUAAAAUGUGUGUGCUAUCAUUUAAUUAAGCCUAAAUAUAGUGAUCUAAUUAAUAAUUGAUUAAUUGGCUUAAGGGUAUAAUUGUCAUGAGAUUAUUGUGUAGAUACCAUUAGACAAUUAUUAUUUCUAUGAGGGGCAAAAAUAUAAUUGUGAUAAAAUUAAAACUGCCCUAGCGGUUUAUAAAUAGGGUUAUGGUCCCCAUUCUACGACUACGCAUUCCAAUUUCUGAAAAUCCUCUCAGAGAGAAAUUGACACAGAAUCUAGCGGCUAGAAUUGGAAGACCAUCUCAAAGGGUUUUCUUCCUAUAAAGUUUUCUUCUUCAAUGGAUUCAGGUAUGCUUCCGCUAUUAUUUUUCUACUCAUUGUUUUUAAUCAGGAGAUUCCAGUAUAUAUGAAAUUAGGGUAUUCACCUUGUUAAAUAUUCUAGUAUAUAUGAAAUUAGGGUAUUUACCUUGUUAACUAUUCCAGUAUAUAUGAAAUUAGGGUAUUCAUCUUGGUUGAUUUUAACAAGACUAUUCCAGUAUAUAUGAAAUUAGGGUAUUCAUCUUGGUUGAAUUUUAACAAGUCUUUGCUAAAAAACAAAUUAAAGAGUCUUAUUGAUAUGAAUGGUGGUGAUUUUUUUAUCCUCAACAACCAAUUUAGCACAAUGUGACACAAUGAAUAUGGAGGUCAAGAUCACCAUCAUUAUUCCAUACAUCAAGCUCAAAAGCCCCACAUGUGAACAAUGUGUGGACUAGACCUUUAGUUAGUCACUUAAAUUGACUUCUCUGAAGAUAUUGAAAUAAUAAUCAAAAUAAAGGAAAAAUUAUUUACAAAAAUACUUUCAAAUCCAACUUAAAUAAUUGAACUAGAAAGAGGGUACUUGCAUUGGCAUAGGCACCCAAAUAAAGGGCAAUUAAGUUCUAAUUUUAUCACUAAAGGGAUUAAUGAUAAAAUUUGUAGACAUAUUUUUUCAAUGAGUUUGUGGAACAAAGAAUGGUAAAAAUAAAAACUAUAUAUUAUUUUAUAAAAUAAUACAGAUUAUUAUGAUUAUUGAUGCUAUUUGGGUAGAGCAAAAUAUACAUAAUAUACAUUUUUAAUGGAUCAAAUUUACUUAUUUCAUGUGUCUAUGUGGUAAAAUAAUUCGGCAUACGCAAUUGACUCUAAUAGCUUUUUUCAACAACCAUGUGUGGAAUAAGUUGAAAAAAAUAAUAAUAAAAUUAUUAUUAUUUUUAGACAUUGAAGAAUUAUUAUUUUUUUUUUCAUCUCAUGAAAUGAUACAUUUAAUUUUUAUUUUUUUUCUUAAAUGAAAUUUCUCCUGGCAUUCAAAAAAAUAUGCUUCUCACUCUUUUUUCCUUAUAUUAGCAUACGUUUUUAAAUACAAUUUAUUAAGUUCUAAAAAAUUUUAAAAUAUUUUUAAAAUUUGAACAAAAAUGAAAAUCAAGUAUAAGGUUUUUAAAUGUUUUUUUUUAAGUAUUUUUAAAAGGGUUACUUAUCUAUCAAAUGUUUUACUAAAAAAUAUUAUAAAUGAUUUUUUAUAUUUUUAAAAUAUUUCAUAAAUUUUGCUAAACACUUUAAUUUUUUUUUUAAAUAUAUUUUUAGGAUAAAAAUGCUUCCUAAAAUCACUGUCAAAUAAACUCUAAGAGUGUGUUUUACAAUGUUUUUAUUCAAAAUAUUUUUAAUAGAAAUGUUUUUUAUAAUUGUGUUUUUAGAAUAAUCACUUGUAAAGAUUUCGUUUUCUUUUUAUAAUGAGUUUAGAAAUCAUUUUUUAAAAUAUGUUUGAUAAUGAUUUUAAAAAACGUUUCUACCUUUUAUAACACUUAAACAAUAAAAAAUUUUAAACGUUAAAAAUAUAGAAAUGUUUUAUAAAAUUAAUCAUUACAAAACAAACUAAUAGAAUACGUUUGACAGUAAUUUUAAAUAAUAUUUCUACUAUUUCUAAUUAUUGAAAGAUAAAAAUUUUCAUGUGUUAAAAAUGUUUUAAACAUUUUAUAAAAUUUCUAUCAAAUAUAUUCAUAAAAAGUUUUUUUCCAAGUAACUUUUUAAUACUAUAAAUCAUUUUUAAAUAUAUUUCUUAAAUUUUAUCAAAUAUUUAAUUAAAAAAAAAAAAAAAGGAAGCUUCUUAAAACAAGUGUCAAACCAGCUAUAAUAACGUCGUGGAAAAAAACACAUACAAUUACGACAUGCAUGUAUAAUUUACGUAAAAAUGACGUAAAAAAUGAAAAGAGAAAAUAGAAAAAGUGGGAGAAGGAUAAUGCAUCAUCAUUCGUAAUUGCUAAAUCAUGGUGUCGACGUGAACCCCUUUCUAUGGCUUCACAAGUCUACACCUUAUUCUAUCAUUUUCACUUCACUUUUUAAACUAUAUAAUUAUAAACUCGUUACACAUCCAUCUUCCCUUUGACUCACAUUUCUAGCCUGCCUCAUGCUUUUGUACUAGUGACGUCAUUCCGUGGGAGAUCCAGGCAUUAAAUGUUCAAUCAAAAUCCAAAGUACAAAUAUUUAAUUAUCAAAUUUAUGACCAUAUACUUUUUUGCAACAAUAAAUUCCCUGAAACAUAAUCUAUUUUGUUAAUUAUUUUCAAAUAUAAUUAAUUAUAAAUAAAAAGUAAAAAUUUAAUGAAAAUAUAGACAGAUACCUUUAUAUUUUUUUUUUCAUAUUUUUAUUUUAUAUUUGAAAAAAUAAAAAUAAAGAUGAUUUUCCAAAUUAGGGAGGAGACAGAAGAAUCCUUUUCCCAUUAAGGAAUAUGUUGAGAAUAAUAAUAAUUUAUUUAUUAUUUUGUCUUUUUUUCUUUCUCUUACAUUAAAAUGUGAUGUGACCAAUAGCUGUAGUGGGCCCACUGAAAUCGAGGUGCCUACCUCACCUAGGAUGCAUAGGCAUCAGAUUCACCAGAGACAAAUGAUUCAAACCUAUGGUCCAUGAUUGGCCGCGUGACCCCAAUUGUACGGCCACGAUAUCACUCCGCAUAACAGCAUCAUCACCACGCUUUGCUGACGUUAGCAAAUGACCUGGACCUCAAGCCAUCUCUCCACUCGGCCGGCCUUUUGACCUUCCAAUCAGAUCUCUUUUCCUCUAUAUAUACAUGCAAAUAUCUCUCCUUCUGCAAUCUACAAUCAAGUCGAAAACUGGUUUACAAAAAUGCCUGAAACACAGAUUUCCAAUGGGUUCAGUGAGCCUCGCCUUGUGGUGAGAAAAUUCUUGGCUAGGCCUCAGCAUGAAGGAGCUGGAGCCAUUGUCAGGAGAAGCAUAGGAAGGUAAGAAUUAAGAGAUAAAAAAUGGUUUCUGUUUGGAGAUUGGGGAAGUUUGAGUUGUUUGGUUAAAUGGGUGUUUUGAUUUUUUUCAGGUUUGAGCUGAAAUACUUCGAUCCUUUUCUUGUUUUGGAUGAAUUCUCAGGUGGGUUGCCCUGUUUUCCCCCGUUUUCUGAAUGAUAUUCAGUGGCUUGUGCUUGCUUUUGUUUGUUUCUUUGAUUACUGAGAGUUUUGAUUUCUUGGACUUCUGCAGUUUCUGCUCCUGCUGGGUUUCCUGAUCACCCCCACAGAGGUUUGUUUUUGGCACUUUCUCUCUCAACCUUGUCUUUUUCCUGAGAAAAUUUUACUCUGCAUAAUGAGAGACCGAAAUUGGGUUGAUUCUCAUUCCUCUGUUUUUCUUUUGUCUUUUUCUUUUCAGGUUUUGAGACAGUUACCUACAUGUUACAGGUACGUGCAGUUGGUGAUUCCUUUAUUUAUUAGAACUUAUUUCUCGGCAACCAAACAGAACAAAGAAAAAAAUGAUAAUAUUUUCCUUUUCACAUGUCUCAAUGAAAUAAUCCCCUUAGAGAUGAACAUGACAGUUGGCUGUGUUUGGUUUUUUCAUGCGACAAGAAACUUCCUACUUUAGUUUGUUGUUGAAUACUCUUCACCUAAGACUCUGAACCUCAAAAUAAAAUACCAUUAUUUAGUUAAAAAAAAAAAAUUAUUAAACAAAGACUUCUUCAACUGUCCCAAUCCAUGUAAUAUUUUUGAAGUUUUCAAACAGUGAGCCAUGCCAACUUGUCAAGUUUUUCCAGUGAUGAAUCCAUGGAACAGGGAAUACAUUUGAUCAUAAUUGAAAAAAAUAUAUACGUUUGUUUGAAUGGACAGGGAGCUGUUCAACAUGAAGAUUUUGAAGGGCACAAGGGGUCAAUAGAGGCAGGUGAUUUACAGUGGAUGACCGCAGGAAGAGGGAUCGUUCACUCAGAAAUGCCUGCAGCCACCGGUGUCCAAAAGGGUCUGCAGUUGUGGAUCAACCUCUCCUCCAAAAAUAAGAUGUGAGUAGAGUGCUCUUAAACGUAAUUUCAGAACUUUUCCCAUAAGAAUAUUCCUCAGUGAUGUAGAAUUUGACCUUGAUCACAGGAUCGAGCCGAGGUACCAAGAAAUAGAGAGUAAGAACAUCGCAGAAGCUACAAAAGACGGGAUCAAGGUGAGGGUCAUAGCAGGGGAGGCCUUGGGGAAAAAAUCACCAGUAUACACAAAGACCCCCACCAUGUAUCUGGACUUCACUCUGAGUCCAGGAGCUCAGCUGCAGCAGCCCAUACCCAUAAAAUGGAACGCGUUUGUGUAUGUCUUGGAAGGUGAAGGGGUGUUUGGGAACCCAAAAAAUCUUCCCACAACAGCCCACCACCUGCUCCUUCUAGGCUCAGGUGAUGGGCUGGAAGCAUGGAACAAGUCCCUGAAGCCCCUCAGAUUCGUUUUGGUUGGGGGUGAGCCCUUGGGGGAGCCUGUGGUGCAGUUAGGCCCCUUUGUGAUGAACACCCAGGAAGAGAUUGACAGAACAAUUGAGGAUUAUGAAAACUGCAUCAAUGGAUUUGAGAAGGCUAAAUACUGGAGGUCUGAAGUUCUUCGUUUCUAGUCUUAUGUGAUGUAUUAUUAUUCAUUGGUUGAUUCUCAAAGAGUUGUGGAAAAAUGGAGAUCACAAAUUUAUUAUCAACCUUUGGUUUAUCACUCUGAUGUAUGAAUGAAAUGGUGUUGAGUUGGAAAGCAGUUUCAUAAAAUAGACCAAAUUUGGUCAACUAAAUUGCCUGAAUCCUCACUAGACUUUUAUGUACUAUGCCCUUUUGCCCAAAAGGGGGUGUGUUUGACUUGAAAUUAAAUUUUAGGAAUGGUUUUUUGAAAUUACCCCAUGUUUGACUUGAAUUACCCUCUUGGAGAUGUUGUAUUAUUUUAAUAUUUUUUUAAAAAAUAAAUCAUUUUCAAGAAAUAUUUUUGCCAAAUAAAUAUGAAAAGGACAAAGAGUGUGUUAGAUGAUGGUAUUUGAGAAAUAAAGCUAAGGAUCAUAUUUUAAAAACUUCUAUAGGAAGUUAUAAAUGUCUAAUUCAUAAAAAUAAAAGUAAAUAUAAGUUCAAAUAAAUUAUUAAAAUUAUUUUGCCUCUAAAUGUUACUUUAUAUAUUAAGACGAAUUAUUUUUAUCCUCAAAACAUUGACACAUACUUUCUACAACAAGAUAAUAUUGUUUCCAAAUAUUUCAACUUACAUUUAGGUAUGAAGUAUUUAUGUACCGAAACAUCGAUAUAUAAUUUCGGUAACAAAAAAUUUUUAUCUCAAAAUUUUUUAGCUUAUAUUUGGAUACAACAUUAUUUCAUCUUAAAAGUUAAUACUGUUUAGGGUACAAAACAAUUUCAUCUCUUUGGAAGAUGAAAAUAAUGAAAAUUAUUCGUCCUUGGAUGAAAGAAUUUCCUCUCUAAAUAGUAAAUAUAAUAUUUUUGUUAUCUUUUAAAUGAAACUUAUAUAAAUUGUUAUGAUAUUCAACAUUUUCAAAUAAAGAUGCUAUUAUGUAAAUCAAACUUUUAAUAACCUAAAAAUAUAAUAAUUAUAUAAAUUAAGGAUGCAUCAAAAGCUUUGUUUCAUUAAUGUAAACCAUAUUUGAAACUAACAUUGUUCAAGUAUUAUUUGAGUAUUGUUCAAAAUAGAAAUGAAAAACAAAUAAUAGUAAUCCACGUCAUGAUGUCAACUUGAUGGUAGACAUGGUGAUAAGGAAGAUGAGUAAGAUUGAGGUGGUGGUUGAUAAGAAGAGUUGAUUUGUUGUAACAUGAAAUUCCUAAUCUAUAACUUCAACUCUUACAACUUGAUCGUUGUUGCAAUCUUGAACUAUAUAACCUUAUAAUCCGCUCUUACCACUCUUUUGUCUUUCUAACUCAAUAGUUAAGGGAAUGAGUGCCCUUUAAUAUGAAAAAUUGUCUAUUAUUUCUAAACAAAACAGAGAAAAUGAUGACCCAUAGUUAUUCUUGUAAUGAAGUGAUAAUAAAUAAAAAUAGGAAUUCAAAGAAUAUUGAAGAUUAUUGUCUUUGUUUUUCAAAGAUUAUCGUCUUUCACUAGUAUAGAUUAAAAUCCCUUAUUGAAGCCCUAAAAACCGAAAACCCCUUAUCAAGCCCUAGGUAUUGGUCUUUAUAAAGCUCCCUCCCAUCUCUUUUACAAGAAUUUUAAAUAAUUUGUUUAUUUAUUCCUUUAUUUUUAUAUUUCUCUAAACCAUCUCUUUCCAUAUUUCUCUUUAUAAAUACCUUUUAUUUUUAUUAUUAUUAUUAUUACAUAUUUUAAAUAAUUAAGCAAUUAAUUUUUUUAUAUAGAAUAUUCCUAUGUUUACACUUUUUUUUUCCAUAUUUUCUUCCAUUUAUAUUCACAAUUUUCCCUACUAUAUAUAUAUUUUUUUGUAAUGACUUCGAUUAUUACAAAGCAUCUAUCUUUUUCUAUAUUUGUGACCAACCAUUAAUGUCAUUAUAUGCACCACUAUCCUUCAAUUUGAUAUGCUAUCUUUUCCACCAUCCUUCAAUAGGAGUGUAAGUUGGGUGGAUUUCACGAACCAAACUCAAUGUCUAAAUAAGUUUGAGCAAUUAUUUUCAACAUUUGGAUUAGGCUUAGGUACUAUCCUUCAAUUUGGUAUGCUAUCUUUUUCACCAUCCUUCAAUAGGAGUGUAAGUUGGGUGGAUUUCAUGAACCAAACUCAAUGUUUGAAUAAGUUUUAGCAAUUAUUUUCAACAUUUGGAUUAGGCUUAGGUUAGAUUAUUUCAACCCGACAUCAACCCAAUUUGGACAAUCCAAGUCUAACUUGAACUCGAUUUAAUAUUUUGACAAUAUUUAUAAUGUAUAUUAUUUUAUAUAAUAAUAUCAAUUUUUAGUUUAGAUUUUUAAGAAAAAAUAUCAAAAUAUGUCAUAUUAUAUAUAUAUAUAUAUAUAUAUAUAUAUAUAUAUAUAUAUAUAAAUUUAUUUUUACAUUUUUGUUGUUAUCUUGAUUUUUUCUUUUCACCUUCCUCCCAUUUAAAUUUUUAUUUCUUCAUAUUGUGAUGGGUACAUGUAUGAUAUCUAAUAUUAUCCUAGCAAUAAGAUAACACAGUAAAAAAAUAAAAAUGUAGACCCAUCUUUUAGACCAAGGGACUUUUUUUUAAUUUCCAUUAUUUAUUGCAUUUUACGGGGCAUUAGCUUGGCUAAUUUAUUUUUUUUCCACCACUUGAUGACCACCGGAAGGUGAGUUGGGUAUUUUCAUUUUGGGGAGUGGGGGACGGCCUCUACGAGUGAGCAAGCUGCAUGGGACGCAUGACUAAGGACACUGCUACCUUGCCAUGGUGGUGGUUAAGAUGAAGACACUUUCUAAAUAGGGACCAGUGGAGUAGAGGGUAAGCAAUAGAGCUAGUGGAGGCCUGGACGAGAAGCAAGAACAAUGGGGUGAGUUGGGUGUCAAGAGAGCUAAAAAAAAAAACGGAGUGACUACCUGCUAUGAGGGGGUCUUAGAAGAGGAAAGGAACUAGAGUGUCAUGAGAAAGGGAUUCGAGAGAGAGAGAACUACAGGAAGGAAAAACUGGUUUUAAAAGGAGGAAAAAUAGGAGGGAGGGAGAAGUCAGGAAGAGAAUAACAUAGGUAUGAUUUCUAUAAACUGUCUAUUCUUUCGUUUUCAUACAGUUCCAUUAUGUUUUCUAUAUAUGCAGGGAUUUUAUUUUGAUGCUUGAAUAUGAGCAUUGGAAGCUUUUGCAUAUUCUUGUUGAAUCUGAGUUUGUUUGCAUGCAUUUUAUGCUUGAUUUUUAACCUAUUUCAUUGGUUCUGUUUUGGGAUUCCAUAUGAGAUGCUUGCAAUCAUGUCUUGAUUUUCGGUUGAAGUUCAUUUUGGCUCACUCCCCUGCAUCUAAGCCCGUUGAUUGAAACAUGAAACGUGGCUUUUACUGGUUCAUUUUGUUCCUAUCAUUUGUACUCUAUUUUUCUAUCUUUCUUUGUUUUUGGUACUCGUUCGUGGUGUGCAUCAAGUUUCACAUCUCUACCUAAGGGAGUAAGGAAUUGUCGAGACAAUAUUUUUCAGUCUGUGGGUGUAAAGGGUUAUAGUAUGCUCGUCAAAUUGUGAGAAUGCUCAAAAUGGGUCAUGGAUAUGGCUAGAAGUAUAUCUCAGCUCAUGAAUGUUGAGAGCAGUUAAGGUUCGUUUAGGUGAUAAGGCUUGAGAAGCUGAAAAAGGGACAAAGAUAUUAAUGGAAGGGAAGGUGAAAGAAUGUCACUGGAUUAUUUUAGCAUGCUAAGAAGGCUAUGAGAGCAUUUGACAGAUAUCUAGAUGUGAGGGUAGUAAUGCUUGUCAUGGCUAGGUGAUUUUAAGUAUGUAGCUAUUGGGCAUGUGGAUAAGGAAAUCCGAAUUCGGUAGCCUUUUCGGAGACUAUAUGAAAAUUUUCAAUGAACAUUCUGAGUUCAUUCAACGUCUGGGUGUAUUUGCUGAUAAAAACUCCUAGUUUUUGGUUCUCUUAAUGGCAUCUGAAUAAUCGACAAGAUUGAUGGGGUUUGUUGAUGGCAAAAUUCCCCUACUACAAUAGUAGUCACCAGCAACAGAAUCUCGAUCAACGCGUAGUAGUAAUUCCUCCUUCCUCCUGCCAAAAGAUGUCCGGAUGGGUUGUUCGAACACACCCUCCGAUGAUUAAGUUAGUCUUUUGGAAGUUGUUGGAAAAUAGAGUUUUCCUCUGGGAGUGUUGCUCCGUGAUUUUCGUCAAGGAUGCUUACCUUCCUGAGAGUCUCCUUAGAGUUUAUAUAUGAGUCAGAAAGUAUGGCCCCAUUGUGCUAGCGGGUCCCAUCGUCAUGAUUGCGGCUCAUAGGGUGGCAAAGCAAUCAUGACAUUUCUGGUGCCAGGUGGUGGCUGUCAAGAGGGUAUUCAGGCGGCUGAUGUCGCCUCAAUUAAUGACUUUAAAUAUCGGGGAUGCAUCAGGCACAUUAAGAAGAUUUGGGAAUAUGUUGUUGAGCGUAUCUUGCAUUAAAGAUGAGUGACAGUUCAGGAGACUUGGUCGUCAGUAUUAUCGGAGUUUGCUUUUUGAUUGUGGGCGGAAAUGGAUCCGGCGAAUCGCUAGUGUUUGACGAGCCAAGCUGUUCGGGGAAUCUGAAUUGUCGGCUGCAGAUGCACUCCGGGUAAGCGCUAUCAGAGGAUCCGGACAUGUCUGACCGGGAAAGUUGAAUCGCCCUUCUCUCCCAUCCGGCGUCAGACGCCGGAUGUGAAAUAUCCGAAGAAGGUGGAACGUCAGCCAGACAGAAUUUUUCCCCGGGUGGAAUAAGUUAUGUCGCGCGUCGCAAGGAGGACCGUCUGCGUGUGCAAGGGAGAGAGAGCCACAUGGCAUUUUUUAGGGAGGAUCCCACAAUGCCCCCUUUUAUAUCGCAUGUCUGGCCCGGUCAGAAAAGGCGAGAUAAAAAUGCUACCUUUACAAAAUUUCUCUUUCAUUGGUAGUAUUGCUUUAGAUUGGCUACAUUCCAAGGGCGGAGUAGAGGGGUUCCAUUUAAGGUUUGCAAAUGGUACGAUCCAUUUUCGUUGGCUUUUGAUACCACAUAAGGACCUUCCCAAUUGGCCUGAAAUUUUCCGACUCAUUUCUCAGCCGUGUUUUCAAAGAUUUUUCUAAGCACCAAUGACCCUUCCUUGAAAAUCCGAGGUCGCACCUUCCUGUUGUAAUAUGCAGCUACCUUUUGUUGAUAUGCGGCUAUCCAGAUGGAUGCUGUCUCUCUAGCCUCAUCCGCCCAAUCCAAGUGCCUUGCAAGCUCGUCAUCUUCAUUUCUUUGACCUGGACGGCAGUCCGGGCUGUAGGCAUACCCACUUCAGUUGGGAUGAUGGCAUCUGUUCCGUAUGAUGUUGGGACGUCAUUUGUUUUUAUUUUUGGCUCUGGCCAGCCGUACCACCGAACUGUGCCAGACAGGGACAUCACAGCCGGAAUGGGCCAGGAUCAGAGUGGCCUCCCCAAGAUUCGAACUUGGGUCUUGUAGGCCUUAAGGCUUAGGACGUUGCCCUCCUAGUACCAUCUGGGCUAGUAUUUUUGGCUCUGGCCAGCCGUACCACCGAACUGUGCCAGACGGGGGCAUCACAACCGAAAUGGGCCAGGACUAAAGUGGCCUUCCCAGGAUUCGAACUUGGGUCUGUAUGCCUUAAGGCUUAGGACGUUACCCUCCUGGUACCAUCUGGGCUAGUAUUUUUUGCUCUGGCCAGUCGUACCACCGAACUGUGCCAGACGGGGGCAUCACAGCCGGAAUGGGCCAGGACCAGAGUGGCCUUCCCAGGAUUCGAACUUGGGUCCUGUAGGCCUUAAGGCUUAGGACGUUGCCCUCCUAGUACCAUCUGGGCUACUGAAGUAUUCCAGGCAUGUCCGAGUGGGGCCAAGCAGAGAUAUCGCGAUUUUGUUAGAGCACCUUUUGAAGCUCGAAUCUUUCGGCUAGCGGUAGGAGGGUACUGACGUACAUGAAGCAUUCACCUCCCUCUAAUAUCUGGAUAGCUUCCAGUGGGUCUGCUGCCGGGGGAUCUUUGUCUUCCGGGUGCUGUAGCUGCUAUUGGUCAAAAGCAUUUGCUUCUUUGGGGGAGUGCUCGCGGUCGGCGUUGGGUCUGGCCUCGUGAGCGAUUUGAUAACAUUGCUGGGCAGCGGGCUGGCUUCCGUAAAGAUCAAUUUGCCCAUCUUAGGUGAUGAAGCUGACCAUUUGAUGGUAUGUGGAUGGAACGACUUUUAUUCUGUGCAACCACAUGCGUCCCAAGAUGGCAUUGAAAGGGGAUAAAUCCUCAACCACAGAAAAUAGAACGUUUAGAAUGACUGGCCCGGCUUGAACCAGCAGUGUUACAUCCCCAAGUGAGGUUGUGGAAGAACCAUUGAAUCUGGACAGGAUUCUUCAGGGAUUCUCCAGGCUGGAGGGUAUGAAACCCAUUUGUUUGAUGACCGCCACCUACAACAAGUCCGCGGAGCUACCUGGGUCAACCAGGAUUCUUUUCACAUCGAAGUCUCCAACCCUUAAUGUUAGGAUGAGAGCAUCUCGAUGUGGCUGCAGCACUCGGGUUGGAUCCAUAGCAGGGAAAACAAUGGUUCCGUCUAUGGGGUGGAUGCCCCCACUGGCUAAUCCCGGUUGAAUGGAGCUUACGUGCUCCCGAACCGUGGCUGCUCGCAAUGGUCUCUACCUUUUCCUUUUGGAGUUGUACUCGUCACCCAAGGGUCCUCCGUGUAUGUAGUUGAUUACUACCCUAAUAGGAGCCGCUGGGGCGCGUGGGCCUCGACCAUGGGAAGAUCCUUCACCUUUAGGCACUCUUCAGACGUACUGUUUCAAGUGUCCCCCUUUAGGAGAUCCUUCAUCAUGUAAUGGAGGCUUCUACACGUUUCAGUGGUGUGCCCAUGAUCUUUAUGGUAAUCACAUCUUUUGUUGCGGUCCCUUUCUAAGGGGUUCGAUCUUAUUGGUACUGGCCAUCUGAAGCCGGGCAGAUCGCGGAUUAUAGGAAGCAGUUUUUCGUAUGACUUGGUGAGAGGUGUUCGAAUGAGUGGCGGGCGCCGCUCAUCUUGCCCCAUGUUGGACAACCCAGGAUGGUUGGGUGCUUUGAAGCUUCUGGUGGCUUCGCUUCUCGCGGCUUGGCCAGCUACCAGGACCUGCUGUGUAGUGGCUCAGACGUCAUCCUCUAGCAUGGAGUAUUUAUUCGCACACCGGAAUAAAUUGUCCAUGGAUGUAGGAGGUUUUUUGGCGAGGGACUCAAAAAAGGGGGUCCUUGGGCAUAUGUUCCGUUUAAAAAUUUGAAGGACUGCAUCCAUGCUAUAUGAUUCUACUUGUAAGAUAGCUUGUCCGAAGCGCUUUACGAACUCUCUCAAAGAUUCAUUUUCUUGCAUUUUGAUGUUCUGUAAGGUGCUGAUAUUUUGCUUAUGCUUGGCUGAGCAUAAGUACUGCCCCACGAAGACCUCGGACAGAUCCCGGAGAUUGUCAAUCGAGUUCGCGGGCAGUCGGUGAAACCAUAAGAGAGCCUGGCCUUGUAGGCUUGCUGGGAAAACCUUGCAUAACAGCCUAUCAUUCCCUAUGUCUAGGGUCAUGAGUUGCCGAUAAUGCAUUAUGUGAUCGAAAGGAUCGUUAGAUCCAUCAUACAUGGAGAAUUUCGGGACGAUUAACCCUCGUGGGGGUUCAUAUUUAAUAAUGCGAGGACUGAAAGGCGUGGAGAGCAUGUCGUCCAGACGCCUUUUGAUAGAGCCCGGAGGGGUUGUGUACGAGGGAUCUUUACCAACCCCUACCACGGGUGGGCGGGCGGCAUGUCCCUGUAAAGUAGGCGAGCUUGAAGGCUCGAAGUGUGCCUCCAGUGAUAUGGUGGCAUGAGGCCUGUUUUUGUAGGGUGUUUGGGGUCCUAGACGUGUGCGCAUUGCGUUAGAUAUUUGGGGCCUUUUCUCACGUUGUCGCUUGGAUGAGACUCGAGUAGAGCCUGAACUUUCGUCUCGUCGGACAUGGUGAGCGUGCAUCGAGGUUUCAUUAGGCCAUGCCUCAUGCGCCCCGAGGGUUGGGCUCGCCUCUCGGAGGAAUGGGGCUUUCUGGUUGUGACAGGGAUCUUGCCUCCGCUGAUAGUGCUGAUGUUGGGAAGAGCCUUGGAUCCUCAAGACAUUGUUUUCUUCCCUAAGUUUCCUUGUUUCUUGGAGCAAAUUUGCAUCUUCCGUUCGUUUUCUCGUUGUCAUCUUUCCAUGUUGUCCCGCUACUCGAAGUAACCUUCGUCAUCUCUGGCGGAAGAACGACUCCUUGAGGGUGAAGUCAUCUUUACAGUUGGAAGGUAUAGGAUUUACCGAGAAGAAAAUGAUCUUCCCAUAGACAGCGCCAAUGUUGAUGGCAAAAUUCCCCUGCUACAAUAGUAGUCACCAGCAAUGGAAUCUCGAUCAACGCGUAGUAGUAAUUCCUCCUUCCUCCUGCAAAAAGAUGUCAGGAUGGGUUGUCCGGACACACUCUCCGAUGAUUAAGUUAGUCUUUUAGAAGUUGUUGGAAAAUAGAGUUUUCCUCUGGGAGUGUUGCUCUGUGAUUUUCGUCAAUGAUGCUUACCUUCCUGAAAGUCUCCUUAAAGUUUAUAUAUGAGUCGGAAAGUAUGGCCCCGCUGUGCUAGCGGGUCCCAUCGUCAUGAUUGCGGCUCAUAGGGUGGCAAAGCAAUCAUGACAUUUUUGGUGCCAGGUGGCGGUUGUCAGGAGGGUAUUCAAGCGGCGGAUGUCGCCUCAAUUUAUGACUUUAAAUAUCGGGGAUGCGUCAAGCACACUGAGAAGAUUUGGGAAUAUCUUGUUAAGCGUAUCUUGCAUUAAAGAUGAGUGACAGUUCAGGAGACUUGGGCAUGCAGCCCGCAUAAACCCCUUCCCAUUCUUUCCUAUGGGCAUGCAGCCCGCAUGCAUGGCCACCUUCUUCACCACUCGAUUCACUUGAAGAAAGUUUAAAUGACAAUUCUAGUUCAAACCAAUUCCAGCAUAUGUCUCUUCAUUAUGACAAUGGCAAUCAAAGUCAUGUUCCAACAGCAUGGUUAGUGUCUUUUCUAUACUUAGAGCUAUGGAUAUUCUCCAAGCUAAUUAGAUGUUUUGGCUCCUUUGAGCAAAAUCAUGUCUGCUUGUGAUCCUUUGAGAAGUCUGAAACUCGAAUACAUCGAAGAUCAUGAUGCUUCCCUAGCUCAUGUAAUUCUCGUGCCUCCUAUGCAAGCUAGAUUUGGCUUUUGCUCGGUUUGCAGUCACAAAGUGAAAGGAAGAACUUAGGUGGAAGCAAGACAUGUGGAUGGUCACGACUUUGAAGAAACUGAACUGAGCAAUCCAAACAAGGAUCAAGACUUUGAAUUUGGUGGUUCUGAAAACGAGGACAUUAUGGAGAAGUUUCAGCAACACACUGGAGUUCUACCCAUCAACCAAGAAAGACUUGGGACAUGCCUUGAGGAUGGGAAAGGGUUGUCCAUAUUUGAAACAGAUUUUGCCAUUCUCAUCCGAUAAUGUUAAGUCUCUCUCACCAAAGUUUCAACUCCCUUCGAGAGUUUACAACUUGAGGAAUGCCACCCCAUUAUCCAAUAUAGAGUUUCUAGUGAGCUGCAUCAAAGGUGCCACUUCGCAUGGCAUGUGACCUCUUCAACUUCAGAAUAUUGAAAGGACCAUGAUUUUUUUUUUUUUUCCAAAGUGUACUUGUUCUUUCACCCAACACUAGAAAGUCAAUAGCAACACCAUCACUACCAACAGUGUAGUCCCAAUUGCACCUUAGACCCCACCCUUGCAUGGCCAGCCACUCUCUAGUGCACCACCUAAAGGUCACUUGUCAUCUCUUUUAUCUUUCAUCCAUAUGUCAAAAUUUAAUUUUCAAAACUCCAAUUUUCAAGUUUAAUUUUCAAAACUUUAAUCUUCAAAACUUGAAUUUUCAAGUUCAAUUUUCAAAACUCCAAUUUCCAAAUAAUUUUUAAAACUCUAGUUUUUUUUCCAAAUUAAAAUCUUCAAAACUCCAAUUUUCAAAUUUAAUUUUCAAAACUUCAAUUUUCAAAUAAUUUUCAAAUAACAUUUUUAAUAUUUUUAAUACUUGAAUAAUAAAAAUUUUCUAGUGUUAACAAUACAUUAAUUUAAAAAUAAACGUCGUUUUUUGUUAAUAAAAUUUUUAAAAGAAAGUGUAAGAAAAAAAUAUAUAUAAGAGGAAAAAAAAAAUGGAACACAAAUCGAAAGGAUUCUAAAGUUAAUAUAUUAUUAUUAUAUGUAAUAUCAAACACAUUUUACUUAUAUUUUUUAUUCAUAAAAUUUUAAUUACCAAAUAUAAUUGACAAAGAUCACUUGUAUUUGUUGUAUUAAUGAAUUGAGGUAUAAAAAAAUGUAAUUAAUUAUUAAGAUUAAAAAAAAAAUGGUAAUCUUUCACAUGUACAAAGAUUGCAAAGAGAUUAAAGAAAAUGAUCAAAUAUAUACAAUAUGAUCAUAUAUAAAUAAUAUGAUCAUAAUAAAAUGAAAAGAAAAAAGUGAUUAAAUUAAAAUUAAGGUAUAAAACUUAGGUGGUGUUUUUUUUUUUUUUUACUUAAUUUUAAAUAAAACUUAAAACUAAAUAAUAGUUAAUAGUAUUAAGUAUUAAAUUGUUUGUUUUUGUAAUAUUUUAUUUCUAUUAAACAUUAAAAAAUGUUAUUUUUUAUAUUUAAAAAAGAAUUAAUUGGUUAAAAGAGAUGAAAUAAUCUCUAUAUUAGUGAGUUGGACCUCUCUUGUAUUUUUGUUUGAAGAGCAACUCAUUUUUGUCAUAUAUGCCCUUAAUUAUUUUAAGUAUUUACAUACGUAUUUUAAAAGAAAUUAUUAUUUUUACAAUGAAAAAAUGAGAGCAUUAAAAUGAGACCAAAAACUGAUGAAGGGUUAAAUUUCUAAAAUUUGGAUUUUGAAAGAUUUUUUUAAUCAAACAACCCUUUAGAAAAAACCAAAUAUUUUAAUUUUUUUCAUUCAUGUAAAAAUUUAUAAUAAAUCAAUGAAAAAAUAGAAAAACAAACAAUUUAAGUUUGAAAACAAAUUGUUUUUAGUAAAAAACUGAAAAAAAAACAGACACCUUGUUAUUCCAGAUUUUUAUUUUUUCAAAUAAAAAACAAUUGUAGCUCAACUUAUUCCACUGAAUUCUAAGAGUAAGGGAUUGCUUCUUAUUCAAAAAUAAAAAUAAUUUCAUACUUAAUAAAUUAAGACAUUAAGAAUACCAAAUAAUUUAACAUUUAAUAGAAUUAAGAUACUAAUAAAAACUAAAUUCUAUUUAAAUUACAAAUUCUACAAUUUUCAUUCAAAAGGAUAUGAAACCAUUUUAUGUUUCCGAACCUUGUAUCCAAAAAUUGAAUUCAAAUCUUUUCAUAUUCAAAUCUUUUCAUUUUUUUUUUUUAGUUUUAGUUUAGUUCAGUCGGAUGAUAUAACAAGUUUCUUUUAAUGGAAUAAAAUAGUAAAUAUCUGACAAAAAAAAAACAAACACAACCCAUAAUAGUUAGACUUUUUCUAUUAUCUUUUCAAAUUCUUCAAUUCCAUUUUUGAGCAAUUUUGUUAAAGGGAAAAUAAUAUUUUAUUUUAUGGGAGGAAAAAAAAAAAAAAUUUCUUAAUAUUCAGAGAAUGAAUAUGAUAUAUACAUAUAUAUUUUUUGUCAUCUUAUUUUUCUCACCCAUAAAAAAGGUGUUUACUAGAAAUGGUUAAUAUUUCAGAAAAACAGAAAAAAAAAAAAAAAAAAAAAAAAAAAAAAAAAAAAAAACUUUUACAUAUUUUUUAUUGUCAUAACAUAGCUAAUCUUGAUUCGUAACAGGGAUCAGGGUGGAGUUGCAAAAACGAUACGUACAAGGGGAGGUCACGUAUCUAGCCACGCGUCAUGACGCCAUUCGGUAGACUUAGGAGAAGACUCAAGGCUCUCCAUCAACCUUCACCCAGUCAUCUCAGAGACAAAGGGAAAACAAAAUCUAGAUAGAGAGAGAGAGAGUGAGCAUGAACAGAAAGAAGCUCAAGAUCCUGCUCUCUCUCUUCGCUUUCAACUCCAUCUAUCUCUACUUCUUCUCCUCCUCCGACCACCACCUCUUCAUCCACCAUAAACUCCUCCCCGGAAACCACAAGGCGUCCCCGGCGAACCCCAAAACUCCGCCGGGAAAACACCCUCAUUUCCCUAUCACCCCCCGCGCCAAGCCAUGGCCAAUUCUCCCGUCUUACCUUCCGUGGUCGCUGAACCCCACCGUGGCUCUUCGUUCCUGCGAGGGUUACUUCGGGAACGGCUUCACGCGCCGAAUCGGCCUUCGACGUUCUUCGGUGGAAAGGGAAUCGGGGAUCUCCGGCGGGGGCGGGUGGUUCAGGUGCUGGCACAGCGGGACGUUGCAGAGUUCGGUGUGUGAGGGAGGGAGGGUGAGGAUGACGCCGGAGAGGAUUCAGAUGUCGAUCGGAGGGGAGAGGUUGGAGAAUGUGAUUGGGAGGAAGGAGGAGGAGGAGUUGCCGGAGUUUGAGGCCGGAGCCUUUGAGGUUGAUGCUGGGGAACGGUUUGGCGAUCAGAGGAAGCUUGUGGAUGAAGAGUUUCUGAAUCGAUUUGUGCCGCAGGGUGCGAUUUCACGGCAUACUAUGCGUGGCUUGCUUGAUUCGAUUCGAUUGGUUGGAUCCAGUGAGUUCAAGUGCGAUCAGGUAUUAAAUUUUAUUGAUCAAUCUGCUAAUUAUUGGGAAUUUUCUGGUUUUAGAAGUGUUGAAUUUAUUACUUCUUUAAAUAUGGAUUAAAGUUCGGUUUUUUAAAUAGUAUAUUGGAGUAAAUGUCAUUUUAAUGGCUUGAAAUUUCCAUUUUUAUACUUCUGAAUCUGCUUAUUACUGGAAAUUCCUUUGUUUUUAUCGUCUUUUCAUUCUUCACGGGGCAUUUCAUGCAUGCCGUGCCAAGGGUUUCCGAAAUUCACAGUUGACUUGGCAGGCAUCUGACUCCACGAUGGGGGAGCUGACUUAAAUUUGCGAAAUCAAAUAAUUUCAAAAUGAAAAAAAAAAAAGGUGGGGGGCGGAAGAUGUAGAUUGGUUAUAUCCCAAAAAUUUCAGGAGGAUCUGAUACAAUUUCAUGGAUGAAAAAGUUAAUGAGUUAUUCAAAACCGUAAAUUGUUUGGAGUAGAAUCUGUAACUGAGAAAUGAACAAGGGUUCUGAUUAGUUCACUUUUCAUAGUUGAUUCCCAUCCCAUCCUAGGUGUGGUUGCUGAAGGCACCUUCAAUGAAGGUUGGAAUAUGGAGUCCAAACGCAUGGCAUAUUCUCUUUCAGAUUGAUUGUAUACCACACAAUAUGACAAGGGAAAAUUAUUCUGCGAUUGGGAUUCAAAGCAUAUUGUAUGUGCAGAAGCUUUUGGGAAAUUUUGGUUAAGAAUCCAGAAAUAAAAGGUAGAGGAAAACAGGACAUAAAACUAAACCUAAAUCAUCACAAAUGACAUACAUGCUAUGAAUGUUCCCAUUGAGACCAAGGUUAAAUAGUGGUUGGUUGACUGAGAUUCUGUUUGAUUACAGUGUUAGAUUUGACUUGGAAUUCCAAUUCUGGGAACUAUUUUUGUGGAGUUGGGAUCUUUGGAAUUUUAUUCUAUUCCAAUGCAACAAAUCAAUUGAAUUGGAUAUAGGACCUCUUUCAAUUCCAUGAUACAAGUUCAUGCUACCAAAAAAAAAAAAAACCAUAUGUGAGUGGAUCAAAGCUUUUACACAUUAAUUCUAUCCUACUCUUGAUAUUUUAGAUUGUUUUGAAUGAGUUUUUUGGUUUGCAUGUAACAGUUGACACCAUUUUUACUUUCACAAAGUUAAAAAAAUUCCAGUAGACAACUUUAUCAUGGAGUGCAGCCCCAUGAUCAUUCUUGUUAUAGUAAUUAUUUAUCAUUGCUAACGUGAUUGCUGCUCUAAUAUAUUUUUGCUCCAUUUUUGUGUUCCUGACAUUAAAGCCUCUACUUUCAGUGGAUCGAGGAACCAACACUUCUAGUCACACGCUUUGAGUAUGCAAACCUUUUUCACACAUUUACAGAUUGGUACAGUGCAUAUGUUGCUUCUAGAGUGACAGGCUUACCCAAUCGACCUCAUUUGGUUUUUAUAGAUGGCCACUGUAGGGUAUGUAUACCAAAUUUCCCUUUGUUUAUUUCUUUUGUAGGCUUUUGUUAUCAUGUUCAUCGACUAAGCUGCAAAAAUGUGUUGAUCAGUUUUUGAUACCAUAAAUAACUAUUCAGUCCUGCUGUGUGAUUAUUUCACAUGUUGUUAAAUAAGAAACUGAAGGACAAGGAGGCAUGGGCACCUUAAGAGGUGGAAAUAGAGAACAUCAGGAACUUUAGGGGAAGAGGAUGAUGGAGAUGUUGACCAAUAAAGGAAAAAAAUAUUAUGAGAUUCCAUUAAAUGAACUUUUGAGUGAAAAUCUUGUGUCAUUAUUACAGUUUCUAUCAGUUGUUUGAGUAACUGAGAGUUCAGGCUAUCCAAACAAGAGCUGAUCUAAACUCUCGAGAGUGUGGUAAAAAUUGUUUUUAAGUAAAUACAAUUAUAGAAAUUUGAUCCCCAUCAAAAUUUUAGCUUUCUGAGGUACCAGAAUUUCUUUUUGGCCUCUUGAAAAGACCUUAGAAAGCUCUCAUUUAUUCAUUGAAAGAAGCAUGAUGCACACAUGAUAGAUUUAAAAUUAAUUUAUCAAAGAUAUAUUUUUCAUCCACUGUGUUUUAAAUGUCUUUUCAUUUGGCAUUUGUAUGAGUCCAUUUAUUUUUCUUAAAUCUGGCUAAAAUUAGGUUAAUUAGAAUUUCAGUAAGUGUUCAUGCUUCUAUUCUGCUUUGAUGAUUGUGAUACUUCUUAUCGGUAUACCAACUUGUGUGUUCAAUUUUGGUGCAAAUGCAAAGAGUUUAUUAUUUCAUAUAAAGUUCGACACCUCGUGAAUGAUUGGCUCCUGCCUUCAUAAUAUGUGAUGUCUAAGAACCUGUAAACCAGCAACCAAUGAAAAAUGCCACCCGAACAUGGACUUUAGAAGUUAAUUCAAGAUUUUUUAUUUUUUUUUUUGUCCUUUCUUUUCCUUUCUUUUGAAGCUUAAAAAGCUGAUGCACAGUAAGUUGCUGCUGUAUACGAUACACAUUUGGAGGUCCAAUUAAGUUUCUAUAAGAGAGAGAGAUAAAAUAUACCAAGCUUGGACAUUCAAUUAUUCUGUUAUUAUUUUAUUUGUUUAUAUUUUGGUGAACUUGUCCCAUUCAAUAUAUUCUGCUUGUUUUGUUGUGAAGCCAUAUUGAACACUAGCCAGCCCUUGUAAAUACUGCUUUACCUAAUCCCUCUGGCAACAAUUUUCAGGCACCUUUAGAAGAAACAUGGAAAGCGCUGUUUUCAAGUCUUAAAUACGCUAAAAACUUUAGUGGUUCAGUUUGUUUUCGUCAUGCAGUUCUCGUGCCUUUGGGAUAUGAGACUGCUUUAUUUAAGGGGCUGUCUGAAAAUAUAAAUUGUCAUGGAGCAUUUGCACAUGAUCUGUGGCAAAACCCUGAUGACCUGAAAACUGCACGAUUAUCUGAGUUUGGAGAAAUGAUAAGAGCAGCUUUUGGGUUUCCAGUUGGAAGACACCGUGUUCUGAAGCCUGCCUCUGGUCACAAUAUCCUCUUUGUUAGGCGAGAAGAUUAUGUAGCUCACCCACGUCAUGGUGGUAAGGUUGAAUCAAGACUUAGCAAUGAACAGGAGGUGUUUGAUUCUCUAAAGAACUGGGCAUCUAAUUAUUUGGAAUGCAAAAUAAACCUUGUCGAUGGAUUAUUUGCUCACAUGCCAAUGAAAGAGCAAGUUCGAGCCAUCCAAGAUGCUUCAGUCAUCAUUGGUGCUCAUGGGGCAGGUCUAACUCACAUAAUAUCUGCAAGACCAAAAACGGUGAUCCUUGAAAUUAUUAGCAGCCUAUACAGGCGCCCGCAUUUUGCAUUGAUUUCCCAGUGGAAAGGCUUGGAGUAUCAUGCCAUUAAUCUUGAUGGAUCAUAUGCUGAUCCUAGAGUGGUUAUUGAUCAGCUUAACAGCAUAGUGAAAAGCCUUGGAUGCUGAAAAUUUUAUGGUUUCUUCAGGAAAUGGAUUCAUCCCUCUUUGCUGGGAAGUACAAGGACAAAGAGAAGUCCACCCCAUGUUUUGUAUCUCAGUUUUUGAAGUCUAUUGUUUGGCGUGCCAUAUUCUCUUUUUGUACAGUUUUGGCUUUUCCCACUGCUGCCAUUCUGCAGUGUUCAAAUGGAUAUUUCAUUGAAGAAAAGAAACUAUAGUUUCUUUAAUGGGGAUUUUUAUCAUUCCAAGGGUUUGCUCCAACUGAUGAUCCAUUGAAGACGGGUUGCCAAAACAUAGGGGCCUUGGCUGCUCUUUUUGCAGCACAUCUCUAGCAAUUCAGUGGAAGAUUUUCAGGGAAAGGUGGAUAGAAUAAUUACUUCGGAAUUAUUUGGUGUCCAUAGAGAGAAUGCCUGAUAUGCUGUCUUUGCACCUUUCAUAUUGUUCAUUUCAAGUAUUUAGUGUCUCUAGGAGGGGGAUGUAGGCUACCUUUUGAUUUUGCUUGGAAGCCAAUUCUUUAUUUAUUUACACAACCACCUUCUUGUACAAUAGACUGAUUCACCAGUUGAUUUCAAUUUGGUGGGAUUCUAUUCAAUACAGAUCAGAGAGACUUCUUGUAAAUUCUUUUAAAUCACAGUGAAAAAUGCUCAAAUUUGGCUCAGCUAAGCCUUAUCCCCCAACUGAAGCUUUAACACUGUUUUCUUCCUUUUCCUCCUGCCUGAGCUGAGUCAUGGAAAGAAUUUAAAUCCGGUUGCAAGAUUGGGAAAUGGAAGUGGGAAAUUUGGCAACUCUGGCCAAGAAAUAUAUCUGGCACAUGAAAUGGGUAAACAAUCUGUAAUCUAAGAGUCAAAAAAUGGAAAUGUGAUGUUGGAUUAAAAGAAGCAUAAACAUGAUUAGAAAUUUUGGCAUAACAAAUAGAAAGUAUUAAAAUGGUUAUGUGGGAAAUCAAACUGGAAAUUUUUAAGGAAAGAAUUUAAAAAUCAUAAGAAAUAAUGUUUGUAAACCAUUAUAGGAAUAUCAAAAGAUUAAAAGAGAAUGAGAACUAUGGGAGAUAUUUCCACAUUGAUUAUCUUAGGACUUUCCAGAGUGUUUCUUAUGUUUUGGCAUUUACCUGUUUCCAAAUGUUGUCCUGAAAUUUCGCAGAUGUUUCCAAUUUUGAUGCUUCCCUGAAAUUUCCGGUUAUACUCUUGAAGCCUUAGAAAUUCCACUACUCCUUGAGAAAAUGUAUCCUACCAAGACUAGGAUUAAUAGUAACUAGGUUUGCAACUUUGGGUUAAGUUAGUACUCAUUGAAGAUGUGAAACUUUGCAUGGUACCUGCAUGGGGCUUGUAGUUAGUGAUGGUGUUUUCCUUCUUUUUCUUGCUGGCUGGCGAUGGGUGGAAUCUUGUGAUUAAUUCUGAUGAAAUGACAGUCUUCUAUGGGUUAAAUAUUGUUUGUCAAUGUUUGGUGAAAUAGCCUCUGUCUUGACCCCUGGUAGCUCUUUUUAAUGGACUCAUUCUGGAAUUAUAUCAAAUGCUACACACUUCCUGCAGAAGACUGCUGGGAGCAAGCCCAAAUUCUGGCACUGAAGCUGUGAGACGUGGCACUUCCUUAGAGACCAUACAUGGGCAUUGCUAAUGUUGAUCUCUAAAUGUGAUCAGAUCACGAGUCAACACCCAUUUACCCUGAAGAUUCCUCUCAUUCUUUCCCAGUCUCUAUAACUUGAAUAAGUAACUGCUUCCAUCCACCCUCCACACCUCAUCCAGGUUAUCAACAUGGGAUUUAUGGGGCUAUCCACACCACUGCAGUGCAGUCCUCCCAUCAUCCUCCAUUUUUGCCUCUUCUCUCAUCUCAUGGCAAAUCCCUGACACCAUUUGAAAGUGAAUUGCAGGCUUGAGUAAAACUGAGGACUUCCUCAAUUUUGAAACAUCGGAGCUUCUGGAAUGCUGGGAAGAAGCUCCAUUGGGUUCCAAGCUCUGACAAACAGAUGAAGGGGUUGGUUACAAGGGCAGAGGCUAACAAAUAUGGGGGUGGUAACUGGAAAUGGCAUGUUAUUUUAAAAUCUGGAAGGGUAGUUUUUUACACAGCACCAUUGAAAGUUGGCACCAAGGAAAAAAGGAUUCAUAAGGUGACAUAAAGAAGGCAGCUGGCAAUGAUUGUUUUAUUUCUCAACUGUCUUUUUGUUUAUAUUUUUAACAUUUGUUUUAAAUUUUUCCAAAUGGUCAGUAGCUGAACUGGAAUCACAAUCAUAAUAUUUUAUGGAAAGGAUAUUUAUAGAGAUGGGCAAAGAUAAAGUUUAUUAUGUUGACACAAAGAGAAAACUAAUACAGUAAUGCUUGAUUUGCUCAUGCAUUGUUCCUAAUUUUCUAAUCCACAAGGAAUGGGUUUCCAUGAUGUGGCCAAUAAAAUAUGACACCUGGCUAAAAAGUCUCAUUUUCUUACCUGGCCUAUGUCCCAAAUAUUUCCCUUUUUAGAUCUUUUUCCUUUUUUAAAAGAAUCAUGGCUAAAUUUAUUUAUAUCUAAAUUUUAUCUCUUUAGAUAUUUUUGGUUGUAGAAAAUGCUUGCUAAAAGAAAAAAAAAAUAGCGGAAUCAAAGGCAAAUAAAGCAACUUAAUUAUAAGACAAAUGUGUCUUUUUCCACAUUUAAGUGCAUGACAAGUUCAGAGUUUGUUUUUAUUUCUUUUUUCAUCUUUCGGUUUUUUUGAGAUUUAUGCGAAAUCUUACCAUAUAUAUAUAUAUAUAGAUAAAACCUAAUCACAUAUGCAAGUGGUUUACAUCCACAAUUCAUCCUUAUUAAAUAAUUUUUCCUAAUUAAUUAAUUUAUUUAUUUUUAAUGAAUAUUCUAUAUAAUUUUCUUUAAUUUAAGAAGUGAUUACUAGCACUAAGCUAUGUUUGGUUCUCAUAAAAUUUGAAGGAAAAUGUAAAGGAAAGAAAAUAUAAAGGAAAAAUGGAAGAAAAGAAAAAGUGAAGGAAAAUAAUAAAAUAGAUUAAAAGUUGAUAAAUUAUUUUUUUUUUGUUAUUUCAAACUCAUUUUAUUUAUUUUAAUUUAUCAAUAUAAAGAUUAAAUAAUUUUUAAAUAUAUAAGUUUUUAAUUAGUUUUAAUUAUAUUUAAUUUUCUUUGAUAUUUUAUAUAAGGCAAUUAAACAUGAAAAAAUUAUUUUCUUUUGCAUUUUUUUUUUCUUAGUAUUUUCCGGGAACUAAACAUAACCUAAAGUUUAAUACGAUUUAUUCAUACAACUUGAAUCCGACAUAUUUAUUUAUAGGUUUGAGUUAGGUAUAAUCGUAUUUAGAUUAAUUAUUAUUUGUAAUUAGAUUAAUACGAUUUGAACCUGAGUUUAUAUUUUUAACAUGAUUAUUAUACCAUAUUUAUUGAAGAGUACGAGUUUUGAGACAUGGGAAACCCUUUUCCCUGUAUGUAUAUAUAUAUAUUGAAACAUAAAGAGUUUCCUUGUGAAGUUGGCAAGUGCUGGCUUGAAAGAUACAAAGGUGUAUUUAAAAAUACUCGCGGGAAAGCGCAUUAUUCACUCCCUGCGCUAAAACGACGUCAUUCUGAUGGGAUCCCACUCACGUCGCACAAUAAAACGACGUCAUUUUUGGUCCCAGGAAAAAAGAAAAGAAAAAAGAAAAGGCAGGCAAAUAUCGAACCAGCUACGUGUAUAUGGCAACGUUACUAGUCCCUCGAUUUUCCCGAGAAACAAACAGCUCUCCAAACAUCAUAUCCCAUACCCUUACAGAGAAAAGGCCACACAAGCAAACACAGAUAGAGAAUUCUGAGAGUUUUCCCGGAAAAUCGCGCUCUUCGUCCCAGGACCACCCAACAGCACAAUGAAAGCACUCUUCAAGACCAAGCCUCGAACUCCGGCAUACCUCGUCCGCCAAACUCGCGACCUUCUGAUAUACCUCAGCGGCUGCAGCGACCGUGACACCAAGCGCGAACUGAAGGUUCGGUCUAAUUUAUGGCUUGUGUGAAGUUCGAUUUUGGUUUGAGACUGAACUAGUGUUGAAUGAUGUGUUUUUGAGCACAUUUCUGUGGUUAAAUUCGUCUGAUUCAUUUGGAAAAGGAUAAGCUUGGAAAUGAUUUUGAUAAUUGUACUAGAGUUCAUGAGUUUCUUCUCACAUUUCCUUCGGUUCUUGAGAAAAGAAGAAAAUUUUGAAUCUUAUAAGAUGUACCUAGGGUGGCAAAUUGAUCAAACUUGGUGUCAUUGCAACAAGAUCUGAGUUUGAUCAAGCUCCACUCGGAAUGGCCACUGAUUAAGUUUUUUGGUUAUGUGAUCGGUUGAGUUGGGCUUGAUUGAGUUAUGCAAGCAUAAGAGUUGGAUGCUAUUGUAAUUGAAUCUCAUAAAUUGGAUUCAGAUGUGGAAAGUUGGACCUUAGUAGUCUUGUGACCAAUUUCUUGAUGGGGUCAAAAUUGGAUCAUGAUCCAACCGGUUACCAGUGUUCUAUAACAGAUUGUAGUUCAAGGAAGAGAAGUUUUUACUUGUGUUUUUGUGGUUCAAGGGAGCAUAAGAUAUGUUUGGGAUCUGUUCUCAAGAACAAUUUUUUAUCACUGGUUACCAAAACAUGUUUUCGAGAAUUGUUAUGAAAAUAUGAUAUUUCUCUGAUAACAUGUUUAAUUAUUUUCAGAUGCUGUUUCUUGUUUUUUUUAAUGCAAUUUUUAAAAAAUAUGGAGAAUGAUUGAAAAUAAAGCAUUAUAAAUAAAAGUUACUUUUAAGAAAUAUGUGAAAACACAAAAAUAAGAUGAGAAUACUCAUGGUUCUUAAACAGACUUUUGUUCUAGAAAACAUUAUAAAACUAUUUUUGAUAACUAUUCUCAAAAACUAUUUUCGAAAAUGUUCCCGAACAGGUUCUAAACUUUUGGUCUUUUUCUGGAUGUAAAAUAGUGGUGGAUGAAGUAGAUGUUGGGUAAUUGUUCUUUAUCUUUUAUAUUUCUAAUUUUAACCAAGUAGUAAGAUUGUAGGGAUAAUAGCUCACUUUAUGCUCUGUGGGCUGUGGCAAGAUGAUUAUAGUUCUGAUAGAUAUAAAGUGUAUGUUUUACUUUUGGCAUGAACCUGGAAUUUUUUUUUUUAUCACCCUUUUUUAAGUUGACAAUUUCCCAUGUAUUUAUGCAUGGACAUGUAAGAAGCAAUGCAACCUCAUGAAUUGUUUAUCCACUCUGCUGCAUAUUUUCAGUUAGUUUUUGUUUUGUUCUGUUGUAAUUGAUGUGAAAACUUGUUUUCAGAUGGCAGAAUUGAGUAAGCUCAUCUGGGAGUUAAAGUUGAUUCUCUAUGGUAGUGGUGAAAAUGAACCUGUUGCUGAAGCUUGUGCAGAAUUGACCCAGGAGUUUUUCAAAGAGAACACACUUCGUCUCCUCAUUAUCUUUCUUCGAAAAAUGAACUUGGAGGUGAGGAUGCUAAACAUUAAUAUCUUGUAUAUUAAUCAUGUCGCAUGAUAAACUUGAAUUAGUUUCAUAUUUAUUUUUCUGGUUUUGCUUCAUGUAUAAAUGCAUAAUAUGCAGAUAUUGGAUUGCUCAUCCUUUUACCACAUUCUGUACUUUUAUUUUCCUGGAUUGCUAAUAAUGAAGAAGAAAAAUUUUAAUAGGCUCGUAGGGAUGCCACCCAAGUGGUUGCAAAUUUGCAGAGGCAACAGGUUAAAUCACGACUCAUUGCUUCUGAUUACUUGGAAGCAAACUUAGAUCUUAUG